UUGGAAAUAAAUGUGGAUUGCCAUCAACUUGUAUCUCUCCUAAAUAGCUUACCCGAUGAAAUUUCAAAUUUGUGCUCUGAUUGCAUGUUCCUGAUGCGUAGUUUAGAUAAUUCACCGUUGACGUACAUUUACAAGGAACAGAAUAAGAUGGCAGAUACACUGGCUAGAGCAAAUAUAUCUACUACUACUAGUACUAGGUUAAUGUGGGAUCCUCCAUCGUCCAUUUUGAAUAUUUUGCAGGCUGAUAGUAAUGACGAAUUAUCAUGUCUGACAGUUGGAGUGCCUACUACCAAUUAGUUGUUGUAUAAUAUUACUACUAACAAUUAUCAGGAUGCAAAUACAAGCUCCUAUGUUCACAAAAAAAAUGUUGUGCUACUUUUCCUUUCAUUAAUUAAUUUUAAAUCAAGAAAAAGAGAAAUGGAAGGGACAUAAAUUGGAGGGGCAAUAUUUUUGAGUGUACUUUUUUUAUUUUAGAUUUUUAAAAAAUUUUAUGGCCGGUGUAUAAAAUUCUUCCUCCUUAUAAAUCAUUUAUAUAAAAUUAAUAAGUAUCGAGUAACAUCAAUAUUUUGUCUAAAGUUAAAUUAGAUUUAAAAGUUAGACACGAAUUUUUGUAACUUCAGUCGUAUAUGUUUGAAAUUCUUCUUGUUAUGUUAAUGUCAAUGCUUCACCUAUUUCAUGUCAAUUCUUCAAUAAUAUUAAAAUUUGUGAUUUAAAAUAAACUUCUAAUAUUUGAAGGCAGUAAUGAAUCUUGAUUUUAUCGCGUAAAAUGAAAAAUGUAAUGUAAAUCAUUUCUAACAUUCACGGGACCAUUGAAUAUCUAAACGUGAGUUGCGUCUGAAGCCAUUAGGUCAAGGCACGCUUUUCAUGGGCGUCACAUAUCGCGUCGAAAAAAAAUGAUAAAUAUUGUUCCACUAAUUAAUUACUAAUGGACAAUUAUUAGUACAUAAUAAAAUGAAUAAAACAAUGAAACGAAAUUAAGGUCUAUAUAGUAAAAAAAAAAAAAACCCAUCAAUUGAGUUAUUAUUUUAAGAGUUUUGGAUGUACUAUUUAUUUAGUAGCAAGGAUGGUGCAUCGCCUAUCUAUUUUCUCGUUUUUAUUCGGGGGUCAAAAAUAAAAACGCAAACCACCUAUAAUAUUAUUGUGGAUUUUGCUUUAUAAUGUGGAUACUCGAUCGUUAUUAGAAGAAAGGAGAGGAGGUGGGCCAAUAACUUCUUUUUGUCCUACGAAGUUUCUUUCUGAUAACUGACUUGUCACGUCUGUACAAGAAUUCGUGCUAGCAUUUGAUCUAGGAGGACGAACAGGACGCCAUUGGUUACAUGGUAACAUAAGAUAUCGUUGUAGAUGUUGCUUUAUGAUGUGGAUACUCGAUCGUUAUUAGAAGAAGGAAGAGGAUGAGGACGAAUAACUUCUUCAGGGUUUAAGAAGUUUUUUUCUGAUAUCAGACUUGUCACGUCUGUACAAGAAUUCGUACCGGGAUUUGAUCUAGGAGGACGAACAGGACGCCAUUGUUUACAUGAUAACAUAAGAUCUUCUUGAUCUUCUUUAUGUUCAAGAAACCUUGCUCCAUCGCUUGUUUCCAUGCUAAUUAUGAAAAAUAAAAGAAGAAAUAUUUUACAAAUGUAGCCAAAAAUAAAAAUAAAAAUUAUGUUAUCAUCAUGUUGAUUAAUUUGAUCAGUUAAACAAUUAAGUUGGAAAUAUAGGAAUAUAUAUAGAUAUUAAUUUUGAUGAAUUUGGUAACAAAUUAAUCAACUUUUUUAGGAUCUGGUGUAUUGACUAUUGACUUCUUGGCAUUACAAAUAAAUUUAAUUAGUUAUGUGUUAGCUAAUUUAAAAAGAUUAACCUAAUAAUAUUAAUUAAUCAUAAAGUACAUCAAAGAGAGUCUAAUAUAUAAGAAAGAAGAGAGUUCUUGUGAAGUUAGACGUCUACUCGUGUAAAAACUUAAAAGUCACUACUAAAAAAAGUCCAUAAAACAUCAGUCAAAAGCGACGGACAAUAUUUUUUUUUUUGGCAAAAAUCGAUGAAAAAGUGACACAUUCACUUGCAUUGAUAAAAGAUAUGUUGUUUUUUUAAAACAACGGACCACACCGUCUUUUUUAGGACAGACGUCGCCUUUUGAAAAAAAAAAAUUAGAAAAAGUGACGUUUGUUGCUUUAUGAAGAACAAAAGUGACGGAUUAUAGAGUCAUAGUAAGUUGUUUUUCUGGGAGAAAAUAAAAUUAAAAAAAUUUAAAAAGCGACCCAGUACUCCAUCGCUUUUCCACAUUUUUUCGAAAUGUGGAAAUUUAUAUUUUCUACAUCCACCUUUCACAUGAAAAUGCAAUUCAAUAUAUACAGCCUCAAGCAACAUGCAUUACUGUUAAAACAAUCAUAUGACACAUAAUACACUACAAUAUCAAAACACUUAAGUAAUCCAAACCAACUAAAAGGUUUUUUUUUUUGGACUUUGCUAAUCCAAAAAAAAAAUAAAAAAAAUUCAAACCAACAACACUUAAACAACUAAAAGGUUUUUCAAAAGUUAAUGUGUAAGAAUGUGUAAAAAGUAUCUAGAAGCAUCAAAUUCAACAACACUAAGUAGUCCCCGCUAACUCCUUGUCACUCUCUAUGUCUUCUUCGCUACUUGAAUAGGGACAUUGAGAACGAUGACAAAAACGAGGAGUUAUGCUAACCACUUGUUGCUUAAGUUCCUCGAUGAUUUUGUACAUGGUGUAUCAUUUUGAGUGAUUCGUUGUUCCUCGAACUAUGCUAAGGUAUGCGUAAGCUAUGUAAUGUCCUGUGACAUAGUGCCAAGCUGAACACCAUCAAUCGCCUCAGUCUGGCAUAAUGAACCAAUACCUUGCACUCCUGACUAGAUACAUCCCAACUCGGUGCAAGUGGUUCGAUCCAUCACAUAGAGGUACCAGGGUGAAUCAAUAGCAUAAUAUAAUUAAAGUAAACAUACGAGAUAAUAUAAUUGCUUAGGGAUAAAGACAAUUGAUGGGUGGUUAUAAAAACCAAGCAUGUGGAUAGAAUUGAGAUUGAGAAUGCGUUAAAUCUGGUAUACUAGAAAAAAUCGCAGUUGUUGAUCAAACAAUGGAUGCUAAGUUGGAAAAACAAUCCACAAUAUCCUCAACGCAUAUUAGAAGAACUUUCUGAUGAUGAGAUAAUUGAUGGGUUCGAAAUCGAGAGGGCGUCAUGCGAAAAUUGUUAGUUGCAAACUAUCGUGGUGAUAAUUCAGACGACAAAGAAAACAAUACUAAAAACAUAAUUAUUAUAUGAUUUGGCCAAUUGACCUACAUUUAAAACCUAAUAUUAAAAAAACAUAAAACUAAUAAGAGAGAAAUGUUAUUGUGUUAUGGUAUGAGAAGGGGGUCUUCUAUUUAUAGAUGUCCAAAACCAUUCCUCCAAGAAAUAGGUUAGUCAAAUAUGGAAAAAAAUUAUAUUUUUUCUUUUAGAAAAAGUAAAAGUAAUUAUGGUAACUUUUAUUUUCCUUCUAAGAAAAAGUAAAACUUAAAUAUAAUAAGAAAAUCAGGAUCACAAAUAUUGAGAAACAAAUAAAUAAGAAAAAUGAAUCAUUCUAGGAGACGAAUUGAAUGAUGAAAAUGAGACUACUGAAGAAUGAGAGAAUGAAACAAGCGAUGAGGAAGAUAUAGACUAGCAUGUUAGUUUUUUUUUACCACUAAUUAUUUGUUAAUACUUAUAAUUUUUUUAUAUGUUUAAUAUAAACUUGCAUACAAAUGAUAUCAGGUGGUGAUGGUGAUCGAUCUCGUAUUGAUAAGUGUUUGAAGUCGAUUAUUAAGAAGGAAUCUAAAAGGCCUAUACAGUAUGAUGAUAUUCCUGGUUGGCUUUUAUACCAGCCACAGAUGUACACUUCUUCAUUGGGGCAGUCUUAUGUCCCCUAUGGCACUGGUAAUCCUAUAGAUUGUUAUGGUCUCAAAGUGCAAUCACUACCUCGAUACACUUCUACUUCACAUACUAGGUGGGGCCGUGAGGGUAUAAAAGUAAGUGAAGUAGAAGUGUGUCGAGGUAAGAAUUGCUUUCUAAGACCAUGAUAAUCGACAGGAUUUUCAGUGCCAUAGGGGUCAUAAGACUACCCUAAUGAAGAACUGUGCAACUGUUGCUGGGAUAAAAGCCGGCCAGGAAUAUCAUCAGGUUGUAUAGGCCUUUUAGAUUUCUUCUUAGAAAUUGAUUUUGAACUCUUAUCAGUACGAGAUCGAUCGCCAUCACCAUGCGAUGUCCUUUGUAUGUAAGUUUACAUUAAAACAAUAUAUAAAAAAUCUUGAGUAUUAAAAUCACGACCUAACUAUUACAAGUCACUAGUUCACAAUUUUAAUUGACUAAAGAUUUUACAUCGUUUAAAUCACAAAUUAACAUUUUCAAGUCGCUAAUUAACAUUUUCUAAAAUCACUAGUCCACAACUUCAAUGCACUAUACACUUUACCCUUUCAAGUCGGAAAUUAACAUAGUCAAUUCUUUAGUUAAGUAUUAUUUCAGGUCACUAGUUCACAAUUUUAAGUCACUAGCUAGCAUUUUCAAGCCAAUAGUUCACAACUUCAAUUCAUUAAACGCUUCACAUUUCUUAAGUCACUAAUUCAUAACUUUAAGUCGCCAGUUAAUAUCUCCAAGUCAGUUAGUCCACUAUUUCAAUUCGCUAAAUACUUCACAAUUUUAAAUCACUACUUCACUAAUUUCAAGUCAGUACAAAGUCACUUCUUUACUAAUUCAAGUCUCUGCAAUUCAAACAGUCAAAUAAGUAAAGGUGUUGCACAUCCCUCUAACACUAAAUAAUCACAACAAAAAAUUUAAAAUUUCAAGAGAAAAUGCACUGUUUCCACCCUAAACUAUACACGAAACUGUUGAGACACACCCGAACUUUAGGAGGGUCUAUUACCCCCUGGACUAAUUAAAAUCGCAUUUUUAGAAACCUUAGUGCCUACGUGGCAUUACGUGGCACAUAUGUGCCACGAAGGCACUAAGGUUGCCAAAAAUACGCUUUUAAUUAAUCCUGGGAUAAUAGGACCCUCCUAAAGUUCGAAUAUGUCUCAACAAUUUCAUAUAUGGUUCAGAGUGGAAACAGAACAUUUUUCUAAAUUCUAACUAUUCACUAAUUCACAAGUCAAAUAAAUAUUCCAAUUUCCAGUUAUCAUUUCUAGAACAAGUCAAACAAUUUAAUUAAAUAAGUAGAGGUGUUGCACGUCUGUCUCACACCAUAUAAUUCAAACAAGAUCAUACCAAGCAAAAUUCACAUAAUUUGAAUACUACAAUGUACAUUUAUAAUCCAUGAUAAAAUAUAACAAACUAAAGAAAAAUAAUUAACUUACCUUUAUUUGGCCAAAGUUGAAGAGAAAAAGAAGGAGAAGUUGGAGUUCCAAUUCAACACCAAUUAGCUAGUCAAAUAUAAAAAAUCAAUGGUUAACAUUUUUUUUACAAUUAUAAAACCCAGAAAGGGAAACAACAAAAAAAAAUAGUGAAUGAAAAAUUAAUCACCAACUAAAAUUGUCAUAAAUUCUAUAUAAAUUGAUGAAUGGAAAAUAAAUUAUCAACAAUUGUACAGUAGCUUUUCCAAUUCAUAAUGCUUCAAACCAAUUACCAAUAAUUUAUGUGUGAUACUUUCGUUUUUAGUCCAUUUCAAAAAUAAUAUCAUCUUUUCUUAUUCAACAAGUAUUUAAUGACAUAAUUUCUAUUUUAUCCUCAUUGAAUUCCAUUUAACAUAAAAAGUCAAUCAAAAAAUAGCACAAAAAUGACUUUAAAGAUUUAUAAGUAAAUAUAUCAAAGUCGUUCUCUUAUUUCUUAAACUUUGCGCUCAAUCAAAUUAUGUCACAUAAAUUGAAACAAAGAAAGUAUUACCUAAAGAGUAAAUGCACUGUUUCCACCCUGAACUAUAAAUGAAAUUGCUGAGACACACACCAACUUAAAGGGGGUCCUAUUACCUCCGAACUAAUUAAAACUAUAUUUUUGGUAACCUUAAGUGCCUACGUGGCACAUACAUGUGCCUACAUAGACCUUCAGUAUGUUGAUUCACGCAGUGUGCCACGUAGACCCCUUUAAGGUUGCCAAAAAUACGGUUUUAAUUAGUCUGGGGUAAUAGGACCUCUUUAAGUUGGAGUGUAUCUCGACAAUUUCGUUUAUAGUUCAGGGUGGAAAUAAUGCAUUUUAUCUUAACUAAAUGCAUGAAUAAUUUUCUCCUCUCACAACUCAUUUUGCCAUAAGCACAUAGAGCUUUGUUAACUGUCACUAAAAUGGCCUAAUUGUUGUUCCAAUAUCACUAUUCACUUGACAUAUAUUCUAAGAAUCAAUAAAUAAUAAAAAUAAUUUUACCGUAUCACUCUUUAAAUAUAAUAAACUUUAUAUUUUGAGAAAUUCAUUAGGUGAUGAACAUUACUCCCUCUUUUUAUUUAACUUCGCAAUUUUGACUUGACAAACUCAUUAAGAAAGUAUUAGUUAGAAGUAUAUUUUACAAGAUUAACCCUAUUAAUAUUAAUGAUGUCUUGAAAUUCUAAAUCUCAGGCUGGCUUCUUGGGAAGCCCGCUCCCACCGCGCUCACGGCCUGGCAGCGGUAGUGGGAAUUCUCCCGUUCCCUGAUCAAAAACUUGGUUGGAUGUGGGAUCUACUCCACGAGGAGCGGUACAGACGUAGAUGAUAUCAUCACGACCCCUCUUUUCGUACCGCUAGGGAUGCUUAACGCCACCCCAAACUAUUACUAUUUUCUUUAUUUAAGUACUUAAUAUUGAGGGUAAUAUGAAAAAGAAGUAAUAAAACACUCUUGAUUUGCGAAAAUGAACAACCAAUUUGAAACAAAUAAAUUUAGGAAGAAGGUCAAGUAAAAUGGAAUCGAGGAAGUACUUAAUAGCAGUGGUAAAAUGGGUAAAACAUGAUAAAUUAUUCGUUGAUUUUUCAAGCUUGACAAUUAUUAUUGAACAUCUAUUUUUAAUAUCGUGGACAAGUAAACAUGAAUAGUGAAAGUAUAAGCUAAUCUUUAUGUAAAAGAAAAAUUUAAACCCACUUAUUUAUAAACAUGAAAAAACAUCUUCACUAUUGUAUAAAAGUCCCUUAGUAGUAUUUCCUAUGUGCACAUGUGAGAAAUCCAAACACAAAGUUUCUAUUUUUGAUUUGAGUUACAGUAAAAUAAAAUAAAUUAUUUCAACAGAAAAAUUAAAAAAAAAAAAAAAGAAACAGCAGAGGAGUUUACCAGCGACGACGAUGACGGAGAGAGAGAAAUAAAGAGAGCUAAGUCCGACUAGUUUAGGCAUCGCCUUUCAAGAGGCGGCGGAGAGAAGAAAGAAAAAAAGAAAGAGAGAAGAAAAUGAAAGGAGUGUUGCCCUAAUAGUCUAUUUAUUAAAAAAUUGACCAAAAAAACGAUGGAUGAAAACGAUACUAUCCGUUGCCUUUUUAAAAAAAUUAUAUAUAUAUAAUUUAUUUUUUAAAAUUUAAAAAUUAUUUAUUUAUUAAUAAAGAGAGAAAGAGAGAGGUGGCGGAGAGGAGAAAGGAAAAGAGAAAUGAAAGUGAGUGUUGCCCUAAUAGUCUAUUUAUUAAAAAUUUGACCAAAAAAGCGACGGAUGAAAGCGACGUUGUCUGUCGCUUUCUAAGAAAAACUAUAUGUGAUUUAUUCUUUUAAAAUAUAAAAAUUAUUUAUUUAUUAAUGAAUUAAACAAGUUAAAAACCGACAGACAGUGUUGUUUUAAUAAAACUAAUUUUUAUUUAUUUUUUACAAAAAAUAAUUUGGUCCUAAUUUUUUUUAUUUUUUUUUACAAAAUUAGUUUUGUCCGUCAUAUUUAUAAAAAAAUAAUUAUAAAUUAAUUAUUAAUUAUUUUGACACAAUAGUUAAAAAAAAAAAAAGCGAUGGACAUUGAGACGUUGUCUAUCGCUUUUAGCAAAAAAUAAAUAAAAAUUAUAAUAGAUUAAAAAUGUGACAGACAAUGUCGUUCUUUUUUAAAUUAAUUUUUUUUUUUUUAAAUAAUAGUGAUGUUCUCUGCCGCAUUUAUAAAAAAAUUAUAGAUUUUUUGUUAAUUAUUUUGACACACUAAUCUGAAAAAAAUACUUUUAGAGAAAAUAAAAAAAAAAUAAAAAUUUAAAAUUUAAAAUGAGCCGAUCGAGGCUGAUCAAGUCAAUAAAUGUGUCAUAUGCUUAACUCGCUCGAAAUUUGUUUGGGUCAAUAUGUGAAAAUAAUGGAUCAUACUCCAACUCGAUCACCCAAAUUGACCUGAUUUAAAUAGUUAUACCAUAAUUAACUGAAAAAAAAAAAAAGUAAAGCAUCUAGUACCCCUGAACUAUGACUAAAUUUGAUACGACAUACUCCAACUUCUCAGGGGUCCUAUUAUUCUUGAACUCAAUUUUAGUAUAUUUUUGUCACCCUUUUUAGCUGAUGUGACACAUUUUUAGCUGACGUGACACCUUUGAUGUGAACUCUAUUUUCAUAUAAUAAAGGUAAAGGUGCCAGUUGCUUUAGAAAUUUGAGCCUAAGUUGGGAUAAUUCGAAGACUUAGGAACGCAAACCUUGUAAGGUUUGUGUUUUUUAGGAACUAGAGUUAGUUCCUAGCGUUGCAAGAGUUUUGUUACCUAAUUUUCUAGUCGGGAAACUUGAAGUGGUAUUCAACGGUCCAGGGAGAUUGUUCAAUAUUAGGAAUUGGAGUUUAUAAUUUCUUAGAUUACAAAGAUUGCAAUCUUUUGUUGAGAGGCUCAUUACAUUUAAUGAAGUUGGUUUUAAAUCUUCCAGAGGUACGAAUCGUAAUUUUUUGCACCUUUUGUGAGCAAGAUAUUUUUCAUGUAAGACUAUCAUGUUCAGUACUUAUUGUCUUUACUGCUUUCGUUGAAACGCGUUAGGCAACUCGUAAGUUAAAUUCACUAAAAUACUAGGUCAUGUAGAAUAUUAAAAACGACCAAAGUCAAGUAAGAGUUUGGUGGGUCCCGACUCGAAUUUAAUUAAGGAUUCAUUCAAAAUGAAUAGUUUAAAUUGAAAUCAGGAGAUUUUUAUUGAUUUGGGAAUAUUCAUCCAAUUUAAAUAGACAUAUCAUGUAUUAAAUGAAAAAAGCGUAAAACAUCUGGUACCCUUUAAAGAUGAUCAAAUUUGCUACGACAUACUUUAACUUUACAGGGGUCCAAUUAUUUCCUGAACUCAAUUUUAGUAUAUUUUGUCACCCUUUUUAGCUGAUGUGACACAUUUUUAGCUGACGUGACACCUUUGAUGUAAGUUCCAUUUUUAUAUAAUAAAGGUGUCAAUGUCAGCACAAAAGAGUAUAAAAAAUAAACUAAAAUUAAGUUCAGGAUUUUUUGUCACCCUUUUUAGCUGAUGUGACACAUUUUUAGCUGACGUGAUACCUUUGAUAUGAGCUCCAUUUUUAUAUAAUAAAGGCGUCACGUCAGCACAAAAUGAUGUAAAAAAAAAACAAAAUUGAAUUCAGGAGGGUAGAACUCAUGAGAAGUUGAAGUAUGUCGUAGCAACUUUGAUCACGGUUCAAGAGGGUACUGGAUCAUUAAAUCAAUGAAAAAUAAUGUUCAACCUAUUUUGACUCAAUCAUACAAACAAAAAUAAUUGCAAUAAUUAAAUCAAUAAAAGAUGAUAUAAGUUAUUCCAUUAAUAAUUGUUGCCUUAUGAAGCAUUAGUAUAUUGACCAUUCUUUUACUUCUUUUGUGAAGCAUGAUGGUAGAUACAAAUAAAAAAAAAAAAAAAAUUAAAAAAAAUAAAAUAAACAAAGGUCCUAUAUCUUACAAUAGUUAUCAAUUGAGUAAUUUUUUGAGUCAUAAUUAGAGAGUAAUAAUAUUUAUUCCUAUGGUGGUAACAAUAUGGAUGGUGCAUCGUCUAUUUAUCGUUCAGAAAUCAGGAUGCACACGCCUAUGGUCUACUAUUUCGUUGGUGGAUGUUGCAUGCGUUACGUGACUUAUCAUCGAUCUUCAAUGGGUAGCCAUGUUGGUCGCGAUUGAUAUCUUAUGUUGUCGAUAUUCAUUAUGGAAAGAAGGAACUGGAGGAGGACGAGCAAAUUCCUUACGACCUGCAAAGUUCUUUUCUGAUAUCUGCGUACUUAUCAUGUCAGUACGAGAAUUGGUACCAGGAUUAGAUCCAGGAGAUCGAACCGGACGCCAUUGCAAAGAUGGUAACAAAAGAUUUUCUUUAUGUUCAAGAAUUCUUGCUCCUUCACUUGUCUCCAAAAUUUGGAACAAAAAAAGAAAUAGUAUUAUUACACAACAAGAAGUAGCAAAAAUAUUGUUAGUUUGUGUAGCCAUGUUGAAUUAAUUUUGAUAGAAAAUAAAUUUAGUAUAUGAUUUUGAUGAAUAUGGUAAUGAGAUAUUUGGUGUAUUUAUAACCUUAUCAUAUAACGUGUUGCUACAACUUAGUUUGAAUUUUUCUCAAAUUAUAGUGUUUUUUUUUUUUUUCAAUUUCAUGAUAUGUGGAAUUGACAUUGACUAUUGACUACUUGACAUUAGAAAAAAAAAAUUCAAGAAAUUGAACUAGUCAUAUGUGAGCUAAAAAAAAUAUAAAUUUCGAGAUACAUAAUUAGCUCCCGAUACAUUCAACGAAGAUACUUUUUUUUUCUUUUGUAAAUAUAUAUAAUUCGCUCCCGGAAUAUCUUUUCCGAUACAUAAUACAUCCAACGAAGAUACAAUUUUUCCUUUCUAAAGAUACAUAAUUAGAUUUCGAUACAUUUUUUUGUUCGAUUUUGGGUCUGUCGAGAUACAUAAUACAUCAAACUAGGAUACAUUUUUUUUGGUAAAGAUACAUAAUCAAUCUCGAUAUAUUUUUUCUGAUUUUGAGUUUGUCGAGAUAUAUAAUUAGCUUCCAAUACGUCCAUGAAGAUACGUAAUUAUUUGAAUUUUUGUGAUUACUUUGUAAGGCUGAAAAUUCGUAUAAGUGUGAUAAGUUCAGUAGAACUGCUUCACCCUUGAUUAAAUAUCUUAGGAGCGAGCCCUGGAUAUCGAGUAAAUUCAGUUGGGAGCGUCACCUAUAAAAUGGAUUAUGCGGUGCACAAUCUGAAUUAAUUGAAACUCCAAUAUGAAUAUCGAAUAUCGAGUGAAAUAAAUAAAUAAAUAAAUAAAUAAAUAAAUAAAUAAAUAAAGGCUCUAUGCAGACUGAGAAAAAAAAAAGUUACUAAGUACUCCCUCCUUUUCAUAUUAGUUGGCCCCUAUGGAUUUGGCAUACCCAUUAAAAAAAUAUUAAUUAGAGGGUUUAACUUACCAAAUUAGUCUUAUUAAUUAUGCUUCGAAAAUAUAAAUUUAAGUAAAUAUACUUUGUUUAAUCAUUUAAUAUUAAGGGUAAUAUUGAAAGAACAUAAUAAAAUUCUCUUGAUUUCAUCGGACAACUAAAUUUAAACAAAUAUUUUUAGAAAGAGAGUUAAGUAAAACGAAACGGAGAAAGUAACAAAAAAAAAAUGAACCUCAUAGUUGCUAUCAUUUAUAUAAUUUUUUUAGUUUAAUCAUUAAUAACAAUUUUUGAAAUAAAUGAAACCUAUCAAUAAGAAUUACAAUAUUAAAUGCUGCUUUUGUGAAGCAUGAUGAUCAUUUAUAUUUUAUACAAAAAUAAAUCCCAUAUUGUAUGUUUUAACUAUGUGUCCAUGCUAUUUUUGGUGAGUCUUUUCAUUAUUUCACCGGAUAUCUGCUACCUUCAAUUAGCUAAAAUAGCGAAAAACUCUGUCUGUCAAUGUUCUGGUCGAUGGAAGAAAAUCACCAACAACUGUUUGUCUCUGUCGUGGAUACUCGUUGUUGAAAGGAGAUAGCGGAGGAGGAUGAACAACUUCCUUAUUACGACCUGCAAAGUUUCUUUCUGAUAUCUGGUCUGCCACGUUUGUAAAGGAGUUUGUUCCAGGAUUAUCUCUAACUGAGUUAAAAUAGCGAGAAAUUCUGUCCAUCAAUGUUCUGGUCGAUGGAAGAAAACCACCACCAACUGUUUGUCUCUGUCGUGGAUACUCAUUGCUGGAAGGAGAUAACGAAGGAGAAUGAACAACUUCCUUUUUACGACCUACAAAGUUUCUUUCUGAUAUCUGAUCUGUCAUGUUUGUAAAGGAGUUCGUUCCAGGAUUUGGCCCCGGAGAUUGAACCGGACGCCAUUGAAAAGAUGGUAAGAGAAGAUAUUUUCCAAUAUUGCCCUUCCAAAUUAUAUCUUCUUUAUGUUCAAGUAAUUUUGCUCCAUCACUUGUUUGCAUGCUUAUGAAAAAUAAUAGAAACAAGAUUAUACAACAAUAAUUUGCAUAAAAAUUGUUAUAAUUUUGUACUACCAUGUUGAUUUAUUUUGGUAAAAUUAUGAUGGAAAUUUAGUGUAUUUAUAGCCCUUUCUUAACGAGUUAUUAAUUUCUACAACUUUAAUUAAUUUAAUUCAAUUUAAUGGUAUUGUUUUGAAUGUUGACUACUUUGCGUCACAAAGAUUUUAGAAAUUGAAUAUUUGAUCUAGACAUAUUAUUAGUCACCAAGUAAAAAUGAGGGUACUCUUCACAUUUAUUUAAGAAUUUUUUUAUUUUAAAAAGCAGUAUUUAAGAUAUUUUUUUAAUAUUAAGAUAGGAACUUAUUUGAGCUGAAUAGGUUAAGAAAUUCUGAACAAGGUGUUAAUAUCAUUAGGAGGUAUUUUUUUAUUGUUUAAUUAAUUUUUUUUUAUUAUGUUUAUAAACAAAUAAAUUAUAUGCACUGAGAAGUUAAAUAAAUAAAAUUUUAAUUAAUCGGCAGUUAAAUCCAAAGCAAUAGCUUAAUCAUUCAAAUUCAUUUCCACGAAAUAAAAUAAAAGGUUAAUUUUACUAUAACAGUUGUUAAUUUUAAGUUAUCCAAAUGUUGAAAAAUGCAUUAAUAUUUAAUAAUAAUGAUAAAAUAAAUACAAAAUAAUAAAUUAUCUCAUAAUUUUUCAAAUUUAACAAAUAAAAUUGAACAACUAUUUUUAACAUAAAACUUUUACCUAAUAGAAAUUACAUUUUUAGCUCUGUUGGGGGAAUGUUUGUGCGCUAAUGAAUCAAGACUCAAAAUCAUUAAUAUAUAUUCCCUCCGUUUAUUUUACUUGGCUCAUGUUAACUUAACUUAAUAUACUUUUUAUUUUUUUUAAUUAUAGGUGUAUUUAACUAAAUUAAUUUUAUUAAUAAUUUAUUGAGAUUUUAAAUUUGACUACUAUUAUUUAUGUAGUUAUUUUUAAUAUUAAAAAUAAUAUGAAAAAAAUAAUAAAAUGCUAUUGAUUUACGAAAAUAAACAAGUAAGGUAAAAUGUAAAAAUGAAACGUGGGGAGUAACAACUUUUGCAAUAAAUAAAAAGUAUUAAUAAGAUUAUAAUAUUAAAAUGGAUCUACAAAUAAUUAUUGCAAUGGCUAUACUGUGAUUUAUUGAGCCAUUUUUUUCUCUCCAUCUGCUUCUUUUUUCAAAUAUGAUGGCCAUUUAUACAAAAAAUAAAAUAAAAUGAAACUAAUAAUAAUAAUNNNNNNNNNNNNNNNNNNNNNNNNNNNNNNNNNNNNNNNNNNNNUUUUUUUUGCUAUUUAACCAAUAUAUGCUAUCUUCAAUUAGUAAAAAUAUCGGAAAACUCUAUCCACCAAUGCACCGACCGAUCGAAAAAAUCCACCAACAUUUUUUUGUUUGUGUUGGGGAUACUCGUUAUUGAAAGAAGGAAGUGGGGGAGGACGAGCAACUUCCUUACGACCUGCAAAAUUUCUUUCUGAUAUCUGACUUGCUAUGUUUGUAAACGAGUUGGUGCCAGGAUUAGAUCUAGGAGAACGAACCGAACGCCAUUGGAGAGAUGAUAGUAAAAGAUAUUUUCCAUUUCCCUUCAAAUUAAUUAUACUUUCAUCUUCUUGAUCUUCUUUAUGUUUAAUAAAUCUUGUUGCUUCACUCGUUUGACUUAGGAAAAAGAAAAAAAACAAUAUUAAUAUACAACAAGAAGUUGUAUAAAAAUUGUUAUAAUUUUGAGUUGCCAUAUGUUGAUUUUGCUAAUUUGUUGGAAAUGAAUUUAAGAGUUUUAUUUGUUUGAUGAAUUUGAUAAUGAAAUUUUGAUGGAGUUUUAAUGUAUUUAUAACACUUUCAUAACGUGUAAUUAUAUAUUGCUAAAGACUUUGAUUCUUUUGAAAAUUUCUAUUUUCAAUUUCAUGGUUUUAUUUUGACUAUUGACUACUUUGGUAUCAUAAAGUAAUUGAGAAAUUGAAUUGAACUAGUCAUAUACUUUCACCCGCUUAAAUUAUCUGUCGUAUUUCUGUUUUAUUUACUGGUUUAAUAGCAAGGAUAAAAUGAAGCAAACGGUAAAUUAUUCAUUGAUUUUUCAAGGGAAAAAGGUUCGAAAUAUACCUAAACUUUGACGAAAUUUGUUGUAACACGCCUUAACUUUGCAAGGGUCCUAUGACCCCCUCGACUAUUUAUUCUCGUAUUUCUGUUGCAUAUAUAUGCCUAGUUGGACCACUGCGUGAAUAGAUGCACACUGAUCGCGUGAGGGUCUGAAAAGGUCCAACUAGACAAACAUAUGCCGCAGAAAUACAGUAAUAAACAGUCGAGUGGAGUCAUAAGAGCACCACAAAGUUGGGGCGUGUUACAACAAAGGUAUUAAUUGUUGGACGUCUAUUUUUAGUAUACUUAAAACAUAAACCUCACAUAACUAAGUUACACGUGCGCCUAGAAGUCCAGGGCGAAUCUUAAAACUACUUUUUAAAACACUGAUCACGAAAAUAUGAUUGGACUAAACUAUUAACGAGUAAAAAAUAUAUUAAACUUCAUCCUUAGGUCUGACCCUAUUUCUUCAGGUCAAUUCAUCAAACUCAAACUCAAAACUUCUGAUUAAAAAUAAAAAAUUCUCAUAAAUUGCACCACACUCCCUAGUGGUGACAAAUGUGCUUUGUAUUUGCAAUUGGGAGUACUAGUAUCAAAUGAACGGAUUGACAUGAAUUUGAACCGAUCAAAAUAAACUAUACUUUAAAAUAAUUUAAUUGAUGCACUUUGUCUUCUACUAUAAACAAGCUCAAUAAAACUUGACAUUAAUUUAUCACCUUCUAUUUAUCAAUACACAAUCAUUAAUAACACAAGUUUGCAAUAAAUAAGAUUAUUAUAAUAUUAAAUGCUCCACCAAUUACUGCAUGGCUAUAGGACUAUGAAAAAUUAGUACAUUGUCUGAUACAUACAAAAUAAAUAAAGAGUUUAAGUUUCGUGUAUCGUUAGUGUACAAAAUAUUCUAUACUAUCAGGUAAACUUGACUUGCUAUUGCAAGUUACUUAAUUUUUUCUUUUUUUAAUUCUUAUGUAAAUAAUUGAAUAACCUACAAUAUAGCAGGUCAAGUUAACUCAUAGUGUAAAAUAUUUGGUGGACUGACGGUGCACAUAAUUUAAACUCAUAAAUAAAUUAAUUCACUGACAUAUGAAAAUAUAUCACCUAACACCUGUUAUUUCUGAUGCGGAUUUUCGUUAAUUACUAGGAAGUGGAGGAGGAUGUGCAAUAACUUCCUUACGACCUGCAAAGUUUCUUUCUAGUAUCAGCUGAUUUGUCACAUUUGUACGAAAAUUCGUACCAGGAUUAGAUCUAGGAGGACGAACCGAACGCCAUUGCAUAGAUGAUAACAAAAGAUUUUCUUCACGUUCAAUGAAUCUUGUUGCUUCAAUUGUUUUGAACAUGAAAAAAAUUAGCAACAUAACACAACAAGAAGUUGCAAAAAUAUUGUUAUUUUGGGUUGCCAUGUUGAUUUAAUUUUGUAAGAAUAUUUGAUUUUUGAUGAAUUUGGUAGUGACAUUUUAUAGUGUAUUUAUAACCUUUCACAACGUGUUAUGUAUUUCUAUGAUUUUAAUUCUUUCGAAAAUCUGUAUUUUCAAUUUUUAUUGUUUAAUUUUGACUAUUGACUACAUGGGGUCACAUAAAGAAAUUCAUAAAUUGAAUUAUUAAUUUAGUCAUAUAUAUAUAUCUGAGGAAAAUGACUGAAAGAAAAAAAAAAGGAACUUCAUAAUUUUAUGUUUGUUGUUUGUAUUACUAAUCACAAAGUAGACAACCCUAUGCUACUUUUCAAUUUUGUUUAAUUAUUGGGCAAAUAAUACAAAUUUCGAUAAGUUGGAGCUUAAUUACAGAAAAUAAUCCCGAUAUUUUGCAUAGUUACUGAAAAUCUCAAUUUUGGGUCUGUCGAGACUCGAGAUAUAUAAUUAGCUCCAGAUACAUCCAACGAAGAUAUAUUUUUUCCUUUGUAAAUCUACUUAAUUAGCUUUCAGUAAUUUUUUUUUUUAAUUUUAGAUUUGUCAAGAUACAUAAAGAUCCAAUAAAAAUAAAUUUUUUCAUUUAAUUCGCAAAGAUACAUAAUUAGCUUCGGAUACAUUUUUUCAAUUUUGGAUCUGUCGAGAUACAUAAUUAGCUCCCGAUAUAUCCAACGAAGAUACAUAAUUAGUUGAAAUUUUUGUAAUUACUUUAUAAGGAUGAAAAUUUAUGUAAAUAUGGUAAGUUACGGUGUGUGGUAUGUAUAAAUUGUCGAUCAAUGUUUGUGUGGUGUAUAUAAAAUUGUCUCACUAACAAUAAAAAUAGGGAUAAUACUCACAAAAAUACCUGAACUUUAAUCGGAUUUCUAGUUGAGCAUACUGAACUUUGCAGGGGUCCUAUUACCCUCUAGACUUUUUUCUUUCGUAUUUUAAUGACAUAUAUCUGCCCACUUAGACACGUAUAAAUAUAAGGUUGACGUGUGUAUUACACGCACCGAUACACGUGUAAAAAUGAGACUGGCGCAUGCAUUACACCGCCAACUGCCGAAACUGGGUAUAGAGUUUCGGAAGGAAAUUAAAUCCACUUUAAAAAGUCUUACCCCCGCAAAGUUCGGUAUGCUCAACUGAAAAUCCGGUCAAAGUUCAGGUAUUUUUGUGAGUAUUAUCCCAUAAGAAUAUGAAGUAGAUUUUUGAAACUUAAGAUAUAAAACAAACCAUAGAUCGUUCGAUGUUUGUGUGGUAUAUAUAAAUCGUCUCACUAAUAAUAAAAAUACGAAAUAUCAUUAUCGAUAUAGAAUGUACAUGUAAAAAAUAAAAAAAUUAAUAACUCUGUCAUACGACUCUGUCGUCGGUUGAUUACACUAAUAUUCAAGUCAAUUUAUGCGCAUCUAAACUUAUAUCUUAUUCUACCUAGCUCCCACAAACACGAAUACCCGCUCGCUCUGUCGAUCAAGACUUAGACGGAUGAAAGAAAAUCACGUAAUGCUUUUUGUCUCUGUUGUCGAUGCUCGAUAUUACCCGAAAAAGAAAGUGGAGGAGGCGGAAGAGCAAUUUCUUUACGACCAGCAAAGUUUCUUUCUGAUACUUGACUUGCUAUGUUUGUACGAGAAUUCGUACCAGGAUUAGAUCUAGGAGGACGAACAGGACGCCAUUGCAGAGAUGGUAACAAAAGAUAAUUUUCAUGUUUAAAUAAUCUUGUUGCAUCACAUUUUUUCAUAUUUAGGAAUAUAAAAAAAAUCAAGAUUAUACAAACAAUAUUAAAAAAUUUGUAACUUUGUGUACUAAUUGCCAUGUUGAAUUUUUAUUUUUUUUUUGGUAAAAAAAAAAUUGUGCACAAUCAAUAUGAAUUUUUGGUGUGUUAAUUUGUGAUGAGAAUAUAAUUCUGAAAGUUGUUAUGGUGUAUUUAUACAACUUUCAUAACGUGUUAUUAAUUUCAAUUUCAAGAAUUUUGACUGUUGACUAUUUAAUUGACGUAAAAUUUACAGAAAUUGAAUUGAAAUAGUCAAUUUGUGAUUAAUUUUUUUUUUUUUUUUUGAAAGAGUCAUAUGAGAGAAGAGACUAACAAAAUUGACUCUCAUAAUAUUAGAAAGAAAAAAAAUAAGAUGUUUUCUGCCCAUUUAUUUUAACAAGAAAAUAAUUAAAGUAACAUAAGAACAAAAAAUUAUACCAAGUUAUAUUUGUUUAACUAUUAGCUCGAUUAAUUCGCAUCGCGUAGGACCUAUAUGAGAGGAUUGUUAUCAAGAAUUUCUUCAUUUUCAAAGCUCGAUAAGGUUAUUUAUGAUCUGUAGCUCCCUCUGUCUCAAAUUAUUUGUCGUGAUUUUUUUUUUCACCUCUCUCGAGAAUAUUAAUUAGGAGGGGUGUUUUAAUUAUUUUAACCUUGGUUGGUACUUGAUCUACUAUAUAAUAUUCCUUCCGUCUCAUAUUACUUGACAUGUUUGUCUUUUGCAGAACUAUUAAGAAGAAAUUAAUAAGAGAUGUUAAUUGACUAAUAUGACCCUAUUAAACUUACAUUAACUAUUGUCAUUACUAUUAUGAUCGGGCAGAAAAUAAGCAAAUCACAAGCAAAAGGAAAAACAAGAAACACACAGAUUUUCAUGAAAAUGCUUGCGGAAAAAACCACAGGUAGAGGAAGAGGAUUUUCACUAUAAUGGAGAGGAGUACAAUGUAGGAGACGUAGUCUCAAUGACAUAAUUUUGUUACGUCCAAAACGACCCACCAAAUGCACUUAUAUAAUACGUGUGUACAAAUAGGUCCUAGGCCCAAAAACAUAAAGGUCCAUACCGUGGGGACUUCACCCCGCACCCCAACAGGAUCAGUGGUGGGCUCCAGGCCCGAUCCCAGAAACCACCACUGAUCCCACAAAAAAUCACAAACAUAGGUCGCACCACGAAACUUUCAGGGCCAGAUCAACAAAAAUCGGGUCACAAUUCUAAUAAUUACCUAUUGGAGUUAAUUACUCUUUCAUUAAAUUACAAAGAGUAAAGUUAGAAAAAUAUAUCCAAUGAUCUCUUGAUUAUUUAAACAUGUCAAUUACUUUGAGAUAAUUAUUUUUUUUUAACAAACAUGCAGUUAUCUCUUACAGUAUUAGAGGCGAAUGCAGCUUUAUAUAUUAUAUUAGAUUUAUUUUAGCUCAAUACUUUAAUAUGGAGUAUAAAUUUAUAUACAUAAGAAUGUAUUAAAAUUGCAACAAAUAGUAGGUGGUGAAUCCACAUUAUGCUCAUUAUAUAAAAAAAUAUUAAAAUAACGAAAAUAUAAUGAAAAACUAUAUAUAAAAUAAAUAAGAAAAAUUCAGUUCUUUUAUUAUAGUCUGAGAAACUUCGAAAUACACCUAUAACACCAUCAGCGUAUAUAAAUUAAUAUAAAAAUAAAAAUAAAAAUAUUAUGAUACCUUGGUUAAAGUACCAUAAAUAUAUAUAAAUUGUCAAAAUUCUUGGUGGAAAUGUCAAUAGUGCCAUUGAUUCUCAAUUGUUAGACUUAUUUUCUAUUUAUAGUCACAUCCACUUCAAGUUGGUGGUCCAAUUUACGAGGAUGAGGAUGAGGAUGAGGAGAAAUAACUGUUUUCUGAUCGAUUAUGUUUGGCGUCAUCUUACCGUUGUCGCCAGGGCUUGCAUUGGUGGCAGGAUUAGGUGAUGGCGGUAAGACUCGACCCUAUUGGAGAGACGAUAAUAACAACAACAUAUUUACAUUUGUUGUCCAAAUUACCCCAAUUUCAUAGACCCUUAACUUUACGGGGAGGCGAAGGCGGAGGAAGAGGAUCAAGAGAAAUAACUGUAUUCUGACCGAUCACGCUUGGCGUCGUCUUACCGUUGCCGCCAGGGCUCGCAUUAGUGGUAGGAUUAGGUGAUGGCGGUGAGACUCGACCCCAUUGGAGAGAUGAUAACAACAACAACGUAUUUACAUUUUUUUCCCAAACUACCCCUCCUUUUUGAUCAUCAAGAAGAUUAAUUCUAAUUGCUUCAUUUUGUUUGAUGAUUGAAAUAAUAAUCACAAAUAUUGCUAAUACAAUAGGGCUUCUUUGUAUUCUCAUAUUCAUUUUGCAACAAUCAAAUUCAUCACUAAUUUUAUUUAGCAACAGAUUAUCAAAAAUAAAAAUACGCCAGCUGCGAACGAUUUAGCAAUGUUAUAUUAUAAAAUAUAAACGGUGAUAUAGCAAAAUAUUUGAGAGAUAUAUGAUGAGAAAAUGUAUGAGAAAAUGAUUGUGUAUUUAUAAUGAAUUGAGAGGUCUAAAAUUAGGAUUGAUUUAUUGGACAUAUUAUUAUUAUUUCAAUAUAUUUUAAAUGCUAUUGAAGGACUUUUUGACCAAAAAAGUAUGAAAGGAACUUUAUUGAAUAGAUAGUAGAAACCGAAAGUAUAAAUCUUUAUUAUAACUUAAAUUAACAUGCAGCACGCCAUGCACAUGCUAUACGUACAUUAUAUUUUACGGUUAAUCAGAUAUCUCAGGUUUAAGUAAAAAUAGCGAUAGAAAGCGUAUUCGUCUUUUAACAUGUUUUAUAGAAUGCAAAUCUGGGUUAAUAGAGAACUUGAAGCAGGUUUUUCGAGGCGUGAAUAAGUGAAAUUCAUUCAUUCAUACAAAAUAUCUGAAGUUUAUAUACCGACAUUAUUUCUUUCGAUGAUUUAAGUUAUAUAUAUUACCAGUGAUAUAAUUAUAUUAUUUACAUUAUCAGUAUUAUAUGACCUUUUAUUGAAGAUAGUUUCUUUUUUUAUGAUUAUCAGUUAAUAUUUCGAUGGAAAAUAGCAUGUAAUUAUUCUAAAAUAUAUACUAGACAUGACGAUAUAAUGAUCUCAUUAUUCUUUUUUUUUUUUGGUUACCCUUCCGGUGUUAAGUACUUGCAUUGGAGCCCGUUUUAAAUUCGAAUUUGCGCUGAGAAAUCUCACAGGAAGCUCGAACCCGAGACCUGAUCUGGUUACUGAUGAAGGAGUACUACCACUCGACCACAACCCUUGUUGGCUAGUAUUUAUGUUUUAAGUGAUUUCCAAAAACGUAUAUCAUACGACGUUGUGGAAGAAAUACAAGGUAAAACUGCGCAUAAUAGGGAUGUGAAAAAAUCAAUUCAAUCGAUAAAUCAAACUGAUAAAGACUAAAAAACGAUUAACAAAAACUAGUAACGAAUAUAUUAUUGGUUCGAUUAUCAGUUUAGCGUGUUUACAAAACCGAAAAUUGACAAACCGAAUCGAUAAUGCACAAAAUCGAACCGACCCGAUCGAUGCAUACUCCGCCGAGCACACAAUAUACCCUUGUGAUGGGGCCCUUUUCCGGACUCUGUACAUACCGAAAACUUUAAUGAAUCGAACUACCAAAAAAUAAAUCAAAUGGCCCCUACAUUAACCUUGGGGUAUUAUGGUCGGUUCAUUUGAACAAAUUAUAUGGUAUUUAAUUUUUAUAUCCGUCCAAGUAAAAAUAUAGUAAAUAUUAUUGCAGCUAUAUCAAAUACUAAUAAUUUUUACUCUAAAGUGGAAUAAUACAUACCGGCCAUAAUGUUUAGUAAAGAUUUGACUUUACUAUAAAUAAAAUAAAAAUACAAUGUGUAUUAAUACUGAAUUCUCCCAUAUUUUUGGAGGUCAAAGGAAUUAAGACACAAUCUUUUACACGUUUUUGGAGUGGAAUUUGUUUGUUUACUUUUGCUAAUUUUAGGAAAAUGCAUUGUAUUAACACUACCAACAACUAUUCCAAUUGUAAUUAAUUUAUUAUAGAGAAAAUACACUAUUUUCACCCUGAACUAUAAACGAAAUUGUUGAUACACAUUCCAAUUUAAAGGGGGUCUUAUUACCCUCUGGACUAAUUAAAAUCCUAUUUUUGAUAACCUUAAGGCCUAUGUGGCACACUGCAUGAAUCAACAUACUGAAGGUUCACGUAGGCACUUAAGGUUACAAAAAAUAUGAUUUAAUUAAUUCGGGGGAGGGAUAAUAGGACCCACUGUAAGUUAGGGUGUGUCUCAACAAUUUCGUUUAUAGUUUAGGAUGGAAAUAAUGCAUUUACUCUUUAUUAUAUACACUCCACAACCUAUAUCUUCUUCAUUGAAAAUACAAUUAAAUAAUUAAAGUGUAUUUUUUCUAACAGUUUAAAUUUUUAGAUAAAUUGAUUACACACUUUAAUAUAGUAUCAGAGCAAAUAGAGGUCCUAGUAUUGAAUCUCACCGUCAUUCACUAUUAAAACGAAUUUUCACAUGCUUGAGUCAUAAAAAAAGGGUUCGCGGGCGUGUUAAGAAUAAUAGGAGCAUGUUAAGAAUAUAAUUAAAUAAUAAAUGUGUACUCUCUCUAACAGAAUUAAGCUUUUAGAUGAGAUGAUCACACACUUCAAUAUCCGCUAUUCACUUUUAUUUGUCUAAUUUACUACUUUCUCCGUUUCAAAAGAAUAACCUGUAUGGGCGUAUGAUAAAAUAAACUUAUCAAUAAUUAUUUUUUUAAUGAAUGUGUCAGGUCACAAUAUAACAAGUAAAAGUGAAUGAAGAUAGUAUUUAUUGUUCCUUUAGGUUUUAUUUCUCACUUAUUUACUAAUUGAAUUUUUACUUUUACUUGUUGUUUUUGACAUAUUAAAAAAAAAGACAACUUUGUUAUCCUAUUUUACCCUUGAAAUUAAUAUAUGGACGGAGGGAGUAGUUGACUGAAAAAUACCUAUGAUUUAUUUUAGAACAUAAAUUUCGAAAUUCUUUCUUUCUUUCUUAAAUUCUGUAUCGAGUCAAACUACUCACAUAAAUUGAUACAUAAAAAGCAUAUUCAAAGGGUGAUAUAAUAAAAUUACUCUAUAUUAUUUAUUCUUUCUUAAUCUCUGUGUCAAAUUUAACAGUGAAUAACUAUUAUUGGACGGAGGAAAGGGAAUAGUUAGACAAAAAACAGUGAUGUAAAUUAAAGAGUGACAGUUAAUAUUUUAGCGCCACAAAAAUCUGUGUAAUUUUAUCAUGUUAAAAAUACUCCCUUCGUCCCAUUUUACCCGUCUUAAAUUGGGAUGACAUAACUAUUAAGAAAAUAAUAAUCGGUAAUGUAAUUUUACCAUUUUACCCUUCUUAAUUGUGUCUUGUUGUUAGUUCCAAUAUUGAUGGAUGACUAAUACCAAACCACCAUUUAUAUUCUUAAUGGUGUAUUUUUAAUGGUACUCCUCUUUGCAACAUUUUUCAAGAAUGCUAAUAACAAGGAGUAAUCAAUUACGCUAAAGGUAUAAUGGGGAAAAAAAUUGUCUUGUCUUGAUAAGUAAAAAAAGACAUCAAAUUAGGAAAUUUGGGACAGAUAAAAUGAAAUGGAGGAAGUAAUAAAUAAUAUGUGUAAUUUUAUCAUGUCAUUCUUUGAAUAUAAAUAAUUUAAUGGUUUGAAAAAUGUAUCGCGUAAUGAAUAUAAUUAAAUCUAAGGGCAAAAUGGUUAGAAAUAAGUAAAUUAUACAUUGAUUUUUCAAACACGAUAAGUAUUAUUGGACAACUAUUUUUAGUAACACGAACAAAUAUUGCCGAACGAAGGCCGUCCAACAAUAUCAAUCCACUACAUUAAAAAUAGAUGUCCAACAAUACUUGUUCAGUUUGAAAACUUAAUGAAUAAUUUAUUCUUUUCUACCAAUUUUAUCCUUGUUAUUUAAUACUAUUUAUCACUCAAUGCAUUUUUCAAACAUUAAAUUUAUUAUAUUCAAACUAUGAUAUUAUAAAAUAGAACAACCCAGCCCUGCCCAGUGCCCACUAGUGAUAUUAUCCGCUCUAUGUCUAGACCCGCACCUAGGGGUGUUCACGGUUUGAUUUUUAACGAAACUNNNNNNNNNNNNNNNNNNNNNNNNNNNNNNNNNNNNNNNNNNNNNNNNNNNNNNNNNNNNNNNNNNNNNNNNNNNNNNNNNNNNNNNNNNNNNNNNNNNNNNNNNNNUACUCUAAAAUAACCGACAAAAUAACCAAACCGAACCGAUAUAUAUGUAUAUAUAUUUAUAUAUAUAUAUAUAUAUAAUUAUUUAUAUAUUAUUGGUAAAUACAAUAUAAAUAUUUGUUACAUUUUAUAUUUUGAUCAUAAUUUAACUUUAGUCGUAAUACAUUCAGUCAUUUGUCUUCGUCCAGUUGACAGUAGCUUGUGAGAUUCUACAUGAAUUUUUCACUUUGAAUGACAAAUGAUACUAAUUGUGAAAAUAAUAUCUUGUUGUAUAUUGAAAUUUACGGCUGAGAUUCAUUAGACUAUAAACAGUCACUAAUUUUAAUUUUCUUUUUGAACCUUCUUGAGCAACAAGUUUAUGUGUUCACGUUUUAGGGGGUUUAUUAUAUCAUUCUGUUAAAUUUAAUUUUUAAAUAUUUUUUUAGAAGCGUUCAUAUGGCGUUGUUCAUGGUUUUACCAAAGUAUAACACUCAGUUGACAUCUUAGUUUCAAGGUUGAGAUACAACACUCGGUUGACAUCUCAUAUGUUAUAUUCGAUUUGUUUUUAUAAUUUUUCAACUUUUAUCAUUAGUUAAAGUUAUAAACCGAAAAAAUCGAACCUAACCAAACUAAACCGACAAGAACUAAACCGAUGGUUUUUUUUUUUUGUUUGGUUUGGUUUUAGAAAUUUAAAAACCGACUAAGUUGGUUUGGUUAUGGUUUUCACCAAUAACCGACCCAAACUGUUCCAUUCACACCCCUACCUGCACCGCUUUAAAAUAUGUCAAUAGAGUGAAAGACCUGUUUACUUAUAUACCCAACAUUAUCUCUCGUGUGUUUUACCGAUAUAGAAUUACUUAUUAUUUAUUGGUACUUAACCCCAUGUCAAAUCAAUAGCGGACAAGUAUUGUUCUACAUAUUUGAAAAAUAAUAAUAAUAAUAAUUAUGUAACAGUGUCAGUUAAUAUUUUCAUUUCAUGCAAAAAAAGAUGACAGACUAGCCACAAAAUAUGUGUUGGGUUUUUCAUAUAAAGAAAAAUUCAACAUACAUUUCUCCUAUUCUUUAGCAUUAUUCAACCAAACAAUGUCACACACAUCCAUCCAUCCAUUCACAUCCAAUACUCACUUUGAUCAACGGUUACCUGUGAUCUGAAAACUUCUCUGAUUUGUUGUGCAUCUCUAACAAUUAACUUUGAUUCCAUUUUGAACACUGGAUUUGUUGAUACGAUGGAUGUAUAGCUGAAGAAGUAAUCUGAAUAUAGUAAAGAUGGUAAGGAAUACUUAUGUUCUUCUUCACAAGUUUUGAUCAAAAUAAGUCAUUUUUUAAAUCAAUAUGUUUUUCGAGAACUUUACAAAACUAGUAUAAAUGUUGUUGGCAGUGACGUAUUACGUUUUAAGAAUAUUAACGGACCAAAAUGAACAGUAGACAGCGUUAAAGUAGGAAUCUUUACUGACAGUAACGUUUUUAGCUUAAAACGUUACUAACUAUAACGAGGCUCUGCGGCUCUGCCAAAUCAACUCUGCACAGUCUGAUGUGGCAGAGUUGCUGAGUUUCGAUCGUUACCAUUGGUAACGUUUUUGGUUUAACGUUACUGUCAGUAAUCAUUCUUAUUUUAACGUCGUUUUGGUCCGUUUAUUUUUUUAAAUCAUUAUACGUUACUGCCAACAGUGUUUAUACUAGUUUUGUAAAGUUCUCAAAAAACAUAUUACUUUGGUGAAUUGAUUUAAAAAAUGGCUCAUUUUGAUAAAAAAUUCUUCUUGUUCACAUUUGAUACGUAUGUUCUGUAAGGUCUGUUGGGGCUUUAAAUCGUAAAUAAAAGCGUGUGGUUCGAUGAGAACAAAUAGAAACAUUUAUGUGUUUGUCGAAGACUAAUAAUUAUAAGCAUGAAUGACAGAUAUAUGAACGAUGAAAUAGGAAACAGUUACGAUAAAGUGAAGUAUCAAUUGGUUUAGUGUAGAGUACUCACUGACAACGAAAAAGUAUGCCUUAGAAACUUGAUGACAACAGUUGAGCACACGUAAAAGGAGUCAAAGUGCUCAACACAAUUUUGAGCCUCCAUUUAGGGCUUAAGCGCCCCUUUGAUAACACUGGAUCAGUCUGACAGAAAGCUAAUAAGUAAAGAGUGUAAGGGUGAGGCCUAGUGGUUCAGUGAAGUUGGGUUGAGCACCAUGAGGUAUCAGGUUCGAUAUCUCUCCAUCUUUUAUAGCCUUAGUGGACACAGUUACCUGAUACCUGUUGCUGGUGGGAGGUAGUGUAUUUUCUGUAUUAGUCUGUUUGUGAUUCCAUCGAACUCUGGAUUUUACGCGUUUGUUGAUACAAUGGAUGUAUAGCUGAAGAAGUAUUCUGAAUAUAGUAAAGAUGGUAAGGAAUACUUUAUGUUCAUUUUCACAUUCCAUAUGUAUCUUCUGUAAGGUCUGUUGGGGCUUAAAGCGUAUGGUUCGAUGAGAACAAUAGAAAUAAUAAUUAUAAGCAUGAAUGGCGAAUGUAUGAGCAAAGAAAUCGGAAACAAUUACGAUAAAGUAAAAAAGUAUGCCUUAGAAACUUGAUGACAGCAGUUAAGGCUCAACACGUUUUGAGCCUCGGUUUAGGGCUUAAGAGUGCUUUAAGCGCGCCUUUGAUAUCAUCACUGGAUCAGUCUCACCGAAAACUAAUAAGCUAAGUAAACAACAACAACAACAUCUCCAGUAUAUUCCCACGAAGUGGGGUCUGGGGAGCAUAAAGUACGCAAUCCGUACUACUACCUCACAGGUGAGAUAGUGAGGAUGUUUCCGAAACACCCCCGGCUCAAGACAAAAACAAUCUAGAGUAGGACAUAAUAUAAGCACAAGAAAAAAUACGUAGACACAAAAAUAAGCCUUCCACAAAGUAAAGAAGUACACUCGACCUAUCCGAAACAACAACAUUACAAAAACACCAAGACCAGACACUACAACAGCUAGCAUGGAUAACAAGACAAAACACACCUACCUACUAGCAAGAGACACAGUCCUACCUUCUACCCGUCUACCUUAAUCCGCAUCCUCCACACCUUCCUUUUCCAGCGAAGUGCUGUUCUGAAAUUUUGGCAUCAACAAACAUAAAUGCUUUAUGUAUGCUACUUACAUGUAAGCAAAACUAUUGUGCAUGUCAAUUGGGGUAUACCAUCUAGGUUCUUUCGCGCGCGGAGCAUGUGUUCCUAUUUCUUUAGCCUCUUAUCUCAUGAUAAGUACUUCUGCUUUUGGCUUUCUGAUCUGAUAGAAAGGUAAAUUGUAUGCAGGGAACUCCAGUAAAUAUCAUUGUGGGAUCCCAUGUGUGGAUUGAAGAUCCAUCCAUUGCUUGGAUUGAUGGACAAGUAUCACAGAUUAAUGGAGAGGAUGUUCAGGUCGAUACAUCUGAUGGAAAGAAGGUACGUUAUAGCUCUUUUGCGCGUAACAUUAUUUUAUUUUUGCAGUUUCAGUUUACUCAUUAGUCGACCCUAACUUGUUUAGCGUCGUAGUAGUUGGUGUUGUUCUUUUUGUUCAGAAUGCAUUAUGUAAGUUCUGUCUCGUUCCUUCUUAUGUUUUCGCUCGCAACUGCUUACCUGUUUUUCACUUUUCAAUUCAAAUAGGUUACAGUAAAUUUAUCAAAAAUAUAUCCGAAAGAUGAAGAUGCUCCGGCUGCUGGAGUUGAUGACAUGACCAAGUUAUCAUAUUUGCACGAGCCUGGCGUGUUGCAGAAUUUGGCUUCAAGAUAUCAACUCAACGAAAUCUAUGUAAGUUUACGGUCCAAUUUCUGUAGAUUAAUUGUUGCAUCGAUGGGUGUUUCUAUCAUCAUAUUGUAUCGUAAUGUGACAUUGUGACAGACUUAUACCGGAAGUAUUCUCAUCGCCAUCAAUCCAUUCCAAAAGUUGCCUCAUAUAUACAAUCGCCACAUGAUGGAACAAUACAAGGGAGCACCACUUGGCGAAUUAAGUCCUCAUGUCUUUGCUAUCGCUGAUUCUUCUUACAGGUACUCCUGUUUCAACUUCCACUCCACCACAUGAUUUACCCUGCAAACACAACAUUUGUGACUAAGUUUAUAUAAUGAAUCAGGCAAAUGAUAAAUGAAGGUAAAAGCAAUUCAAUAUUGGUCAGCGGUGAAAGUGGCGCUGGUAAGACUGAAACUACUAAAAUGCUUAUGCAAUACCUUGCUUAUUUGGGUGGCCGUAGAAGCACUGAAGGUCGAACUGUCGAGCAGCAAGUUCUAGAGGUAAACUGUAUGAUCUUGAUGAGUUCACUAUUAUUUUGCUUUGUUACAGAAAGCUUGUAGAGGUGUCACUAUGCUCUAUGUGAAUAUUCAGUAGUACUUAAAAAUCCUUUUUCAUUUAUUUGAACACUAUAAUCUUGAAAAAUCCUGUUUCAUCUCUAAAAGAGAUAACAUCCAGUACCCCUCCGAACUAUGUCCAAAGUUGCUACGACACACCCCAACUUUACAGGGGUCCCAUUCCCCCCCUACUCAUUUUUAGCGUAUUUUUGCUUCCAAAGUCAGCUAAAAAGGUUGACAAAAGGUGCUACAUCAGCAAAAAAGGUUGACAAAAAUACGUUAAAAUUUAGUCUGGGGGGUGGGGGGGUUGUAAUAGGACCUCCGUUGGGGUACUAGAUGCUUUACUCUUUCUAAAAAGUACUAUAAAGUAUUAAGCAUUGUCAGUCAUUUUCUUCUGCCAACUUUACUGGUUGUAUUAUUCUCUUAACUCCGUUUUAUCUCCAGUCAAAUCCAGUACUUGAAGCAUUUGGCAAUGCGAAAACAGUUAGAAAUAACAAUUCGAGGUGAGAUACUGUUAUACUCAUGUUUCCAAUGAAGAAGUCGCAUACGGUUAUUCUUCUGAAAUGCUUAUACUUAUGUUGUUACAGUCGUUUUGGUAAAUUUGUCGAGAUUCAGUUUGACAAAAAUGGAAGAAUAUCUGGUGCAGCUAUUAGAACUUACCUCCUUGAAAGAUCUCGCGUUUGCCAAGUUUCAGAUCCUGAACGAAACUAUCAUUGUUUCUACCUUCUAUGUGCAGCACCUCAGGAGGUAAUCGGAUUUCAAAGCUUCUUUCGUUUCAUCUAUUUGAUAGCCUUGAUGUCCGUUUGACAGUUUUCCUAUCUUAACAGGUAGUUGAAAAGUAUAAGUUGGGUAGUCCUAAAACGUUUCACUAUCUUAAUCAAUCGAGUUGCUAUGAACUAGUUGGCGUAAGUGAUGCCCAAGAUUAUCUGGCAACACGGAGAGCGAUGGAUGUCGUUGGCAUUAGUGAGCAAGAGCAGGUUAAUUCCCUGGUUCCUUUAGUUUGUGCUGCCGUUUUUAUUUUAUAGUAACCGGUAAAGUUACUGCCAUACGACCAGUAGGUCACAGGUUCAAGCCUUGGAAACAGGUUCAAGCCUUGGAAACAGCUUCUGACGUACACAGACACUGCGCAUAGCGGGAGCUUUAGUGCUUCUAAGAAUCUAAGAAGUUACUCGUUUCUUUUUCAGGAAGCGAUUUUUAGAGUAGUGGCUUCCGUUCUUCAUCUUGGUAAUCUUCAGUUUGCAAAGGGCGAAGAAAUCGAUUCAUCAGUUUUAAAAGAUGACAAAUCUAAGUUCCAUCUUCAGACUGUUGCUGAGCUUCUAAUGUAUGUUCUUAGCUUUCAAAUUUUACUUCUCGCUGUCUUAAUUUAUUUGUGAGUAAAGCAUCUAGUAACCCCCCGAACUAUGACUGAAUUUGCUACGAUAAACUCCAACUUCACGGGGUUCUAUUACGUCCUUGAACUAAAUUUUAGCGUAUUUUUGUCAACAUUUUAAGCUAACGUGGCAAAUUUUGUCAAUCUUUUUUUCUAACAUAGGUCCAUUUUAUGUAAUAAAGGUGUCACGUCAGCACAAAAGGGUGACCAAAAUACCGCUAACAUUGAGUUCAAGGGGGUAAUAGGAACCUUGUGAAGUUGGAGUGUGUCGUAGCAACUUUGGUCAUAGUUCGGGGGGGGCACUGGAUGCUUAUAUCUUUAUUCUUUGUUGUCGAGUGUUUGAUGUGAUUCAAUUCUUAUAUCAGGUGCGAUCUUAAGGAUUUGGAAGAUGCGCUAUUGAAACGUGUAAUGGUCACACCCGAAGAAGUAAUAAAGAGAAGUCUUGAUCCCGAUGCUGCAACAGUUAGUAGAGAUGGGCUUGCUAAAACGAUAUAUUCUCGCUUGUUUGACUGGUACGCUUCUAUUGUCUUCACGGAAUUGUUUAAUGUAGUCUGUUACCGAUCAUUUGACACUAACAUCAACGGUUUUCAACUGCUUACAGGUUGGUGGACAAAAUAAAUAACUCGAUUGGUCAAGAUCCGAACUCAAAAUCUCUAAUUGGUGUCCUCGACAUAUAUGGUUUUGAAAGUUUUAAAACUAAUAGGUAGGCGUUAAAUCGUUGGAGGAUACACGGCUAUUGUUGAAUGUGUUGUUUUGACAUUUGACUCGUUCGACUUUUGUGUACCAGUUUUGAACAAUUCUGCAUUAACUUCACAAAUGAGAAGCUGCAGCAACACUUUAACCAGGUAUUUGUAGUUGAAAUUUUCGAUAAUUUCUGUCGAUAUCUUCUUCUAAGCGCGAAACUGAACGAGCGUAUAUUUGCUUCCCAGCACGUGUUCAAGAUGGAGCAGGAGGAAUACACUAAAGAAGAGAUCGAUUGGAGCUACAUAGAAUUUGUGGAUAAUCAGGAUGUUCUGGAUCUUAUUGAAAAGGUUUCCUUAUUCCCAUGUUGCUCGGACUCUGCCAAAAUGUCAUCGGGUGCAUGUCAGAUCCUUCAAAAGUAGUGCGCUUUUGUAGGAUCCUACAGGGGUGCGGCCACAUUUUUGGAGAGUCCGAGCAACUUAGCCUUAUUCAAUUUCAUUUCGUUUUCUCUGCAUUCUACUUAGCCUUAUUAGGAAGACAGACAGCAUUAUUAGGUUCAAAUAGAUUUUCAACGAUUGUAUUGGAAGUUAUUUGAAGUUAUCGGUGCAAUAGAAUUCCUGCAAAAAUACCAUGCGUUUCGCAGCAUUUACUGAUACCCUUGUGCAUCGUUUCCACUUAAAAAAACAUACCGCUUUUGUUGUACUGCAUAAAUUUUGAGGUAUCACAUUGAAAUUUGAUUUGUAUUGUAUUGCUUGGCAGAAACCUGGAGGUAUCAUCGCUCUUCUCGAUGAAGCCUGGUAAGAUGUAUAGCACUUCAUCUGUACGUAUGAGCGUUGUACAUAGGUGUUGUAUAUGCUUCUGUCUUGGCGAGGAAGAAUAAUUUAAUUGACGUUUCUUUGAAAUGGACUCUUUCAGUAUGUUCCCCAAGUCAACUCAUGAAACAUUCUCUCAGAAGCUUUAUCAGACAUUCAAAGUCCACAAACGAUUUAUCAAACCAAAACUGUCUCGUACUGAUUUUACCAUCGCUCAUUAUGCCGGAGAGGUAAAAGAACUUCAUCGGAAUGAAUUUGCUGUUCGGUCAAAUGUUCUUGUGUUGGAUAUUGGCAUUACUAACAGUAAAUUGUCUUUCUGUUCAGGUUCAAUACCAGUCCGAUUUUUUUUUGGAUAAAAACAAAGACUAUGUUGUUCCGGAGCAUCAAGAUUUAUUAAGUGCUUCCAAAUGCCCAUUUGUAGCUGGCCUUUUCCCUCCUGUUGCUGAGGAAACAACCAAAUCAUCCAAAUCGUCAAAGUUCUCAUCCAUCGGUUCUCGUUUUAAGGUAGUUAUUGACUGUUAUACUUUCGAGAUAUAAGCAUCUAGUACCCUCUUGAACUAUGGCCAAAGUUGCUACGACACACUCCAACUUCACAUGCGUCCUAUUACCCUCCGAAACUCAAUUUUAGCAUAUUUUUGUCACCCUUUUGUGCUGACAUGACACCUUUAUUACGUUAAAUGGGGUCCACAUUAAAGGUGACACUUCGGUUAAAAAGGUUGACAAAAGGUGGCACGUCAGCUAAAAAGGAUACAAAAAUACGCUAAAAUUUAGUUCAGGAGAUAAUAGGACCCCGGUUAAGUUGGAGUGUGUCGUAGCAAAUUUGGUCAUAGUUCAAGGGGGCACUAGCACUAGAUGCUUUACUCUACUUUCGACAGAUAUUGGUGAACUGUUGCCAAGUCCUUAUUGCUUAGAAAAGUAUGUGAAAGUCUGAUAACUCUGAUUAAACUGGUGCAGUUACAACUUACAUCGUUGAUGGAAACUCUGAAUUCUACGGAACCUCAUUAUAUCAGAUGCGUGAAGCCUAACAAUCAACUAAAACCUGCGAUUUUUGAGAAUGUUAACAUUUUGCAGCAACUGCGAUGUGGUGUGAGUAAAAUUCGACAUUUUUUAGAUGAACAAUUUCCUUUCGUACUCUUAAAACUUUAUGCUUACAUUUUGUUGUCGUCAGGGUGUUCUAGAAGCAAUUAGAAUUAGCUGCGCUGGCUACCCAACCCGUAAGACAUUCUUUGAGUUCCUUAACCGGUUUGGACUUCUUGCUCCUGAGGUCUUGGAAGGGAAGUAAGUACUGAUUUUGUGUUCCUAAUCCAAAAAACAACUUCACUUCAAUUCAUCGCGGCUUAGCUUCUUGACGAUGAAUUGACAUGCUAUGUUGAUUUGAUCCGCUUGUGGACAGCGCCGAUGAAAAAGUUGCAUGCAAAAAGAUUUUGGAAAAGAUGGGGCUUGCUGGUGCUCAGGUUAUUUGAACUCUUUCUUUCUUAUCGAAAAAGCUGUUUUGUUUUAUUUAUUUGAUUUCACAAUCGAUGGUAUUACAUUAUUCAGCGUUGAGUGUGUAUCUCUUUCUCAUCUAACACCUCUCCAUAACUUUAGUAGAAGAUCAAUGUCUUAGUAGCUUUUUCAACUUGUCGAUAUGGCUCAUCUCUUAUAUCUGCUUUUUCUAUGGAUUGUUCGCGGCUUCGCUUAAUAUAGUUUUCUAUAUAUGCCGAGGACUAGGACUAUUGUUAUCCACUGUUCACACGGUUAAAAUUGGUUCAUUUGUUUGGAAUAGUUCUCCACGACACUGUCGUAUACAUUUUGCAUGCAGCAUUCAUAAGGUUGAUGAACUCUUUUAGUCGAUGUAACAUGAGUUUCCCAAAUAUAUGAAUCAACUAUUUGUCGGAAAAAUGGUUUUCGCAGAUUGGAAAAACGAAAGUUUUUCUCAGAGCUGGUCAGAUGGCUGAGCUGGAUGCACGCAGAGCACAGAAACUAGCGAAAGCAGCUAAGACAAUCCAAAGGAAAAUUCGAACUCAUAUCGCUAGGAAAUACUUUCUCGCAUUGCAGCAGUCUGCGAUUUGCAUACAAUCCUCAUGCCGAGGUUUUUCUAUUUAUAACUUGUUAUCUUGUCGUUAUUGCUGUUUGCUUCUACCACCUCUUUUUCAUCUUUCUUUGAUCUAAGGAUCUAUCGGAAACAACCUCUCUAUCUUCUCAAAGUGGGUGGGGGGUGGGAGGGGUAAGGUCUGCCUACUCGUUACCCUCCCUAGACCGCACUUGUGGAAUUACGCUGAGUUUGUUGUUCUUGUUGUUUAUGGAGGAUAUGAACCAUCUGUUCUAUAUCAAUAACUUUUCUCGGAACAUCUGUCGUUUUUCACCCUUCUGAUCUAUAUAGUCAUAGUGCCUACAUUUUUAGGUGUUUUUCUAAUCGCAAAACAAGCACCGUGUAAGGAGUAUUACUGCUUACUAAGUUCUGUGUUGUCGCUUUGUCAUGGUCGACAGGAAGGCUUGCUUGCAAAGUGUACGACAAUAUGAAACGAGAAGCUGCUUCUAUCAGAAUCCAGACGAAAUUGCGUGGACAUUUGGCCCGGAAGUCCUAUACAGGACUCAAAAUCAAUGUCAUUGCUCUUCAGACAGGAAUUCGAGCGACAGCUGCACGAAAGGAAUUCAGAUAUAAAAGACAAACCAAAGCAGCAACUAAAAUACAAGUUCGUUUACUUGUUUUCUAUCGAUUCAGUGGAUUGACCGUGCCUUUUUCUUCUCGCUAUUAACUAGAAAAGUUACUUGCAGGCACAUUGGCAUGGUCAUCGAGCCUUUUCAUAUUACAAGAAACUCAUAAUCGCAGCGAUUGUAACACAAUGCAGAUGGAGGGGAAGGGUUGCAAAGAAAGAGCUUCGGAAACUAAAGAUGGUUAGUUUUUGGACUGUAUCGCACUUUCAAUUUCCUUUGAUAUGCACUGAGAUGAUGCUCCGUUAAAUAAGUAAUAAUCUGCUAGCUAAGGCAUUUACUUACACGGUGCGUAGUUCACCUUGGAAGCUGUUCUGCAGCAUGAUGGAUCCUUAAUCGCUCCUCUGAACCUUUAUCAGAAAGAGAUGAGCAUUAUGAAGCUUCCUUUUGGUAAAACUCAUAGAGACGUGGUGAGCAACCUCAAGCGAAGUAAUAAAAGUACGAUCCCAGCAAUUUGAGAUAAGCAUCCAGUAUCCCCGAAUCAUGACCAAAGUUGCUACGACGCACUCCAACUUCAGAGGGGACCUAUUACCCCCGAACUCACUUUUAGCAUAUUUUUGUCACCCUUUUAUGCUGACGUGCCACCUUUAUUAGAUAGAAUGGGGCCAUGUCAAAGGUGCCACGUCAGCUAAAAAGGAUGACAAAAGUACACUAAAAUUUAGUUCGGGGGGUAAUAGGACCUCCAUGAAGUUGGAGUGUAUCGUAGCAAAUUUGAUCAUACUUCAGGGGAGUACUAGAUGUUUUACUCUAUAAAAUCUUCUGAACAUUGGAAAUCAAAACAACAGCAUGCAGUCUACACGUAACUAUACUUGUCGCUGAGUGAUGAACUAUGAAGUCCGUUAAUCCAGUUACGGAUUUAAACCUUCUAGUUCACUUAUUGUGGUUAUCGACAUAGUACCCCUUGCAUUUUCUUCAAGUGAAAGAAUGUAUCAGAUUGUUGUUUGCUAUUUGAUACAGUAAGAUCUUAUUUUUAAUCUAUUCGUAUCUAAUAGUGUGUUUUCUAAUGUUCUGGUUGUCUGUGGAUCGCUAACACACAUUUCCAAUACUGUCAGGCUUCAAGAGAAACGGGCGCACUAAAAGAAGCAAAGGAUAAGCUUGAAAAACAGGUCGAAGAACUUACAUGGCGUCUGCAGUUGGAGAAACGCCUAAGGGUAAUUCACUUACGUUAAGCAGAUCACGCAUUUCAUUUUCCUGCAUGAUAUGUAAAGCAAGUGGAAGGGACACUGUUUGAUCCGCUAUUUCACAGACGGACUUGGAAGAGGCGAAGAGCCAGGAAAUAGCAAAGCUGAAGAGUUCAUUGGAAGGUGCGCAAAGCAAAGUGGAACAAACGAAUGCCCUGCUCAUCAAGGAACGUGAGGCUGCGCAGAAAGCAAUUGAAGAAGCAACCUCUAUCGUGGAAGAGAAGCCGGUUCUUGUCGAGGAUACAGAAAAGAUUGAUGCUUUAAAUGCAGAAGUAGAAAAUCUAAAGGUACCGACACUGAACUCGUAAAGUUAACCUCAAGUGCUAUCGACCGUAGAACAAAGGAGAGACUACAGAUUACAGAAUUUGUGUGGAAGUUCAUCGUUUCUCCGCUAACAUAUGGCUGUUGUUUUCAUGUUUCAACCUUUACAUAGGCGGCGUUGCAAUCUGAAAAGCAACGGGCUGAUGAUUCUGAAAGGAAACAUUCUGAAGCUCAAGAAUCGAGUGAAGGAAAGCACAAGAAAUUGGAAGAAACCGAAAAAAAAGUUCAACAAUUUCAGGAAUCACUGAGCAGGUAGCUACUCAAACAUAUCGAUAACUGUUUUAUUCGUUGAACACUGUGAGAAUAGAGAUUACCAACCUUUUGAGUCGAUAAAAUUACUAAAAUACAGUUUGUGUAACAACCCAAAAGAAAUAACUAAAAUACAGUAAUGUAGUAACAGAUUUCAUUUUCAAAAUCUACUUGUUGAGGGGAAAUAUCUUUCUGUUUGUUCUUCUAAUUGAUCUAACGCUCAGAUUCAAACUCGAGAGUAGUGUCCGUGAAGAAAAUUACCAAGUUGUUUGUAACACCCCAACUUAGGAUAAGGAGUCUCACAUCGGCAAAACACAGGAGAAAUGUUGGGUACAUAAGUAAAUAUGCCUUUCACUCUACUGACGCGUUUUAAAGCCGUGCGUGUCUAGGCCUACAGCGUACAAUAUCACUGGUGGGAUGGGCCGUUACAUUGUUGUUAUGCCUAUUUCAUGAUAAGGAUCAGUCAAAUUAGCUGCUGAAAUGAAUCAGGUCAAGGGACGGUCAUAGAGGCUUUACCAAGAAGUUCAUACAAUAUCACGCGGUAUUAAUGCAGGCGGAGGAUGUGGUUCAAGCUCCGCUACCAUCCAUCAACAAAAUAUUUUCACUUGCUCGAGAGCCCCAAAAAGGGGGCUCACCAGUGAGGGGAAGUGCUUUAAACGAUAUAAAUAUAUAGACAUGUAUCCUCUCUCAGUUCAAGCUUUUAGAUGAGACGUUCAUACAAUUGGUUUAUUUUAUUAUAGAUGUCCAUACACCAUUACAAUUGGUAUCCUUGUAUUACAAAAUGGAUAUCUAGGAGAACCUCGGACAUUUUCAGGAUGUAGUUGAUCAAAAUAUUUGUCCUUCUUAUUAAAAGGCUCGAAGAAAAGCUCACCAACAUAGAGUCGGAAAACAAAGUACUUCGCCAGCAGGCUCUGACGAUGGCGCAGAACAAUAAAUUGCUGUCUAGCCGGUCAAGAUCAAGUAUUCAGGUAAUCCUGAAAACCUCCAUUCAUAUCAGAUGUUAAAUCUAUAACUAAUUUUUUUCCUGUUUCUACAAUAUUGGCAGAGGAGCGAGAGCAGCACAAGGAAUAGCGUAGUAAGUCGAAGGCUGCUUGCACAUUAGUUGUCGUUUUAGUAUAUCGCUCACCUCUUUUGUUGGUUGAUUAACGAUUGAAAUUUAUGAAGGAUCUGUCUAGCGCUUCAUUUUCAAGGGAGAGUGCCGAGGUGGAAGGAAGACCACAAAAAUCACUUAAUGAUAAACAACAGGAGUAUCAGGACUUGAUCAUCCGGUGUGUUGCACAGCACCUCGGCUUCUCUAAAGGCAGACCUGUUGCCGCCUGCAUUAUCUACAAGUGCCUUAGGCAAUGGCGAUCAUUUGAAGUCGAGAGAACCAGUAUAUUCGACAGGGUAAUACAAACCAUUGGCCAAGCUAUUGAGGUCAGUGUUAAUAUAGUUAUACACAAUGUUAUACCGAAAGAUACAGAUCGAUAAAAUAAAUGUCUCUUUUUCACUUACGAACUAGUUUUUCAACGAUGUAGACUCAGGACAACAACGAUAUGUUAGCUUACUGGCUAUCCAAUGCAUCCACACUGUUGCUGCUGCUACAACGUACAUUAAAAGCCGGUGGUGCUGCUGGGAUUACCCCACAGCACAGGCGACAAUCAUCAGCAACUCUAUUUGGGAGAAUGACACAGGUGAAAGAAGUUCCAUUUCAAAAAUUGAUAUUUAUCGUUUAUGUAUAACACGUAAUGCUGAUUAAACAAUUUGUAGAGCUUUCGUGGAACCCCUCAAGGUGUAAAUCUUUCUCUCGUUGAUGGUGAUUCGGCUGGUGGAGUGGAUAACUUACGCCAAGUUGAAGCCAAAUAUCCUGCAUUGUUGUUUAAACAGCAGCUAACAGCAUAUGUAGAAAAGAUUUAUGGAAUGAUCCGCGAUAAUCUUAAGAAAGAGAUUUCUCCGCUUCUGGGGUUGUGCAUUCAGGUUUGAGAUACUGUCAUAGAUCUACCUAAAUAUUUGUUCGAACAUAGUAAACAACAUUAGAUUCUAGGUGUACUAAAGCUUUUCUACAUGUUCCAAUCUUUGGUUUAGGCACCAAGGAUAUCUCGAGCAAGUUUACUUAAAGGGGCAACAGCACGUACACUUGCAAAUGCGGCUGCGCAGGAAAUUUUGAUCGCGCACUGGCAAGGAAUCGUCAAGAGUCUCGCUAACUUUUUGAACUUAUUGAAAGCCAAUCAUGUAAGAGUCGCAGAAGCAUGUUUUUUUUUUCACGCCGUCCAUAUCUUUGCUUUCCUCCCAUUUACUUGCUUUGAACUUGGAAGGUGAAUUAACAGUCUUGAUAUCAUCAACCCAUGGAAUGAUGUCUUGGUUAACCGUAUUCUGAAACACGAAAAAAAUAUCAUUGGCUUGUCUUUCUAUCGAGCCGUGAAAAAGAUUCAACAAAAGACGGAAAGAAAUCCACUACCCCUUUUACGUCAAGGAAUAUAUGGAGUAACCAUAGGCGGAGCCAGGAUUUCAACGAAGGGGGUUCCAUAUUCAAAGAAAACUUAGUCGAAGGGGGUUCAACACCUACUAUAACCACAUAAAAAAUAAUUUUAAUCAUGUAUAAAUAGUACAUUUUUCCGUGUUCGGGGGUUCGGCCGAACCCUCGAACAGAAGACUGGCUCCGCCCUUGGGAGUAACUCCUGUUAUAACAGUAAAAGCAAGAUGUGUAUGUUUUCUAUGAUUAUAUUUCAUCUUUUUCCAAUGACUCCUCUGCUCUAAAUUAGUAAAAAAAAAUCAUGGAUAUACAUCUGCACAGUCCUUUCUGGAGCAUAUUCCGUCCUUUAAUGGAACAGCCUCUGACAAAAAUGCAAGGUAAGGCUGCAUACAAUACACCCUUGUGGUGGGGUCCUUCUCUGGACCCUGCGCAUAGCGGGAGCUUUAGUGCACCGGGCUGCCCUUUAAUGAAUUUUUCUACUACUCUUCCCUUCUUUUCACCAACAAGAAUAGCAUACUUCAUAUAGGUGGAAGGAAUAAUUCACACAGUAGUUAAUACUUUUCAUGUAAUUUAAGUAAUAUAUUCUAGCUGAAGAAAGAAGGGGAGCCUUGGAGUAACUGGUAAAGUUAUCGCCAUGUGACCAGGAGGUCACGGGUUCAAGCCUUGGAAACAGCCUUUGGCAGAAACGCAAGGUAAGUCUGCGUACAAUACACCCUUGUGGUGGGGUCCUUCCCCGGACUCUUCACAUAGCGGAAGCUUUAGUGCACCGAGCUGCCCUUUUUUAUUCUAGCUGAAGGAAGAACGGCCGAACUUUCCUGAAGACUGCGAUCAUCUAUUAAGUAAUCGAUGCAUUGAGGCAGUCUCGAUAUAGAGUUACAUAUCGGUUACCUCAUGAUAGGACAUAAUAAUAGGGUUAAUUUUUCUCUCUUGUAUUUCAGGUGCCUCCAUUUCUUGUGCGCAAAGUAUUUACGCAAGUCUUUUCUUUCAUCAACGUCCAAUUAUUUAACAGGUCUGUCGUCAAGUGUAUAUCUCAUAAUCUUCUUAUAGCUUCAAGAUUCAACUCUUUAUAUGUGCCUCCUUGUUGUAGCCUUUUGUUGAGAAGAGAAUGCUGUUCAUUUAGCAACGGUGAAUACGUCAAAACUGGUUUGGCGGAACUGGAGCACUGGUGCUACAAAGCAACCGAUGAGGUACCUUGGUCUCCUCACACUUGUUACAACACUAUUCACCAUGUUUUUUUGUUCUCGCUGAUGAAGGGAACUUGUUCAGUAUACAGGAUUAGCUUGGGAGGAGCUCAAGCAUAUAAGACAGGCGAUCGGUUUUCUGGUAAGUAACUGACUAUAUAAACUGAAAAACAAAGGCAAAGGAUCGGUUUUCCUAGUAAUCAGAACUGCAAAUUUAUGUCCUUGUCCUCAGUUGUAGCUUACUGAGGACAUGACGCUAGAUAGGAAAGUAUGAAGGAUGCGGAUUAGGGUAGAGGGCUAGUGCGUGUGGGUGUGUGCUUUGGUGUAGCCUGGCUAGCAAUCUUAGGGCUUUGUACAUAGGUUGGAGCAGUGGCGGAGCCAGGAUUUUCAUUGAGGAGAUUCAGAAGUAAAUAUACGAACUAAUUGAAGGGGGUUCAAUAUCUACGAUAUAUGCAUAAAAAAUAUUUUAACCAUGUAAAAAUAGUAUAAAAACAGUAGAAUUUUUUAUCGAAGGGGGUUCGGAUGAACCCCUGAAGCAAAGGUAGCUCCACCACUGGGUUGAAGCUUCUAGUUAGGAGGGUUUGGGUGAGGUGUGUGCUUUUGGUUUGUUAGUGUAUAGUAUUCCUGAGCCGGGGUCUAUCGGAAACAGUCCUUCUCUGGACCCUGCGCAUAGCGGGAGCUUUAGUGCACCGGGCUGCCCUUUAAUGAAUUUUUCUACUACUCUUCCCUUCUUUUCACCAACAAGAAUAGCAUACUUCAUAUAGGUGGAAGGAAUAAUUCACACAGUAGUUAAUACUUUUCAUGUAAUUUAAGUAAUAUAUUCUAGCUGAAGAAAGAAGGGGAGCCUUGGAGUAACUGGUAAAGUUAUCGCCAUGUGACCAGGAGGUCACGGGUUCAAGCCUUGGAAACAGCCUUUGGCAGAAACGCAAGGUAAGUCUGCGUACAAUACACCCUUGUGGUGGGGUCCUUCCCCGGACUCUUCACAUAGCGGAAGCUUUAGUGCACCGAGCUGCCCUUUUUUAUUCUAGCUGAAGGAAGAACGGCCGAACUUUCCUGAAGACUGCGAUCAUCUAUUAAGUAAUCGAUGCAUUGAGGCAGUCUCGAUAUAGAGUUACAUAUCGGUUACCUCAUGAUAGGACAUAAUAAUAGGGUUAAUUUUUCUCUCUUGUAUUUCAGGUGCCUCCAUUUCUUGUGCGCAAAGUAUUUACGCAAGUCUUUUCUUUCAUCAACGUCCAAUUAUUUAACAGGUCUGUCGUCAAGUGUAUAUCUCAUAAUCUUCUUAUAGCUUCAAGAUUCAACUCUUUAUAUGUGCCUCCUUGUUGUAGCCUUUUGUUGAGAAGAGAAUGCUGUUCAUUUAGCAACGGUGAAUACGUCAAAACUGGUUUGGCGGAACUGGAGCACUGGUGCUACAAAGCAACCGAUGAGGUACCUUGGUCUCCUCACACUUGUUACAACACUAUUCACCAUGUUUUUUUGUUCUCGCUGAUGAAGGGAACUUGUUCAGUAUACAGGAUUAGCUUGGGAGGAGCUCAAGCAUAUAAGACAGGCGAUCGGUUUUCUGGUAAGUAACUGACUAUAUAAACUGAAAAACAAAGGCAAAGGAUCGGUUUUCCUAGUAAUCAGAACUGCAAAUUUAUGUCCUUGUCCUCAGUUGUAGCUUACUGAGGACAUGACGCUAGAUAGGAAAGUAUGAAGGAUGCGGAUUAGGGUAGAGGGCUAGUGCGUGUGGGUGUGUGCUUUGGUGUAGCCUGGCUAGCAAUCUUAGGGCUUUGUACAUAGGUUGGAGCAGUGGCGGAGCCAGGAUUUUCAUUGAGGAGAUUCAGAAGUAAAUAUACGAACUAAUUGAAGGGGGUUCAAUAUCUACGAUAUAUGCAUAAAAAAUAUUUUAACCAUGUAAAAAUAGUAUAAAAACAGUAGAAUUUUUUAUCGAAGGGGGUUCGGAUGAACCCCUGAAGCAAAGGUAGCUCCACCACUGGGUUGAAGCUUCUAGUUAGGAGGGUUUGGGUGAGGUGUGUGCUUUUGGUUUGUUAGUGUAUAGUAUUCCUGAGCCGGGGUCUAUCGGAAACAGCCUCUCUACUUCUUUGGAGGUAGUGGUAUAGACUGCGUACAUUGAGCCGGGGGUCUAUCGGAAAUAGCCUCUCCACUUCUUCGGAGGUAGUGGUAUGGACUGCGACCCCACUAUGUGGGAAUACAUUGGGUUUGCUGCUUUUGUUGUUGUCCGAUGCAAUGUGACCAUGAUUGAAGAAACGUGCCACAAAAUUUGAGUGCACGAACCUAAGAACUGUAGUUCGACAGAAUUUGGAAUGAUCUUUGUCUGUAUUUCAUCGGCAGCGAUCUUUAAUUCUGCUCGUUUUGGACUGUACUAGGUCAUACACCAGAAGCCAAAGAAAACGUUGGAUGAAGUAAGCCAUGAUCUAUGUCCUGUAAGUACCGAACUACUACAUAUACCGAUGAUCCAUCUCUCGAGACCAUACGUUAUCAUUCUCAUGAAGUUGUAAAUCAUGAACAGGUGCUUAGCAUUCAACAACUUUACAGAAUCAGCACAAUGUAUUGGGACGACAAAUAUGGCACGCAUAGCCUUUCACCAGAUGUAAGCCUUGUUAUUCCUUUGCGUCGCGCACAGCGUGGCUUAUACAGUUUCGAACACUGUCUGCUACAUCUUUGAUUGCUGUAAACGCUCUUACUUUUGUUAUCUGCUUUCGAUUAAUCAGUAGAGUUUAUCGAUCACUUGACAGGUUAUAUCCAAUAUGCGCGUACUAAUGACUGAAGACUCGAACAAUGCAGUCAGCAAUUCCUUUUUGCUUGAUGAUGAUUCGAGGUUAGAUAUAAAAUCGCCACUCCCUUUUUGUGCACGACUUCCUUAGAAUGUACUUUCACUUAUAACUGAUCGCGCUUGUUGGUCAUGGUGCAGCAUACCGUUCUCAAUUGAUGACCUCUCUAAAUCGAUGGAUCAGAUUGAUAUUGCAGACAUUGAACCACCUCCACUUAUACGCGAAAACUCAGGGUUCAGUUUCUUGUUGCCACGUGCAGACUAAUCGCCCUUAAUCAGAAUUCAGUUCUAGGAACAUGCAGCCACAUCUUUGAUUCGCGUGCACAUGGAGGUGCGAUGAGUGCAUUGAAUCAUGUAGACUCAUCUUGCACAUCCCAGCAGCAGUCACAAAAGGAGGAGACACGCCUAGUAAUCGCGUGCAACCAUUGAGGCGUACUACGAGGGGGCAGUGGAGAACUAUACAUAUAGUUGAGCAAUUUUUGAAAUAUACAUUAGUAUACGCGUAAUGCAUGAACCAGCCUGUUUCGUUUGUACUAAUCAACUAUAUGAAAUAUACAGAAUAGAAGGUCUUCAUUCUUCACACUGAUGUCUGUGUGGAACAUUUCGAGGCAGCUUUGAGUUUUUAAGUUUUUCCAACUUUCAUAUCAAUGUCGGAGAGAGAUUGAAGGUCUUGUCGUGCAUCUUGGAGCGAAUAACUGCUUAACAUAAAGGCUCGCGUAAAGCCAUUCUUCAUAUGCCUUGACACAUUCUAUACAAGUGAUUCGUUUUGUUUCUACAUGAUAUUCAAGAUUUCGUUUGUGUUCAUUUUGGCGAUUUAUGAUGUAAAUCCGGAUUAUUUUUCCGGAGAGUGAAUCAGUUUGUUGAGAAGAUUCAAAGAAAAGAGGAACAUAAAAGCAAGUUAUUCAAUUUGCACCAGAUAGUUGAUGUUGCCAACAACUACAUGCUCAGUGUAUUCCCACAAAGUGGGGUCUAGGGAGUGUAAAAUGUACACAAUCCAUAGAAGUACCUCAGAUAGUAGAGAGACUGUUUCCGAUAGACCCCCCAGCUCAAGACAGAUAACAGUAUAACAAACACCCAGUGUGUUCCCACAAAAUUGGGUCUAGGGAGAGUAAAGCGUACGCAGUCCAUACCACUACCUCAGAUGAAGUAUGGGAGGGGUGGAUUUAGCUCUUUAUUACGAGUACAUCCCAACACGAAUCCAAAUUUAGUCGGGCGCCAAUGAUAUUAAAAGCUAGGUGGUUAGUUAAAGAAAUGAAAGUUCCAACAGCUAUUAUCAAGUAGUUAAAGCUCGUCGCGGCAUGAAUCCAAAUUAAUUGAACCAUUUCGAGUUUAGAAUAUCAAUCCAUGAAGCAAAAUGGAAAAGAAAAAGUCUCAUUUUCGAAAAUUUAGCUCUAUAUUGCUGACUAAACCAGUUAAAAUGACAUUGCACUGUACUGAAUAGCAAAAUGAUGCAGCCAUAUGCUGCAGAACCAGUCAAUGUAUCGAAAUAAUCUUGUUAGCCAAACUAUCAUUUACAACUCGACUUGGAAAACUCGGGGCAGAAUUCAAAUCCCCUUGCCCUUGCUUCCUCUCACUUUGCCUCGGCUAUUCUUGUGUGUAUUGAUUCAACAUCUGGUGCAUCGCGGAUGCUGCAAGGUAAACAAAAUUAUCACGUCAAGCUCCUAUGAAUCAAGAUUUGGACUUGAUUGGUUCACCAUUUAAGGUUCUUAGCACUGAUUAGAUCGUACUUUUGAAAUUAUGGAUAGGCAGGCCGAGGAAGAAACAAAGCUUACCACAAGAGUACAUCUCCAGUAGACGCCAGCUUUUCAUGGAUCCAUUCAGGGGCGAAUUCUAGCAGUAACCGGAGUUGAUUUUCAACUUCUCCUGCAAAGAAAGAAGUUUCAAGUCAGAAACAGUUUCAAAUUGUUGUCAAAGCAGCUCGACGUAUUUAAUCAAACAGGCUUACUUUUAUCAGCAAUCUCUGGAUUGCUCGAAAUCACUUUGUGCAUAAGCUCCUCUUUAGUAAUCACAGAGCGUUUCAUUGAAUUAAAUAGGAAGUAAAUCAUGUCGAAGAACUUAGGCAAGCUCGAAAUCAUUUUCUUGUGCCAUUUCGCUUGGGAUAGAGCUGGAUCUUGAUCCUCCAGUGCCAUCUUCUCUUUUUCUCUUAUCUGUAGAUCGGAGAAAAAUAAGCCAAUAAUAUCAAAUACUAGACUACGAAAUAUAGAUAUUUGAAGAAAGUUCUUUUCGUGUCUUACCGACUGCACAAGAUUCUCCUGAAGAAUGUCGAAGAUUUCAUCAUCUGUUGAUGAUUCUCUGCUCCUGCUGACGUCUUCUGUAACUUUUGAACUCUUUACAGGAGUAUUAAAGGUCAAUGACCGACUAGGAGGGGGGCGCCUAACUAGCUUCUUAGGUGAUUCGGUUGACUCGCCAUCUGGAGUCGUACAGCAUCUCUUGGAAGGUUUGAGCAAAGGCGUAGAACUCAUCAGUUUUGCUGGAGUAAAUGCAAGUUUUGCUGGAGUACUUUCAGCACUUAACAAACACGAACCAUCUUCACUUUUCAUGUUUUUCAACGGAGUUGAAGGUUGAGUAGCAGAAUGAACCCCUCGUCGUGUUGAGAAUCUUGUGGACCUAGUUUGUGUCAAAGGCGAUUUGGAAGGAGUUUCAUCGGCAGCUUUAGAGGCGAUGCUGGUGGAACAAUUAUCAAUCUGGGUUUCUGAAGAAGUAACAGUCGGAUGUUGCUUUGCAUUCUCUAAUUUGCCAACUGAUGCUCGAUGAGAAAAGGAUCUCCUGAAAGAUUGAGACAGAUGAGAUACAGCUUCUGGCGGCUUCUGCAUCGAGCUAAUUGAUGUCUCCUCCAUCAACGGUGCUCCUGCAGGACUUGACGAGUUCGUUAAGACCUCUGGUUUAGACACACCGAAUGCUCCUGGUAGAGCUUCCUCAGGAAUGUCAUCACCCUGGAAUUCAGAAAUAGCAUUUGUUAACAAACGCUUUUGCACAAAAAGCAAAGCAUCGUAACAUAAUCUGGUCUUUUCGCCUUUAUCAAUGUAGAUUUAAGUCUAUGAACACUAAAUACAGCACACACGUUUCAGUUGGCCUAACAAAUAUACAAAUCAUUGCCUAAGUUGCUCGGACUCUCCAAAAUGUGGCCGCACCCGUGUCGAAUCCUACAAAAAUGCACUACUUUUGAAGGAUCCGACAUGACAUUUUCCAAGAGUCCAAGCGACAUAGAAUUCAUUGCAAAGCAAUUCUCUGUUGCACAAGUCACAUUAUGCCUGGCGGAGCUAGCUUAACAUCUCAAACUAUACUAACGAUUUCAAUCAACAUAGAUUUAAGUCUAUAAAUACUAAACGCACCGUUCGCAUCCAACUUGGGCCUUAAGAAUAACAAAUAAUGUACAGGCAACAUAUCAUAGCAAAUCAAUUUUCCCGAUCGUCAAAACUUGCACAAAGAGUGUAUAUUACCUCAGGGUGCGAUUUAGCGAAAUCCAAAAUCCGGUUGAGGAACACUUUCCUCAGUUUAUCGGAAACACUAGAGAAUUUCAACUUCUCAUCAACUUCAACUCCAUUAGCAUUUAACGUAAUAUGAAGAUCAGGCUUCAUACAGCUUGUCCGUUCAUCGAGUACAAGCAUCUUUUUUAUCUCAAUAGCCUCAGGUAAAAGAAACUUCAGCUGUGCCAAGUGAUUGUAAGUAAACCUCCUACACAAUAUUCAACAGAGAGACACAACACUAGGCAAUUAGCAAAAGUCGAUAUACAAAUCAUCGAUAAAAAUGCGUCGAAAAAUGUCAUUUGUUUAGGCAUACCUAUCUGAUAGGCACUCCACUUUAGCACUAAUGUUUGUAAAUGUUGUCGAUGAACCCUUCAACUGUAGCAACUGAAUCGAACUAACCAAGCUAUUGAAGAAUUUAUCCAACAAUUCGUACCUGAAAAAGAGCAAAACACAAUUCGGAAAAAGCUUAGCCCCGAGAAUCUGAAAACAACGAUAUAUACAGCUUUACGCCAACAGCAUAACGUGCACAUUUAACUUCAUAAAUUCAACCUUUAAAGUUCCUUAGCUUCCAACACAUUGUAUUUUCCGAGUUAUGAAGUCAAAAAGUUAAAUAUUUCCCCAAGUUUUAGCGCGCUUUCACACACAAACGAGCACGCACAAACACAAACUCCAAUGUAACAUCAAAUAACUACAUCUCAAUUCAAACUAGUUAACUCAAACUACAAAAAGUUUGGAACUUUUCAAUAUAUAUGUAUGUUCUUGGCUUCAAUCCCAACUCUAUGGAUCUUAAAAGAAAAUGACUAAUGUAUCUUUAUAGCAAAUUGUUCAAGCGCAUCCCCUGUGUAUACACAUACGAAGUCUCAAAUCCAUCGUUAAUUUCAAUUUGUUUGUCUUACUUUUCCUUUCUAAUACGAUUUUAAAUAAAAAAGACUGCUUUCCUCUUUUUUUCAGGCAACUGUUUAAUUCUAACUUUACACAUUACACAAUUAAGACACAAGAUUAAAACGCAUUUUGGUACAUCUUAGUAUGUUUGAUACUAAACAUGAAAUUCAAAAGUCAUACUUUCAUAAAUUCCAUGUCAAAUCAAAAUAACAUACAAAUUAAAACAAAAAAAAAUGACUCUUUCCUCUUUUUAUCGGAGCAACUCUUUAGUUCUAACUUAACUCAUAAACACAAUUAAGACACAAGAUUAAAAAGACAUUUUGCUACAUCUACGUAUGUUUAAUUUACGCCCACAACAUUCAAAAGUCUACUUUCUUGAAUUUCGUGCCAAGUCAAAAUCGAACAAAUAAAUUAAAACUAAUAGCCAGAACAAAGGCAUUUUGCCACACUUAAGACACAAGAUUAAAAAGGCAUUUUACUACAUUUAGUAUGUUUAAUUUACGUCCACAAGAUUCAAAAGUAUAAUUUACAUACUUAAAUUUCGUGUCAAAUCAAAAUCGAACAAACAAAUUAAAACUAAUAUCCAGAAAAGGCAUUUUACUACACUUGCAUAUGUUUAAGUUGCGUCUACAACAUUCAAAAAUAUAAUUUACUUUCUCAAAAUCCGUGCCAAAUCAAAAUCGAACAAACAAAUUAAGAUGAAUAUCGAAAAAAAAAAAAGAAGCUUUAACACUUACUUUUCAGGUAGCUUUACUGGAUCUACAGGCUUCUUCAAUUUCACAGACGAAGCAUCCAAUUGAGUUUUCAUAGAGCUGGAAGACUUAUCGAGUCGGGUCGGGUCGGGUUUCCGGAGGUUCAGUGCAGCUUGUCGGAUAUCCUUGAGUGAAAAUGCAGCAUUCCGAUUCCGGGUCCGGCGAAGAGGAGCAGGAGGACUGAUUGGCUUUUCGGGGGUUUUGGAACUCCAUGGAUUCGCAAUUGGAUACGACCCGGAUGCAUUCGGGUCGGAUGAUCCGAUUUGAAGUUUCUUCUUUGAUUUGAAUGUGUUCAAUAGUGAUGAAUCAGUAGACUCCAUUGAUGAGAAUUGAAUUUGCAGAGAGAGCUUUGGGGGUGGGUAGGGUGGGGUGGGGUGGGGUGGGGCGGAGUGAAGAAGUGAGGACGCGCGGGUGUGGGGAGUGGGGAACUAUAUGUAGCGUGAUUUUUUUUUGCGGGAAAGGUGACGUGGACAACAUGCCACGUGGGAUUUGGCGCAAAUUUGCGGGAAAGGUGACGUGGACAACAUGCCACGUGGGAUUUGGCGCAAAUUAGCGGGAAAGCUGAGGUGGACACGUCAGAUUUGGCGCUAAAUAAGUUUUAACAGAAAAAAUUUCUAAGAUAUGAAUAAAUAUACGUAUUUAAUUAGAACCUUUAUGCGUUUAAUGGAAAAUCCUUAGAUAUGCAUACAUGAUGCAAAUAAAAUUUUGAGAGUCAAUUAAAUUUUUAAAAUAUUUUUUUAAUUAUUGUGAUUUAUAUUACUUUUUACAUAGCAGUUGUUAAAUAAAUAGCAGAAUAUUUGUUAUUUAUAGUAUUUUUAAUAUAUUUUACUACGAUAAAUAGAUUAAAAUGGAGAGAAAUAUAAAAUUUUUCCAAGUGAACCUCUGCUAAGCAUGCAUGUCGACGGAAUCGGAGUCUGCUUGAGCAGCUCGACUCCCACUUUUUAUAUGGGAUGAGUUCUAUUAUUAAUCAUACUCUAUAUAUCUCGUACUAAUUUAUGUGGCAUAGUUAAAACUUUUAGAGUCAAAAAAAUAUUUUUUUGGUUAUUUUUUUAUUAUCUUUUAGAUAUUUUAAGUUAUUAAUAAUUAUUAUUUAUAGUAUUUUUUACGCAGUUUUUAAAUAUGUAAAUUUUAUUUUUCAAAAAUAGAGAUUUAAUUUCAAAUUCUUAAUCAAAAUUUUAGAAGCUUAAAUCUCGAAUUUUCAAUUGUCCUAAUAAUUGAGACACGGAGAGUAAUUUUUUUUGAAGCUAGAUUUGCUAAACAAUUAAAUACGGAGAGUAACUUUUUUUUUAAGCUAGAUUUGCUAAACAAUUAAAUGUUGUUUAAUUGGUUAUAAAUGAAGGAACGAGAUCUGGUUUAUAAACUUUUGCAUAUUCACUAUAAUUUCAUAAGUGAGUUUCGAAGAUAGUAUAGUAUACACAUACCAACAUAAACAUAUAGUUCAAGCAAAAGCUACUUAAAAAUAAUGAGAAAUACCUUUUGAAUCGUGAGCAGAUAUUUUGAAGGACUGUCCCCACACUAUUUAGAUUUUAUCCUUCGUUUUGAUCUAUACUGCUUGGACUCUUCAUAUAUGUCAUAAGGUGCUUGUCGGAUCCUUUAAAAAUGCCGAUCUAUACUGCUUGAACUCUUCAUAAAUGUCAUAAGGUGCUUGUGGAUCCUUAAAAAAUAGUGCAUUUUUGAAGGAUCUGAUACUGAUGCGGCAAUUCAUUUGGAGAGUUCGAGCAACUUAGAUUUUGAUAACGGUGGAAAAAUGGGCAAUAACCACUCGACUAACCAGAAAAACAAUAGUGGCACAAUGAAUCGUGCUAGUUGAGAUUAUUAGAUUAAUGCAUGUUUGAAGGAUCUGAUAUGAAUGCAACAAGUGAAAAGAGUAUUUUUAGAUGUUGGAUUCGUAUAUUUCGUAGCUAAAGUUUGUAAUAUUACCUUGAGGGAGUCUCGUUUUCUUUAUUAUCUAGCGAUAUGUCACCCCUUGUAUGUUGUUUGCUUUUAUGUUUUUUGUUAUAUCUGUUAUCGGUCCUGAGCCGGAGGUCUAUUGGAAACAGCCUCUCUACUUCAUCUGAGGUAGUGAUAUGAUCUGCAUCAAACCCCACUUUAUGGAAAUACACUGGGAAUUGAUAAGCCCUAAAAUAGUAUUUGAAGACACAGAGAUAAUGCAUGUAGUCUUCUCUGAAUCUAGUACCUCCCUGAACUAUGACCAAAUUUGCAACGACACACUUAAACUUCAUGGGAUCCUAUUACUCCCCUAAACUAAGUUUUAGGGUAUUUUUAUCAUCCUUUUUAGUUGACAUGAUAUCUUUUGUCAAUCUUUUCAGCUGCCGUGGCACCUUUUAUGGGGACCCCAUUUUAUGUAUAAAGGUGCCAUGUCAGCACAAAAGUGUGACAAAAAUAUGCUAAAACUCAAUCGGGGUAAUAGAACGCAUAUAAAGUUGGAGUGUGUCAUAGCAACUUUAGCCAGUCCGACGGGAUGCAUCUCUCUUUAUUUAAGAGUUCCAAGUACCUCUCUUCUCUCCUAUAGAGAUAUCAACAACCAAGAAACAUCAAGAUCACAAGAACUCGAACAACAUUCUUUUAUUUGAAAAUUUGUUCUUCAUUUUCCCCUCUUUCUCAGUACAUAAAGUGCGCCGCGAUUCUUACAUAAACUAGUAAAACCAGUACCUCAUCAAGCAGACACAACUCCCUCGUAAGGACGAAGAGAUCUAGUAGAAACUGGGAAAAUGAGAGUUUCCUCUCUAUUAAACUUAAGCCUCUGCGCUUCAUCUCUCGAUAUCUGAUAAGCAUUGGCAAUGACAUCGACAGGCAGCCCUCGAAUAGCCGAGGUACGGCCACUUAACGUGUUGAUCAUGGCAUUGUCAUUGGUGUUGAAUGUUAUCCAUUCACAACCUCCAUUUCCAGAUUGAGUUACUAUCGCGUAGUUUUGUGGCACAACGAUAAAUUGUCCUUCUCUGACACGGUCAUCUAACACUGCUUGUCCUCGAUGAUCUACUACUUGCAUUCUUGAUUCUCCCCUUGUUAUGUACACUAUGCUGUGCGCAUUCGAAUACCAAUGAGGUGCCAUCAUCGAAUUCUGCAGUUAGUAAAGAGUGUUAGAAGAACACAAAAGCGUGCAGUGGCGCGCUUUCUCAGAAAGAGUUUCAGUUCUACGCACUGUAUUGGAUGUUUAUCUCUUUUUCUAGUAAAAAAGAAGAUAGGAUUUUUGAUCAUUUACACCUUAGUCAGAUCAUAUGUAAUGUAAAAGUAUAUAAUAAUCUCAUAUAUUCGCUCAUUCUUUACGAGAAUUCUGAUUUAUUGUCAAAAAAAGCGAAGAAAUAAACUCAUCAUUCCACUACACUCGAGAAUGAACUAAUGCCCGGUCCAUGUAUCUCGAUUGAGAUUCCAAUAGAUGGUGUUUUUCAUCAAAAUAGGAUUCUAGUAACUUUUACUAGUUGUUAAAAUGCCAAGAUAGUUAUCAACCUUUAAGUUAUAUACCACAUCGUAAAGAUUUGAUUUCUUUUACGCUAGUAACAUGAUUGUAUAAUUUUUUUAUGAAACGUCAAUGCAUAGAACUUGAACGGAAAAUGAUUGACUUACUCUGUAGAGAACUCCCCGAGAAGCACUGAGUUUGAGGAAGCGGAGAAUAGGUAGAGUGAAACUAUUGAUAGUGGUAAAACGCCCUGCGUGUGGGUUGUAAAUGUCAGCACGAGAGGGAUCAUCGAUGUUCUGUCUAACCUUAGCCGAACAAAUUGUCUCUUCUAUUCCAUUCAUAGGAUCAUAUUGUCCGUGUUGUUGUUGUUCUUGUUCUUGCGAGAAAGGUGGUUGAAUUACUUUAAGCCCUUCUUGAACACUAAUAAUGUGACCUCUCAUGUCAUCUUGUCCUUGUAGCUUCCUUGCCGUUUCCCUUUCAUUAUAGAGGCGGAUUCAGAAUUUAAACUUGAUAGCAGCGGUGAAAUCAAGAAUAUAUUUUUAAAAAAAUGUACUAGGAAUGUUGCAUUCACGACUUAAUCUAUGACCUAAUGCUAUUUUUGAACCCCCUUUGCAAAUUACUACUAGAAUUUUUCCUCAAGUCAACAAGAUUCAUCCAUUUAAAUAGAGAUAAGUAUCCAGUACCCCUCGAACUAUGACCAAAGUUUCUACGACACUCCAACUUCACAUGAGACCUAUACCCCAGAACUCAAUUUUAGCAUAUUUUUGUCACCCUUUGUGUUGACGUGACACUUUUAUUACAUAAAAAUGGAGCCCACAUCAAACAUGUCACGUUAGCUAAAAAGGUGCCACAUCAGCUAAAAUGGGUGAUAAAAAUACACUAAAAUUGAGUUCAGCGGUAAUAGGACCUCUGUGAAGUUGGAGUGUAUCGUAACAAAUUUGGUCAUAGUUCAGGGGUUACUAGAUGAUUUACUCGUUUAAAUAUAAUGUGAAAAUUUGAGUUUUGCCCAAUGUAAUUUCUUGACGAAAGAGACUUAAUGAACCCUUUUUUUUUUUCCAACUUAGCAUGGCAUAUGCUUGUUGGAUUCGUUAUUUAAGGUUCUUAGCACUGAAUCGUUGUAUUCUUGAAAUUGUGAAGAAAUUUUAGUAAAUUUUCGUAUAUAAUAUGUUUAUGUUUCGUGUCAAAAACACUGACCUGCAAACACCAAAUGCUUCUGAUAGAAUUUCUUUAUCGAAGCCACUGAAAACAUUGCCAUAGCUGCGGCCACCGUAUUGUCUACCUUGAUGUUGUAGUGCUCGGUGUGGUUUUCCAGCGAUAAAUAUCCUCUGCGCGUAGUGUAUAUAGCUUAAACUCGUAUCAAAAUUUAUAAGAUAAAUUCAAGGACUAAAUGUCGAUUAAAUUAUGUAAAAAAUGAGUAUCAGCAGAUAAAAUACGAUAAGUAGACACAUAAUUUCGAGCUACUUGUGACUGAGUAACAAUUAAAAAAAAAACAAGAUAAGCAUCCAGUACUCCCGAACUAUGACCAAAGUUGUUACGACACAAUCCAGUACCCCUAAACUUCAUGGGUAAUGGCCAAAGUUGCUACGAUACACUCCAACUUCAUGGAUGUCCUAUUACCUCCAAACUCAAUUUUAGCGUAUUUUUGUCACCAUUUUGUGCUGAUGUGGCACCUUGUGUGAAGUUAAACACCCGAGGCGUGUGAAGGACUACCAUGUGCUACGUCAGCUAAAAAGGUUGACAAAAAUAUGCUAAAAUUUAGCUUGGGAGGUAAUAGGAUCCCCGUGAAGUUGGAGUGUGUCGUAGAAACUUUGGCCAUAGUUCGGGGGUUCGGGGAUACUGGAUGCUUAUCUCAAAAUAAAAAAACUUGUCUUACGCACCCACGCGACUUGAUCCAAUUGAUUGGCAUUGUUAGAUGAAUCUUCAAGAAAAACAAGAACAAGUUCUUCAUUUCCUUCAUUAUACACCCAAUGUGCAGUACCUGCUGGAAAUGCCAUUAUAUCACCUUGUCUAAAUUGUUCAAUCCUUUGAUGUCGAUCUUGAAAUCGUUGAAUUUUUUGAGAUGAUUGGAAUGUCUCGGGGCAACCCGAGUUCAUUAAGCCAUAAAAUCCUCGACCUGUUGUUUACAUCAAAUCAUAUAGACACAAGAAUAAGAUCAUCAUUGCUAGCACAUCAAGAAAACAACAUGUUACUAUUAUGUUUUAUCUAACUUUCCGACUCUUCAAACAGUAAUACCUUCACUUAAAAUCUUCAACCUAUUGCUUACAUCAAAUCAUGUGCGUACAAUAAUACGAUCAUCAUCACUUGCACGAAAAAAAAUAUGUUACUAUUACGUUUUAUCUAACUGUUUGAAGAAUACGAUCAUCAUCACUUGCACGGACAAAAUAUAUUACUGUUACGUUUUAUAUAGUUCACUUAUAUUGAAUCUUAGUUCAUAACAUGAUUCAUCCAAACUCAAAACUGAUCGUAUUCUUCAAAUCACAACGUUGAUAUCAAGAAACUAACAUGAGCUUGAGCGACUCUCUAAACAGUAAUACCUUCACAUAAAAUCAUCGACCUAUUGUUUACAACAGAUCAUGUGCACACAAGAAUAAGAUCAUCAUUAGAAAACAUGUUAUUGUUACGUUUUAUCCAGUUCACUUAUAUUGGAUUUUAACUUAUGACAUGAUUCAUCCGAAUUCGAAUUCAAAUUUGAUCCUGUUCUUCAAAUCACAAUGUUGACAUGAACUUUAGUGACUCUCUAAACAGUAACACUUCACAUAAAAUGAGACAGAGAAAGUACAUUACGUAUAUAUGAACAUAUUUUUUUGCUCACCUUGAACAACAUAGGCGAGGAUUGGAGAAUUGGUGUAGGAAGGCAAAAGAAGUCCCUUCGAUUGAACAACAUGUCGGAAAACUGAGACUCCAGCGCACUGAAACUGUUGAUUAUUCAAAUCGAAGAACUCAGUAUAUCCAGCUUCAGCUAGCAUUUGAAAAGAGGGUUGUUGUGCAUUUAGCCUGUUAAUUUGACAUUGGCCUUGUUGUUGUUGGUACCUAUUGAAAAUAAACAAUACACCUUAACUUACCAUAUUUACACAAAUCACAAAUAUCCCAACUAAUUAUGUAUCUUCAUUGUAUGUAUUAAGAGCUAAUUAUGUAUCUUGACAGAUCCAAAAUCAGAAGAAUGUAUCGAGAGCUAAUUAUGUAUCUUCACAAAAAAAAAUGUAUCUUUGUUGGAUGUAUUAUGUGUCUUCACAGAUUCAAAAUCGAAAAAAAAUAUAUAGGGAGCUAAUUAUGUAUCUUUACUAAGGAAAAAAUGCAUUUUCAUUGAAUGUUACUAUGAAGCUCAACAGAUUCAAAAUCGAAAAAAAUAUAUCGAGAGCUAAUUAUGUAUCUUUACAAAGAAAAAAUGUAUCUUCGUUGGAUGUAUCGGAAACUAAUUAUGUAGCUCAACAGAUCCAAAAUCGAAAAAAAUGUAUUAGGAGCUAAUUAUGUAUCUUCACUUAAGGAAAAAUGUAUCUUUAUUGGAUGCAUUAUGUAUCUCGACAUAUCCAAAAUUGAAAAACAUGUAUCGGGAGCUAAUUAUGUAUCUCUACAAAGGGAAUAAUAUAACUUCGUUGGAUGUAUCGGAAGCUAAUUAUGUAUCUCGACAGACUCAAAAUCGAUUUAUUCAGUAAUUAUGCAAAAUGUCGAGAUUUUUCGUAAUCAAGCUCCAAGCUGUCGGGAUUUGUGUUGUUUGUCCAAUAAACAAUAUGAACAGUUAAUAGGACAGCUUGAACAUGUACUCUACUGAUUUGCAAAUUUGGCCACUUUGAUGGUUGGUUAGCAACUUUUGCAAAAUUAGACUAGUGAUCUGAAGUUCGAAAGUAGUCACCUAAUUUGAAGUUUAAAAUAAUAUUCAAGAAGAGAUGGCAGUCGUAUUUUCAUGGGCUCUUGAAUGACGAAGGGGAUAGAGCUAUUGUGUUAGGGGAACUGGAGCACUCAGAGGAGUGUCGGUAUUUUAACUAUUGUAGACGUUUUAAGGUAGAAGAGGUUAGACAGGCUGUCCGCAGGAUGCGAAGGGGUAGGGCGACGGGGCCGGAUGAGAUACCGGUGGAGUUUUGGAAGUUCGUUGGAGAGGCUGGUGUAAGGUGGUUGACUGGAUUGUUUAAUGAAAUUUUCAGGACGGCAAAGAUGCCCGAGGCGUGGAGGUGGAGUACCAUGAUCCCUCUCUAUAAGAAUAAGGGGGACAUUCAGAGUUGCGAUAACUAUAGGGGGAUUAAGUUAUUGAGUCACUCGAUGAAGAUCUGGGAGAGAGUGGUCGAGGUGAGGCUGAGACGGAUAGUGUCUAUUUCGGAGAACCAGUUCGGAUUUAUGCCCGGCCGCUCGACGACGGAGGCAAUCCACCUGGUNNNNNNNNNNNNNNNNNNNNNNNNNNNNNNNNNNNNNNNNNNNNNNNNNNNNNNNNNNNNNNNNNNNNNNNNNNNNNNNNNNNNNNNNNNNNNNNNNNNNNNNNNNNNNNNNNNNNNNNNNNNNNNNNNNNNNNNNNNNNNNNNNNNNNNNNNNNNNNNNNNNNNNNNNNNNNNNNNNNNNNNNNNNNNNNNNNNNNNNNNNNNNNNNNNNNNNNNNNNNNNNNNNNNNNNNNNNNNNNNNNNNNNNNNNNNNNNNNNNNNNNNNNNNNNNNNNNNNNNNNNNNNNNNNNNNNNNNNNNNNNNNNNNNNNNNNNNNNNNNNNNNNNNNNNNNNNNNNNNNNNNNNNNNNNNNNNNNNNNNNNNNNNNNNNNNNNNNNNNNNNNNNNNNNNNNNNNNNNNNNNNNNNNNNNNNNNNNNNNNNNNNNNNNNNNNNNNNNNNNNNNNNNNNNNNNNNNNNNNNNNNNNNNNNNNNNNNNNNNNNNNNNNNNNNNNNNNNNNNNNNNNNNNNNNNNNNNNNNNNNNNNNNNNNNNNNNNNNNNNNNNNNNNNNNNNNNNNNNNNNNNNNNNNNNNNNNNNNNNNNNNNNNNNNNNNNNNNNNNNNNNNNNNNNNNNNNNNNNNNNNNNNNNNNNNNNNNNNNNNNNNNNNNNNNNNNNNNNNNNNNNNNNNNNNNNNNNNNNNNNNNNNNNNNNNNNNNNNNNNNNNNNNNNNNNNNNNNNNNNNNNNNNNNNNNNNNNNNNNNNNNNNNNNNNNNNNNNNNNNNNNNNNNNNNNNNNNNNNNNNNNNNNNNNNNNNNNNNNNNNNNNNNNNNNNNNNNNNNNNNNNNNNNNNNNNNNNNNNNNNNNNNNNNNNNNNNNNNNNNNNNNNNNNNNNNNNNNNNNNNNNNNNNNNNNNNNNNNNNNNNNNNNNNNNNNNNNNNNNNNNNNNNNNNNNNNNNNNNNNNNNNNNNNNNNNNNNNNNNNNNNNNNNNNNNNNNNNNNNNNNNNNNNNNNNNNNNNNNNNNNNNNNNNNNNNNNNNNNNNNNNNNNNNNNNNNNNNNNNNNNNNNNNNNNNNNNNNNNNNNNNNNNNCAGAGGAUUAGGGCCAGUUCGGGUCGCUAGGGUAGGGAAUUACUUGGUGGGGGUUUUAUUCUUGUCAUGAUUCCGUGUUCCGUGUUCCAUGUUGUAUUACAAAUCUGUGUGCUUUCCCCUGCUUUCCUCUGCUUUAUAUUACUUAUGGGUGCCGUAUUUAUGUUAUGUAAUCUGCUUCUGUGCUUUACUAUGUGUUUGUGUGGUAUCUCGUGCCUUGAGCCGGGGAUCUAUCAGAAACAGCCUUUCUACUUCAUCAGAGGUAGAGGUAUGGACUGCGUACAUCUUACCCCCCCAGACCCACUAGGUGGGAAUACACUGGGUUUGUUGUUGUUGUUGUAUACUCUAUUUAUUUGCACAAAUAACCACUUUUAUGGCCACUUGGCAACUCUUUUAAAAUUAGACCAGUUAAUCUGAAGUUCGAAAGAGGUUACCCACAUUGAAGUUUAAAAUUUGAAAAUAACAUUCAAAUGGCAAUUUGAGCAAGUAGAUACUCUGUUGAUUUGCACAAAUAACCACUUUCUGGCCACUUGACAACUCUUUCAAAAAUUAGACCAGUCGAUCUGAAGUUCGUAAGAGGUCACCUACAUUGAAGUUUAAAAUUCAAAAAUAAUAUUCAAAUCACAAUUUGACUACAUACAUACUAUGUUGAUUUGAACAGUUUGCCACUUUAAAAUUAGACUAGUCGAUCUGAAGUUCGAAAGUAGUCACCUAAUUUAAAGUUUAAAAUUCUUAAACAAUAUUCAAAUGGCAAUUUGAGCAGGUAGAUACUUUGUUGAUUUGCACAAAUAACCACUUUUAUGGCCACUUGUCAACUCUUUCAAAAAUUAGAUCAGUCAAUCUGAAGUUCGAAAGUAGUCAUCUCAUUUAAAGUUUAAAAUCUAGAAAUAAUAUUCAAAUGGCAAUUUGAGCAAGUAGAUACUCUGUUGAUUUGCCUAAAUAACGACUUUUAUGGCCACUUGACAACUCUUUUAAAAAUUAGACCAGUCGAUCUAAGGUUCGAAAAUAGUCACCUAAUUUAAAGUUUAAAAUUUGUAAAUAAUAUUCAAAUGGCAAUUUGACCACGUACAAUCUAUGUUGAUUUGCACAAAUAACUACUUUAUGUGGCCACUUGGCAACUCUUUCGAAAAUUAGACUAGUCAAUGUGAAGUUCAUAAGUAAUCAACUAAUUUGAAGUUUAAAAUUCUUAAAUAAUAUUCAAAUGGCAAUUUGAGCAAGUAGAUACUCUGUUGAUUUAUACAAAUAACCAGUUUUGUGGUCACUUGGCAACUCUUUCAAAAAUUAGACCGGUCGAUCUGAAGUUCGAAAGUAGUCACCUCAUUUGAAGUUUAAAAUUUGGAAAUAAUAUUCAAAUGACAAUUUGAGCAAGUAGAUACUCUGUUGAUUUGCCUAAAUAACCACUUUUAUGGCCACUUGGCAACUCUUUCAAAAAUUAGACCAGUCGAUCUGAAUUUCAAAAGUAGCCACCUAAUUUAAAGUUUAAAUUCAUAAAUAAUAUUCAAAUGGUAAUUUGACCACGUACAAACUAUGUUGAUUUGCACAAAUAACCACGUUAUGCGGCCACUUGACAACUCUUUAAAAAACUAGACCAAUCAAUCUGAAGUUCAGAAGAGAUUGCCUACAUUGAAGUUUAAAAUUCGAAAAUAAUAUUGAAAUCGCAAUUUGAGCACUUACAUACUCUGUUCAUUUGCACAAACAACCACUUCUAUGGCCAAUAGAUCUGAAGUUUGAAAUUUGAGUACAUAAGCACUCAGCUUAUUUGCACAAAUAACCACUUGAUGGCCUUGUAUUUAAAAGUUGGCAACUUUUACAAAAUCAAACCAGUGGCCUGAAGUGCAAAAUUUGGCCACCUGAUUUGAAGUUUAUAAUUCAAAACUAAUAUUCAAAUCACUUGUCUAAUUUUAAUAAAACAUGCAACUUUUAAAUCCAGACUACUAAAGUGGACAUCUAAUGUUAAUAACAUCUUUAUAAGCAAAACUUUGAAUUAUUAUUAUUGCUCCCUACAAUUUAUUUGUGUUGUUUUCUUUUUUAAUCCGUUUUAAAAAGAAUGCAUGUCUCCUUAUUUUUUAGGAUAUUUGGAUACAUUCUACCAAUCUUUAAUUAAACUCUAAUUGAGUCAAAACAAGGGCAAACAAAUUGAAAUGUAAAAGCUUUCACUCAAAUCACAACAUUACAAAUCUUCUUUACUUUUUUAAAAAUCCAUAUCUAUACCUAGAAAUGCAUCAUCUUUUAUUUAAAACCACAAAAUUAUUUUUUUUUUAAUUUUCUUAAACUCAGUAUCAAAUUAAAAUCAAACAAAUAAUUGAAAUGAAGGGAGCAUCUAUACAAAUAGAAUCAAACAAACAAAUUAAAAUUUUAUCUAUACAAAUCAAAACCAGACAAAUAAAUUAAAAUGAAAGAAGUAUUAUACAAAUCAAAAUCUGAUAAAUUAAACAAAUUAAAAUUUUAUUCAUACAAGAGAUAAGCAUUCAGUAUCCCUCGAACUAUGGUCAAAGUUGUUACGACACACUCCAACUUCCCAGGAGUCCUAGUACCCCUAAUUCAAUUUUAGGAUAUUCUUAUCACCUUUUUAUGCUGACGUGACAUCUUUAUUGCAUAAAAUGGACCCCAUAUCAAAGGUGCCACGUCAGCUAAAAAAAUUAAAAAAAUAUGCUAAAAUGUAGUUUGGGAGGAUAAUAAUACCCAUAAAAUUGGAGUGUGUCGUAGCAAAUUUGGUCAUAGUUCAGGGUACUAAGUGUUUUACUCUUUAUACAAAUCAAAACCAGACAAACAAAUUAAAAUUUUAAAUCUACUUUAUUCUCUUAAAGUGCAUCCAUACAAAUAAAUUAAAAUGGAAAAAACAUCUAUACAAAUCAAAACCAGACAAAUAAAUUAAAAUGAAAGAAGUAUUAUACAAAUCAAAAUUUGAUAAAUUAAACAAAUUAAAAUUUAAUUCAUACAAGAGAUAAGCAUUAAGUAUCCCUCGAACUAUGAUCAAAGUUGUUACGACACACUCCAACUUCACAGGAGUCCUAUUACCCCUAAUUCAAUUUUAGGGUAUUUUUGUCACCUUUUUAUGCUGACGUGACAUUUUGGGAGGAUAAUAGUACCCCAUGAAGUUGGAGUGUGUCGUAGCAAAUUUGGUCAUAGUUCAGGGUACUAAGUGUUUUACUCUUUAUACAAAUCAAAACCAGACAAACAAAUUAAAAUUUUAAAUCUACUUUAUUUUCUUAAACUGCAUCCAUACAAAUAAAUUAAAAUGGAAAAAAUAUUUAUACAAAUCAAAACUAGAUAAAUAAAUUACAAAUCAAAAUGAAGGGAGUCAUAAAUAAUACCUUUGGUGUUGAGCAAAGUAGCCAUGCAAAAGCAAAAGGAAACUCAAGAAAAGAGAAAACCAAGCAAUAGCCAUAUUGCUUAUAAUUGUUAGUAGAAACUGUGAAGAAUUACCAUUAAGGAUAAAAGAAUUACACCUAUAGAGCACUUUAGGAGGAAAAAAUAAAAUAAAAUUGUAAGGAUUAUUAUUUAUUAUUAUUGAACUAUGAUGGGAAGAGUAGGAAACUAAUGGGGGGGGUACUAUAUUUACAGUAGUGAAAUUAUAGAUUAUAUAUAUUGACACAUUGCAAAAGAGAUACAUAUUGUAAGAAGUUUUAUGACAUUUUGCAAUUUGCAUGGCUACUAAGCCAUGUUGCCUUACACAUAAUAAGUUCAAAUUUUCUUUCAUUAUCUUUAUUUGGUGCAAGUGGCAACAUUGCUUUGAGAAUAGUACAAAAUAUUAAAGUUAUACAUUUGAAGGUGAAUCUUUUGUUUUUAUUUGUUGUAAAUAUACACGAGAUAAACAUUCAGUAACUCUGAACUAUAGUAAAAGUUGCUAUGACACACUUUAACUUCAUAUGGGUCCUAUAGUUCUCGAACUCAAUUUUAACAUAUUUUUGUCACCCUUUUAUAUUGACGUGACACCUUUAUUACAUAAAAUGAGACCCACAUAAGCUAAAAAGGUUAACAAAAGGUGCCAUGUAAGCUAAAAGGAUUAACAAAAAUAUGAUAAAAUUUAGUUCAGAAGUAAUAGGACCCAUGUGAAGUUGAAAUGUGUCGUAGCAAAUUUGAUCAUAGUUCAGGGGUACUACAUGUUUUACUUAAUACAUACAAUGUAUUUACAAGGAAUGCACAUAUAUUUUUCAUGUGAAAGGUAAAAAUACACCUAAGUAUCCUGAUUUUUCGAAUUUUGUGUCUAAACUAUUUGAUGUGUGAGUUUCCUAGCUACCUGAACUAUCACUAAAUUUUUAUCAAAACACGCCUCAACUAUCAUUUGUUAUCUUUUUCUACUUGAAUGGUGGUAAUAUUUCAGGUACAAAACAGAAAUAACUGACUGCAUUUUGAUAAAUAUUUGAUGAUAGUUCAAAUAGUCAACUGACACAACUAAUAUUUUAAAUACAAAAACUCGAAGCACACCUGAUAGUUUGGAUACAAAAACUAGAAAAAUCGAGAUAAUUCAUAUGUAUUUUUGACCAUUAAAUCUAUAAAAAUAUUUCAAAUCUUCCAAAAGCACAAAAACAGGUCCUUCAUCAUUCUUGCCUAUGUUAAAAAAUACCUACAAUAAUGUGUUUUUAAUGAAAGUGUAAAAUGAACUAUUUGUGACUAUCAGUAGAAAUUGAGUAGAUGAGCAUUUGUUCUCUUUUGUCUUGUCAUUUUACACAGGAUUAUUAUGUUGCGUCUUGUGUGGUUAAUUUGCAUCUUACAUACGUUCAAUGUGUAUUAUUUCAUAUAUGAGACGUUUAUCUAAUUAUUUAAUUUUAUACUAGUUUAAGUGUCUAUUUGUGUAAGCCCAAAAUUGGAGGACAUAGAUGCAAGUUGAAGUCAAGUUAAAGACCACGUUUAUGUAUAGCACAAUACAUGAACAUGCCCUUUAACUUGGCCUCAGAUCACAUUUAUGACCUCCGAUUUUGGGUGUGCACAAGUAGACGCUUAAACUUGUAUAAAAUUGAACGAGUAGAUACACACGUCCUAUGUGACAUAAUACACAUAAUAUUAAAACACACAUCGAUAUUUAGUGUAAAAUCAAAGUUAUAAAGAAUAUAUACAAAAAUUUCUCAGAAAACAAUGACUUACUAUUACUUAUAUCUGCAAAAAUAUUUUUUGCUAUGACUUUUUUUACUUCUUUCUUCAGUUUCUUUGUGUUCCUUGUUCAAGAAAAUGAACAAAAAAAGUUUUUCUUCUAAUUUGGUAGUAAGUUCAAAAUUAAAAUGAUAAUAAGAAAUUAUAAAAAUGUUAAUAUUAUUUAGACGGGAUAAUAAGAAAAUAUUGUCGAACAAAAUAAAAAUUUGAUUAACUUUCUUGAGAAAAUUGAAGGAAAGGUGUCUUUUAAGUCUUGAAUGAAGGAUCGGUGACAUUGACCAACUUAAAGGGUCAAACAUAAUUAGAAAACUUGAUUAAGUUAAUUAUGGACUUGAUUAAUAUUUUUAAAACUUUCUAAUCUUUACAAAAAUACAAAUCAAUCCAACCCACACCCCUCUUCAAUCCAAAUUAUCGACCGUCUCUCGACAACUUCGUUCUCUCAACCAACAGUUCUGCAAAUUUCUCCUUUCAAUCCCCAGCGACUUUAACCUUUGACGACAAAUAGUUGGGCUUCGAGUUCCUUUUUGACUUCAACCUUCAAUCGACGUGACAACCUUACUCUCCGGCCACAAUAGCUUCGAAUUCUUCAUCGUUCCUUUUCUUCUUUCACAGGUAAAAAAUUAUGGCCAUCUUAGUUUUGAAGAAAACGAGGAACUUGAGCCAACUUCUCUUAUAGUAUUGGUUAACAAUUUCAAUAUUUAUUGCUUUAAUUUCUUCUCUUCUCUUUUCAAAGUGAAUUAUGAUUUUUUAUUGUUUGUUGUUUUUUUUUGAAGUUUGAUUUUUGUUGUUUGUGUUUAUACAAACAAAACAACAAUUUUGGUGUUUUUUGUAUUGCACCCAUUGCUGGGUUGAUCUGUUCUAUUCUUGUUCUUGAUAAAAAUGGUGAUAUUGUUGUUUUUCUGUUGAAUAAAAUUGUGCUACUAUUUUUUUCUCCAAUAGAUUAUCCAUCUGGUGCAACAUAUUAACCAUUUGAUGCAGCAAAUUUAUCAUAUGGUGCAACAGAUCAAUCAUCUAAUGCAACAGAGGAACCAUCUGAUUAAAAUUCUGAUGCAACAAAUUAAAUAUCUGAUGCAACUAAUUCACCAUCUAAUGCAACAGAUUAAUAAUCUGAUGCAACAGAGGAACCAUCGGAUAAAAAAUCUGAUGCAAUAGAUUUAGCAUAUGAUGCAACAGUUUAGUUAUAUGUUGCAACAGAUGUGUGACCUGUUGCACAGACCAUUCAUAUUUCUCAAUAGAUGAGUGAUAUGUUUUGUAUUAUCGCAAUAGAUUACUCAGCGUUGUUGUUGCACGUUAGUUAAUUGUUCCGACAGAUCACUCAUAUGUUGCAACAGAUGUGUAAUUUGUUGCACAGACCAUUCAUCUUUCUCAACAGAUGAGUGAUAUGUUUUGUAUUAUCACAACAGAUUACUCAGUCGUUGCUACAGUUUAUUUAUCUAUUCCAACAGAUCACUCAUAUGUUGCAACAGAUGAUUUUGCAAAAGAUGUGUGAUCUGCUGUAUAGACCAUUCAUUUUUCUCAAUAGAUGAGUGGUAUAUUUUUUAUUAUUGUAAUAAAUUACUCAUCUAUUGCAACAGGUUAUUUAACUGUUCCAACAGAUCACUCAUAUGUUGCAACAGAUGUGUGAUCUAUUGCACAGACCAUCCAUCUGCCUUAAAAUAUGAGUGAUACAUUUUGUAUUGUUGCAACAAAUUACUCAUCCAUUAGAUUUACUGUUUUCCCUUUUUAACGAUACAUUAAUCAACUAUAAUAUAUAUUUUUAUGUUCCAAUUAAUUUUAGAUAAUAUGGCUUCCAAAAGAACAAAAAUCGAAUCAAGUCCAAGUAAAGGAACAAGUGAAGCAGCUAGGCUACAUCCACCACUCUAUGAGCUUUCUUUACAAGUGUUAUCUCAAUCAAGAGCAGAAUAUGAUGAACACGGGGAGGAGGAAUGUUUCAAAAGAGAUGAUCCAAAUGCUAAUAGCCCUUUCACUGAAGAGUUGGUCAAAACCUUCAGUAUUAAUCGUUAUCCUGUGAGAAUGCAGUGCGAUGGUGCCAUAGAUUUAACAGGUGAUUUCAUGGUUAAGUCAACCAUGGGAAAAUCUUUCGACGCCUUCAAAAAAAUACUUCGAGAAUAAAAAUUGGAUGCUUAUGUCAGGGACAGCUGCUUUGAAAAAUAUCUUGAUUUGCCGGAGGACAACAAUGCUCGUUUCUAAAUGAAAAUGGUAUAUGAACUUCUCAAGCGUAGGUUUAUAUAUGAAAACCAAGAUAAGAUGGAUGAGGUGUGGAUAAAUUACUGUGGCAUGCCUGUUUGUUUUGGUUGGAAGGAGUUUGCCAUAGUUACUGGACAAAAAUAUUAUCCUCCUUCUCCUUCUCAAGUUGUACCUAUUAUAACCCCAAAAAAGAACCCUGCAUACCUAAAAAAAGGUAAAGGCAAGUCGUGUGAUCGUGAUGACCUGGUGUCCAUUGUUGGUCCAAGCUUUAAAAAUAAAAAUUUGAUAGAAGCGUUGAAAGGUAAAGGACUUUUAAAGAAGUACAAGCAGUCAUUGUGCUUGGUUUGGUUUGUACAUAAUAUUCUUUGAGCGAGAGACGUUAACAACAACAUAAGCNNNNNNNNNNNNNNNNNNNNNNNNNNNNNNNNNUAACAACUAUCCUUGAGGUUAUGAAAGCUUCAAAAUGACUGUUAAAUAUUUGUUGACUCCAUUAGUGCCAAAGACAGUCAACUUGUAUGGCUUUCCAUUGGCUUUCAAGGUAAAUGUUUCUUUCUUUUAUUAUGAUAUCAUUUUUUUUUUACACAAUGAUGAUUUUGAUUUAUUGGCAUUAUUUUAUAGUCUUGGGCAUUUGAAGUCAUUCCUUAUCUGAGACAACAAGUGAACGACCAGGAAGAAGUUUUCUGCCCAAGAAUCUUGAGAUGGUUGUUGACCAAAAUUGAUAAAAAUGCAAAAUUUCUUGAUCUCUUCAACCCCCGAAGGAUGCAGUAAGUAUAAUUAUAAUUAAGUUUUUAUUUUAAUUAAUAAUUUUUUUAAAUUAUCUAAUCAUCAUUCUAAUAUAUGUAAUGAUUUAUGUUAGAUUGUGCAUCCGUGGCUAGUUCCGACUAAUCGAGAGUCGCAGAUGCCAAUUUUUCUUACUUUACAGUCUGUGCAAACUUUAUCGGACCCUAAGGUCAUUGAAAGAAUAAAAAUAGAAUUGUUUGGAGCAAUAACCAUUACAAGAAAAAUAAUUUUGAAGGGUGGACUUGUUGUUGUUGAUGGUCUUAGUGGUGAUAGAGCUAUUGGUGGUGGUAGUGGUGCUGCUGUUGGUGGUAGUGAUGCUCCUCUUACAGUAUUUGAAACAAACCAUUAGGAGUAUGAUCAUACUGGUUAUACAGAUUUUGCCUCUCCCAGCGAAUGUUCUGCAUGCAAAUGUCAAGACUGCAAGACGAAACAUGAUGUAGUGAUUAAUGCUAUUAAUGCAUUAACUACUUCUGUAAUUGACAUCUAAGAGGGGUGUCAUUCCAUCAAAGAGGAUUUUAUAUCCAUACACUCCAUUAGAGAUUAAGGAUAAGAGGAGAAGGAAAGUGAUUUCCAAGGCAUUAUCAAGCAUCCAAAAAAGCAAAAUUGCAACUCCUCUGUCGUUUACACUGAGCAAUGUACAAUGUCCAAAGGAGAGCAACACGAGAUGAAAAAGGUAAAUAUAUAUGUCUUUUCCAACUAACAAACAAACAUAUAUCUAUUUCAAUAGAUGACUAUCUGCUGAAAAUUAUCAAACAGAUAAAUAGAUUUGUUGCAACAGUUGACUAACUUGUAGCACCAGAUAAAAUAUCUGUUGUGACCUAUGUCUCGUCUAUUUUAGCAAAUCAAACAACACUUCAUACUACUUUUAUUUAUACCAACAGAUGACCUAUCUGCUGCAUCAGAUGAGUCAUAUGUUACAGCAGAUGGUUCAUUCGUUAGAAAUUAUCAUACAGGUCUUCCUCAUGUAGAAAUUUAUCCCAAUAGUUGAUUCAUUAUUGCAGCAGAAAUAUAAUCUGUUUGAGACAAUUUUGUCUCACCCUUUUUUAACCAAAAAGAACCAAUUUAAGUUUUGAAAGGGUUUUUAUUAUUAAAGUGAUAAAAUAUGAAAAUUUAUUUCGAAAAGGAUUAUUUAUAUUCAAACUCAGAGUUGCCACUUGGCAUAAUCGGGUGUGUCAAGUCACCUUUAGAAAUCUUUUUUCAAAACUAUAUUUGACUCUUUAAAACUGAUUUGCGAACAAAAAUUCUGGCUAAGGAAUUCUGUUGAUCGAGGGGAAGGUGUUGGGCACCCCUGGAUCUGUGGUUCGACCAUGGUCGCUCUGUAGAGUAUAUCGACUAGGAGACACUACGAAUGUAUAAACCACACAAAACACACAAAACAAUCAAUCAAACAAACAAAACAAAAAAAAUCCAAAAUAUAGUGUCCAGUCCAAAUAUAUAGUCCAAAAUAGAAAAAUGUGAAAAAAUAUAAAUCCUAUUCUAAACUAGUCCUAGGCUAAGCUCCAAUGCUUUACCCAAUGCCUCGAGCCUUUGUCACGGACGUCCUUCGAGUACAAAAUACUUCGGGGCAUUUUUCGGUGAAUAAGUACAAAAUAACCUUGGGGCAUUCCCCGGCCAAAUGAUAUAUUUAAUCGAAAAAGCAAUAAAACCAAGUCAUUCAACACAUAUUUCAAGCAUUCAAUGUUCCACAAGUCCUGAAUUUGCCUACCCGAACCUAAACUUUGCCUAUUAAGCUUUCGGCCUAAGAUAUGAUCCUAUCGAGUUGACAAACUUGACAUUUAUUCCGAAUUAAACAAAGCACCAAAUCCCAAAACUAAUCUAAAUUCACCCUUUUUAUCAAUUUCUCAAUUCCACCCCGAAUUAUGUUUUUGAUACACAACUUCCAUACGAGACGAUUAUCCAUACAUUAAUAUUCAAACUUAUAUCAUGAUCAAUUGUUCUACUUCAAACAUCAAGAAAACACACCAGCGUAAUCAUCAAGUAUAUAAACAUUAAUGAAAUCAAACAAUCAUAAUCAACAAACACAUAAUCAAGACAAAGAAAAGAGAACGGGUUACAGAAAUGAACCUCAAUGAAACUUGUUUUUGUCGAUAAUAAAGAAGUCCAAAACUGAAAUCCUUGAAUGGAACUGCCACGCCGAACAGAGCUCCAAAUCAUGAAUAUUGAACCCACUAGAUCGCAAAAAAAACCCAAAGCACGAUAUCGAGAAUGAAUCAAGAAAAUAGAUGAACCCAAAGCCCCCUAAAAAUCCAACAGAGAACUAAAAACUGAUAGAAACUGAGCUUCGGUGAGCUAACAAUGACUGAAACAACUUAAACAGUUGGAUUUUAUAAGGAGAUUUGGCGAUUUUCAGACUGAUUUGACCAAACUAAUGACGAAAACUAAUUUCAGCACUGAGGUCACCGAAGAAAUCUCGAAUAGAGGCUGGGUUUCUCACCAUUUUCCUUAUUCCUUUGAUGAAUUUCAUCAAACGUCUUCCAUGCUUUGCUUCUCUUUUCUGUGGUGUGUGCGUUGCGUCACUGUGUGUGCGCGUCUCCCCUGUUCUCUAUGUGUGUAUGAAUGGAGAAAAAAAAGAAGAGUUAUCGGUGUGUGUGCGUGUAUUCUCCCUUCAAAACCAUGGAAAUUAUAUGUGUAUUCCUUUCUUUUUUUCUCUUCCUAAUUGUGGGUGUCUAUCCCCCAAAAUGGAAGCCUGUGGAAAUUGUAUAUGUCUAUAUGUCUUUACCAAUGGAAACCUACAAUAUUCCAAGUGGGACUCCUAUUUUCUUGGUAUUGUGUCCUACAUGUGUGUAUAUUAUUGGUGGCUUGUGAAAAAUCAUGAAGUGGCUUAUAGAAAUAUGUGUAUGGCAUGUGAAAAUUAUGUAUAGCGUGUGGGUCUCACAUGAAUAAGUGUGUAAGGUGAGUGAGGUGUGUGUUUUUUGUGUGUAUUCAAUGAAAAAUAGGGAGUGAUGCGUGAGGUGGCAUGGUAAGGUGUCAAAAGUGUUAUGCAUUUGAUUAUUUUUUAUACCUUUUGAGGAAAAAUUAUCAACUAGAAAAAGUAUAUGGUAAAGUGAAUAAAAACUUGAGAAAAUAUUUUCGGGGAGGGACAAAAUUAUGUGUCUACAUCAUGCCCGCUUUGGAUGUAAACACUAGGUGUUUUCAUACAAAGAAGUUGACAACGAGACAGAAUUUUGUUCCAAUCACUAUUCAAAAGAAUGAAACAGAAGGAAGGAGGGGUAACAAGUCUUGGUUUUGGACAUCAUACGUCGUGUGGGGAUCAAGCCACAGGUAACUUUAAGGCUAGAAGAGAAGUGGGCUAUACCGAGUUGGAGAGUCGAGUGAGGUUCCAUCGAGGUUCCGGUGCGCAGCUCUGUCAUUACAUCAAAAUGAAAAUUACAAGUUAAAAUAUAAAUGAAAUUACAAAAAUUUUAUCUAUGCAGCUUCUUUUGGACUCUUGACUUGAGUUUCAUCACCCUAUUUUUUAGGCAGGUUCCUAACUUGCAAUUUUUUUGACUUGUUUUUUGGCUUUCAAUUUCUUCACCCUGUUCUUCAGGCAGGCUCCUGACUUGCUAUUUUUCAAUCUGUUGACUUUCAAUUUCUUCACCUUGUUACUUGACUCUCAACUUCUUCAUCUUGUUGCUUUGACUUUUAAUUUCAUCACCUUAUUCUUUGGGCAGACUCCCAACUUGCAAUUUCCUCAUCUUUUUCUUCAGGCGGGCUCCUGAUUGCAAUUUUCUAACUCUGUUCUCCGGGCGAGCUCCCGACUUUUAAUUUUCAUCAUCCUGUUCUUCAGGCGGGCUCCUGACUUGCAAUUUUAUUACUCUAUUCUCUGGGCGAGCUCCCGACUUUUAAUUUUAUCACCUUAUUCUUCAGGUGGUCUCCUGACUUGCAACUUCAUCACUCUAUUCUUUGGGUGAGCUCCCGACUUUCAAUUUCAUCACCUUGUUCUUCAGGCAGGUUCCCGACUUGAAAUUUCAUUACUCUGUUCUCUGGACGAGCUCCCGACUUUCAAUUUCAUCACCCUAUUCUUCAGGAGGGAUCCUGACUUUCAAUUUCAUCACUCUAUUCUCCGGGUGAGCUUCUGACUUUCAAUUUCAUUACCCUGUUCUUCAGGCGGGCUCCCAAUUUGCAAUUUUAUCGCUCUAUUCUUUGGGUGAGCUCCUGACUUUCAAUUUCAUCACCUUGUUCUUCAGGCGGGCUCCCAAUUUGCAAUUUUAUCACUCGAUUCUCCGGGUGAGCUCCCACAAUUUCAUCACCAUGUUCUUCAGAUGGGCUCUUGAAAUCAAAAUAAAACUAGAAUAAAAAAAUUAUCCCAAACAAAGAUUAUGAUAAAGAAAGAUUCCAUUUUUCUGAAAGUAAAUUCUUAUUUUUCAGGAGGGUCCUGAACAUAAAGUAAAUUCUCAUUUUUCAGGAGGGUCCUGAAUAUAAAGUAAAUUUCUAUUUUUCAGGAGGGUCCUAAACAUAAAGAAAAUUCCUAUUUUUUAGGAGGGUCCUAAACAUAAAAUAAAUUCUCAUUUUCUAGGAGGGUCCUGAAUAUAAAGUAAUGCCCUGGUUAUGCUUUCCUACCAGCAGCUGAAUUUACUGAACAGAAACUUUGCCCCUGUUUCAUCAAAGAAAAUUUUGUUAGUUAAAACUCAGUGGUGGUUUUCAGCACUUGGCUUCCUAGGCAUCUUCUCCAGUGCUCGUUCCUUUCAUCUUUGUUUCAGAUUGCUGACACUUUUCCCUUCCUUGUCGCAUCAUUGACCCAAACCUCAAAUUAAGAGAAAUGACUUUGACUUAAAACCGAAUUUCUAUUUUACCAUGCCUCUGAGAUGUACCUUUUGAAACCUAAUAAUCCACGAAUCCAGCAACCUAUCGGUUGAUAAACUUUCUUUGCUUUGUUUUAAAUUAUGAUCACAUUUCUUUCUUGUGUUGAUCCUUGGCUUUUCCUCAUACAAUUGGGAAGACUGGUAGCGAGUUUUGAAAUCCUUUCUCACUUGUUUUGACACAGCCUUGACUCAAAAUGUAAAGAAAUGAUAGUGACUUUUAUUUUGAUAAAUGACAUAAAAAGACAAAAAUAUGAAUAUGUACAUGAAAGCAAAGGAGAAUGACCCUCUUUUAAACAAAGAAGAAAACUUAUAUGAAUACGGCAACCAACUCCAAUGAUUAUGACAUGCAUUUUGGAUUAAGCUUCCUGAUCUUUCUACCUAAACUUCCCAUUUGUUGUUAAGUUCAUGCCUUUGCCGCUUCUCCAAACCCAUUGGACUCUUACACCUCAUUCAAUUAACGUUAUCUUGAAUGAUUUUUGCCAACAAGCCUCUUUUCUUUUUAUUUCUCUCAAACUUGCCAUCACCUUCCGGUACCCGUGAGGGUUUUCACCAAUAAGACUCUCUCAUUUUUAUUUCUCUCAACUCACCAUCUCCUUAUGGUGCAUGUGAGGGUUUUCACCAAUAAGAGAAGCCUGUGAGGGUUUUCACCAAUAAGACUCUCUCAUUUUUAAUUCUCUCAACUCACCAUCGCCUUAUGAUGCCCAUGAGGGUUUUCAUUAAUAAGACUCUCUCAUUUUGUUCUUCAUGUUUCCCCAUGAUGAUGUGAAAAAUAUAAUGCCAAAAUAUUUCCAUAUAUCCAUCACAUGUUCAGCAUCACAAUUCUCAAAGAUUGAUCUGAAGAACUUUUUUUGGUUUUAACUUGGCUUUUGGAUAGGGUUAGAAAGAAAAGGAUGGCAAGAGGUUCAAAUGACACUUGAAGUGAGGUGGGACUUACAACUUUUGGAAUCGACUCAAAUAAUAAAAAUUAACUCAUGCCCCAAUUUUAUUGACUGGGUGAUUCUAAAUUAUUUUAUUUGGUUGGACUGAGUCUAAAAUAGGGCAGCCUACGUAUCUCACCCCUGAGAAAGGAGAAUCAGGUCACACGUAGUUCCGACAGCUUGUUCUUUAUUUUGAUUUGAUUAUUUUUAUUGAUUUUUUUUCAUACUCUUUCUUUUAUUCUUAUUUUCUUGACACUUUAUCUUUUGACUCUGUUUUGAUUUCAAAAGAGGGAUAUGAAAGAAAGUAGACCUAAAGCUUAAAUGGGAUAAACAAAGGAUGACACAAUAUUUGGAUAGCAGAAUGAAAUGCCUUCAUCAUAUCAAUCUUCAAAAAUGCAAGUACUAAAUAUGCAAUAUAACCAACAAAGGACAAAAUAUCAUACAUAAUAUCUUUUGAAUGCAUCAGCAUUAAUGGCCAUUUCUGUCAUUUUACCUUCUAUAUCUGUCAAAUAUAAAGCUCCAUUAGGUAACACUUUCUUCACAAUAGAGGGACUUUGCCAAUUUGGGGAGAACUUGCCUUUAGCUUCAACCUGAUGAGGGAGGAUACGCUUCAAUACCAACUGACCAACUUCAAAAUGCCUUGGAUGUACCUUUUUAUUAUAUGCUCGAGCUAUUCUCUUCUGAUACAAUUGGCCAUGACAUACCGACGUCAGCUUCUUUUCAUCAAUCAAACUCAAUUAUUCCAAUCGAGUUUUGACCCACUGAUCAUCAUUAAUCUCUUAUUCCAUAAUGACUCGAAGAGAGGGAAUUUCAACUUCUGCAGGAAUGGCUACUUCUGUCCCGUACACCAAUAAAUAUGGAGUUUACCCUGUUGAAGUGCGAACCAUAGUAUGAUAACCUAACAAAGCAAACGGCAACUUAUCAUGCCAUUGCCUAGACCCUUGUAUCAUUUUUUGCAGUAUCUUCUGAUAUUCUUAUUGGAAGCUUCCACGACGCCAUUUACCUUUGGAUGAUAUAGAGUGGAAUUUCGAUAUGUGAUCUUAAACUGUUGGCACACUUCUUGCAUCAAAUGACUAUUGAGAUUGGCAGCAUUAUCUGUGAUGAUCAUCUUGGGAAUUCCAAACCUACAAAUGAUAUUGGCAUGAACAAAAUCUAUCGCCGCCUUUUUUGUUACUAACUUGAAAGUUGCUGCUUCUACCCACUUUGUAAAGUAAUCAAUGGCCACCCCAAUAAAUCUAUGCCCAUUUGAUGCUUUCGGCUCAAUCAUUCCAAUCACGUCCAUCCCCUAAGCUACAAAAGGCCAUAGAGUAGACAUUGCGUGCAACUCCAUAGGAGAAGAAUAUAUUAGAUCAUCAUUUACCUGACAUUGAUGAAAUUUCCGAACAAAAUAAAUAGAAUCCAUCUCUAUAGUAAGCCAAUAAUAACCCGCUCGAAGUAUCUUCUUUGACAAGAUACAACCGUUCAUGUGAGGCCCGAAUACUCCGAAAUGUAUUUCAACCGUGAUUGCCAAAGCUUCUUUUGCAUCUAUACAUCUCAAGAGUCCCAGAUCAGGGGUUUUAUUGUACAAGAUUCCCCCACUCAAGAAAAAUCCACUCGCCAAAUGCCUAAUAGUCAUCUUUGGAUCACUGGUGGCAUGUGUUGGGUAUUCUCCUGACUGUAUGUAUUGCUUGAUAUCAAAGAACCAAAGUUCACCAUUGAGUUCUUAUUCAACUGCAUUACAAUAAGUAUGUUGAUCACGACUUUGUAUAUGCACGGGAUCAAUGUAGGACUUAUCAUGAUGUUGGAGUAUUAAAGAAAAAGUGGAUAAAGCAUCAGCAAUCUCAUUGGAAAUUCUUAGAAUAUGCCUAAACUUUACUGACAUAAAAGGUUGACAUAGAUCUUGUAAGCAUUGUCGAUAUGAUAUGAGCUUUAAGUCUUGUGUCUCCCAAUCAUCUUGAAUCUUAUGAACGAGCAAAUCUGAGUCCCCCAACACUAAUAUUUCCUGGAUGCCCAUGUCAAUAGCUAGCCUCAGCCCUAGAAUGCAAGCUUCAUACUUUACCAUAUUGUUAGUACAAUAAAAUCAAAGUUGUGCUGAUACCGGGAAAUAUUUCCCCGAUUAAAAAACAAGAACCACACCUAUUCUGACUCCUCUCAUGUUAAUGGCUCCAUCAAAGAAAAGUUUCCAAUAUGGAUCAGCAUCUAUAAUGACUUCACCGACACACAAUACCUUUUCAUCUAGAAAAUAUGUCUUUAAUGGUUCAUAUUCUUCAUCAAUGGGGUUCUUAGCAAGAUGAUCUACCAAGGCUUGGGCUUUCAUGGCAGUUCGAGUCAUAUAUACAAUGUGGAACUCGGUAAGUACUAUUUGCCACUUCGCCAGUCGAUCUGUUGGCAUAGGUUGUUGAAAGAUAUACUUCAAAGGAUCCAUGCAGGAAAUGAGAUAAGUAGUGUAGGAUGAAAGAUAAUGCUUCAACUUCUACGCUACCCAAGUUAGGGAGCAACACGUCCUUUCAAGAAGAGUGUACUUGGCUUCAUAUGUUGUGAACUUCUUGCUAAGAUAAUAAAUAGCCUGCUCUUUUUUUCCUGUGACAUUAUGUUGACCCAAUACACAACCAAACGAAUUAUCCAUAAUCGACAAUCACAAAACCAAAGGCCUACCAUGCUUAGGCGGCACCAGCACUGGUAGAUUUGACAGAUAUCUUUUGAUUUUAUCGAACGCUUCCUGAAAUUCCUCAGUCCACUCAACUGUGACACUCUUCUUCAACAACUUAAAAAUGGGCUCACAAGUGGUGGUGAUUUGAGCAAUGAACAUACUAAUGUAUUUCAAUCUACUAAGAAAACUCAUCACCUCUGUUCUAUUCUCGGGCGGCGGCAGAUCUUAAAUGACUUUGUUCUUUGAAGGAUUCAAUUCAAUACCCCGACGGCUGACUACAAACCCUCAUAACUUUUCAGAUAGAAAUCCAAAUACAUAUUUUUCUAGAUUGAGUUUGAGAUUAUACCUACAAAGACUUUAAAAGAACUUCCUUAGAUUUUUAACAUGGUCAGCUUGAUUCUUUGAUUUAAUAAUCACAUCAUCUAUAUAGACUUCAAUCUCCUUAUACAUCAUAUCAUGAAAUAUGGUGGUCAUGGCUCUCAUGUAUGUUGCUCCAGCAUUAUUCAAACUGAAUGGCAUCACUUGAUAACAACAAGUCCCCCGCGGUGUGAUAAAAGACGUUUUCUCCGCGUCAUAAUCAUCCAUAAUGAUUUGGUGGUAUCCGACAUAGCAAUCCACAAAAGAGGAAACUUCAUGUUUAGUGCAAUUGUCCAGUAGAAUGUGGAUGCUGGGCAGUGGAAAAUCAUCCUUCGGACUUGCUCUGUUCAAAUCAUGAUAAUCAAUAUAUACUCGAAUUUUGCUAUCUUUCUUUAGGACAGGAACAACAUUGGACAACUAAGUAGGAUAAUGCGCCACUUGAAUGACUUUGGCUUCAAUAUGUUUCAUGAUUUCCUCUUUGAUUUUUGUACUUACAUCAGUUUUAAACUUUCUCAACUUUAGUUUGACAGGAGGGAAUGCAGGAUCAAUUGACAAUUUGUGAGAAGCUAAUUCAGUGCUAAAAUUGGGCAUAUCAUCAUAAGACCAUGCAAAAACUUCUGUAUAAUCAAUUAAUACUUGAAUCAUUUCCUCUUUUAACUGUGGCAAAACAUGUACACUUAUUUUAGUUUCCUUAACAUCUCCUUGAUCUCCCAGAUUAAUUGGCUCAGUUUCAUUCAGAUUAGGAUUCGGCUUGUCAUCAAACUGUUCCAACUCUUUGCUUAUUUCUUCUAAUGCCUCUUCUUCAUCAUAAUCCCCUUCUUGCUUAAUUAUAUCUUGAUUAGAUUGGAUUUUAAGAUCAGGCUGAAAAUUCAGCAUGCAUGUCAUAUGAUUAGAAUCAGCAUAAAAAGAACUUUAUAAAGAAAAGGCAAAAUAAAAUAUAUUAGACACAAAACAAAAGGGACAUUGCAUUUCAUUAAAAGCGAAAGAUAGGAGGGUUUAAACAUAAAUGAAAAUAGAAAAUAAACAAGCUAGAUUUUGAAUUACACCCCUAAAAUAACUCGGAUGAACAAAAAAAAAACAAAAUGAACUACCAAAACUCCCUCCUGACGGGGAGAUGAGUGACUUCCCAGUUGUUGAGCUCGACAUCAGGACCUAUGAACUACACAUCUACCUUACUGGUACCUUCUCCCGCUUCAACCAUGUCAAUUUCAACCAAUAGGUUCUGGAAAUCAUCAACUAAUUAAGCCUCAAACUCUAUAGGCUUCAUGACACUGCUCUUGACAAAUUACUUACUGAGUAGCGGCACUGGGCGAGAGAGUGACCAUGUUUCCUUCUUUCUUUUCUUGGCCUUCUUCCAAUCUUCAGGUGUUGGUUUGAAUCCUAGACCAAAAGUGCCCAUGCUUUCACUCGGGCAUAUUGGAUGAACUAUACUAUGCAGAGACACUCCCAAACCCUUUUUUGGCUCAAAUCCAUUUUUCAACAUCUCACUUACCAUUAUGAUAGAAGUAGAAGAUAGUUGUGGCCCUGGCAUAAGCCCUUCGAAGAUAUGAUCCACUAACAAUGAAUCGAAAGAUUGAAAAAAAAAUGCCUCCUCUACAUUGUUUGAUUCCCUAAAGGCAUGGGAGAAUCUUUGUAGACUGAUAAAUCACCUUCACUAUUAAUAACCAUUUCUUUCUUGCUGUGAUCGAACUUGAUCAUUUGGUGCAAUAUAAAUGCAACCGCCCCAGCCUUGUGAACCCAUGGUCUUCCUAACAACAAAUUAUAAGAGGCAUCGAUAUUCAACACUUGGAACUCUAUGGUGAAUUCAACAGGCCCUAUAGUCAGCAUUAGCUCUAUUUUGCUAAUGGAGUCUAUUUUUGCUCCAUCCAAAGCUUUGACACAUACAUUAUAAGGAAUAAUCAUCUCAACACUGAUAUUCAACUUUUGUAAGGUGGAUAUAGGAAAAAUAUUUGCACCAGAACCUCCAUCAAUCAUGACAUGAGUGACGUAGAAAUUUUCAUAUUUCAUGGUAAUGUAAAGACCCUGAUUAUGCCCCGUACCUUCUAUAGGCAAUUCGUCAUCAAAAAAGCUAAUCCGAUUCACCUCAAAGAUUUUUCCAUCCAUUUUCUUGAGCUGGUUUACCAUAAUAUCCUAGGAACAUAAGCUUCAUUUAAUACCUUCAAUAUAACAUAACGAUGUUCCUUAGAAUGCAAUAAUAGAGAAGAAGAGAGAUUUGAGCCAGAGUCCUCUUCAACUGAUCUAUGAUUGAAUAUUCCGACAAUUUUAUCAUUCUCAAGAAUUCUUCUGCCUCUUCUUCGGUGACAGGAUUUUUGAGAGACGAAGGCACAUUCAUCACUGGUUUAGACUUCCUCAAACCUUCAGGUACAAAACAUCUUCCUGAUCGAGUCAAAACCCCUACCUUAUUUAUUUCUUCCAUGAUUUCCUUUCCUUGAUAAGUCAUCACAACCUGCUUAUAGUUCUAGGGGACUCUUUUCGUAUCGACUAUCGAAAUUUGGGUCAUCGAUUUGAUGAUAAUUGGUGCUACAAGUACUCCUUUCAGCAUAAAAAUAGGCUUGCUCGAAGCUUCUACCAUCGUUAGCUUGGGUUCAAAAUCUGUAGGUUACAUAGAUUACAAUAUGGUAUCAGAGACUACUACGCGAAGCUAGUCGAUUCUGCUCAACUAAUUUCUGUGAUGCUGCUACUGAUUCUUUCCAUCUCUUCUCUUCUUUGAAGCUUUCUUAAAAAUUCUAGAUGAUAACAAUAGCGCCUGCUAGAGUCACAAAUGCCUCACGUUCCAGUAGUGAUCAAGCCUCUACCAUGGAUCAAUCCUCUACCAUGGAUUACAAUCACCCAUUGUUCCUUCAACCCUCAGAUGUAAGUGGCUCUCAGAUAAUUUCAUUUCAAUUAACUGGGGUUGACAAUUAUGCAACGUGGUAUAGAUCUAGGAAAAUUGCAUUGUUGGGUAUAAACAAGCUAGGGUUGGUGGAUGGUUCAUGUAAUACCCCAUAUUUUGGGCUAGAACAAAAACCGUCAUUUCUAUACGUAGAUGAUCCAAAAGCCUUAAAUCCUAUUCAAAUUUGGCAUGUUAAUCAAUUAUGUAGUGUGGGAACCUAUUUAAGCAUGAAUUAAGAUCAUAUAGGUCCCUUAACUCAAGGACUAGUUGAAAGCUUUCCUAUCGUUCAAGUUUUAGUGAGCGUCAAAACUUUGAUCAACUUCAAUUGACACUAACUCCUUGUAUAUGAAGAAAUGGGUGGCCUACUAUAUAUCAAAUGAAAGGUAUUUGAGUCCUCUUUCCAACUACACUAGUUUUGAUUUAAUUCGGUAUCGGAGUAGAAAAUUAUGCUCAUUUUACUUUGAAGUGUUUUUCUGCCAAAACGUGACGACAAGUCUGACGACUUAUUAGCUGUGUGACGGCCUGUCAGACCUGGUCGCCAGCCUAAGUCAGUGAAUGGUGAAAACCAGCCCAAAAGUGAUGACCUGGGUGACGACUUAUCACCUGAGUGACGGCUCAUCAACCCUGGUCAUCAAUUGAUGCAAUUAUGCAAUUUUUUUAGGGCUCCUUAGGGGUAUUUUGGUCUUUCCCUCACUCCCAAAUCCUUUCACAUGAAUUAAAUCACCCCUUAAGCAUUAUUAAUCAAUCACUGUCAGUUUUACAACAUAAAAAAAACUUCCUCUUCACUCUCAAAAUACGAUCAAACUAGGGUUUUCUCCAAGAACAAGAAAUUCAAGGAAAUCAAGCCUUAAGUUCAAGAUUUUCAAGGAACGAAUCGAAAUUUGAGUUUUUCUCUUUAAACUAAUUAAUUUGAGGUAUGUGGGGUUUUUCUAAAAUUUUAUGGGCAAAGAAACCAUCUUUAAUUCAUGCUAACAGUUUAGAAAUCAUGAUUUUUAAGAAAGGGGUUUUGAAUGUACUAUUACUAGCAUGUUUUAGAAGCCUUGAUCAAUAUUAUUUUAGUCUUUAGGCCUUCCCCCAGAUCAAUUUGAAACUUUAUAUAUAUGUAAGCAUGUGUUUAAGGAUGAAUAUACAAUUGAGAGCAUGAAUCCUAAAGAAUCCUUCUCUUAUUAUGAUUUUUCUUUACUUUUCAUAUGCUAUGGACUGUUUUGAAUGCAUCUUGAAAAGCAUGAUAUGAAAUGUCAUGAUUAAUGCUAUGAUUGAAUUACGGUUUUAAUUUCAGAAAAAAAGGGAUGUUUAUGUUGACCAAUGUUGAAUAUUAAUAUAUAAUGAGAAGAGUUUGAUGGUUUGUCAAAGAUUACAUGACCACCACAUAUUUAUUGAAAGAAUGAGAAUUUUUGCAUAGUUUUUGGAACAUGAAAUCUCUUAUACUAUCUGUAUGUUUGGGUGGUCUAAAUUGAGUUUUUGAUGAAAGAAUCUUGCAUGAUGCAUUAUGGCUCAGAAAUAGGACGUGCAAGUCUUGGUGUGACGACACCAACUCAGCUAAUGCCAUGUUAAUUUAUAACAAAAUAGAAUGCAUGUUUGAAAUUAGAUUUUCAGAUUUUGAAACUAGAAUGAUGCAUGUUUCAGAACAGACUAAAAUUGAGCAUAAAGAGAGCUUAGGUAGUUCCCCGAAGAAGACACGAGUUCAGACAACUCAUUGCCUAAAAUCGUAAUUUGCCAAUCCGGGUAUAUUAUUAUACGGUGGCCUAGUGCCUUGUGGCAUUUUAGACUCAGACACUUCAACCCUUGCUACACACUUGGGUUGGGGGCUUCCCCGCCGAGUCAAUGGUGGAUUCCAUAUAGUCCGGGGAAUAUAAGACUUGUAGGGGAGUGCCACCUAACUCAGAAGUAAUACAAAGAUCAGAAAUUGCAUUGACAGAAAGGUUUUAUAAUUAUAAAAAAUUCCCAUGUGUUUUGGAAUUUAUAUCCUAUAUGAUGUUUUAUGAUUAGCUCUCAACUAUUUUAUUUAUAUGAAAAGCUUUAUUUUGGAUUGCUCUACGUACUAGUACAUUUGUAUUGACCCCCCUUCCUCCUAAGUUUUAAAACUCAGUUUAGAGGUCCUGCUAGGCCGUAGAGUUUUCAGACAGUAGUGAUAUGUGCAGUUGGUGAGCCUUCUUUAUUCCAGAAGGCCUAUGUCUUUCAGAUUAUGUUAUUUAUUUUGGUUUAGGUCCACUGGGGGCCUUGUCCUAGUUUCAGACAGUUGUUAUUUUUAGAUGUAAUAGAGAUUUUGCAGACUGGUUUAGAUGUUGUUUUAUUGAUAUUUGGGUUUUAUCCUUCAUUGUUAAAUUAAAUUUAGAGUAUGACCAUGUUUCCGUAUUCGAUUAUAUUUCCACAUUUUAUUUUAUUAUAUGAAUAUUGUGCAUGAUUACAGAUAGAGAAGGACGUUCUAGGCCUUCAUGAUUCGGGAUGUCCAUCACGGCCAGGCCCCAGUUCGGGUCGUGACAGUUUAUGGCCAAAAGAAAGAUUUCCAGAAUUGGGAAAUCAUUGGGAAAGGGUAAAUGCCAUAGUUCUACCUUGGCAUAUAAUUCUGUGUCAAAGGGGCUGUUAGGAAUUAUAAUGUAUACUUCAAAUGCUCAAUCCGUAUGGAAAGAAUUUAAUGAAAGGUUUCACAAGGUUGAUAGGGCAAGAAAUUUUAACGUUCAUAAAGAAAUAGCCACCUUGAGUCAAGGAACUACUUCCGUGACUCUGUAUUAUUCAAGGUUGAAGGAUCUUUAGGGAGAAUUUGAUUCUCUAGUUCCUGCUCCUGCCUGUAAUUGUGAAAAGUUAAAAGAUUAUGUGAAACACAUACAGAAGUUGAAAUUGUUCCAGUUUUUGAUGGGGCUAAACGAUUCCUAUAUUCAGGAUAGAAGUGAAAUUUUGUUAAUGAACCCUAUGCCAUUAGUUAACCAGGCUUACUCUAUGAUCAUUAGUGAUGAGAGUCAAAAAACCAUGGCUGUUAGUGCUGGGAUAUUAGGUUCUGAUCCUGCUGUAAUUCAAGGGUCUUAUGAUGUUGUCAUGUACUCAAGAACUGGAACUAGUGUUAAUCACCACACCAAAGGAAUUAUAAUCUAGUGUAUGAUUUCUGCAAAAUGAAAGGGCAUACCAAGGAUGUUUGCUACAAACUGGUUGGGUAUCCUCAAGAUUCAAGAAAUAAAAGGAAGAAGUCAUCUAAUACAACCUAUAGUGUUCAAACAAAGGAGCCUGAACUUGAAAUUCUGAAGAGACAAAAUUGGUCUAGUGGUAGUCAGGCGGUAGAACAAGGUGGUACACUCACACAAGGCUCUCAACUGACUCAGAAUCAGCUACACCAACUGGACAACUGCACUAUUUCUAAAGAUCAAUAUCAACAAUUCCUCCAGUUCCUGAAUCACAUAAACAAAUCAAAAGACAUCUCAUGUUUGCACUGCAUCAACUGCAUGUAAUACCACCAAGAAGUGGAUAGUGGACACAGGAGCCACUAACAACAUGGUGUAUGAGUUGAUCAUGCUUGGUGCAUAGUCAAUCUUAAAAUCUAAUAAUCCAAGAAAGAUGUUUCUUCCAAAUAGAGAUAUAUACUUAGUAACACAUACAGGAGCAAGCACUUUAACUAAAUAACACACCAUCACUAAUGUUUUGAAUUUACCUCAGUUUAACUGUAACCUACUAUUUGUUGCCAAAUUAACCAAUGAACUCCAAUGCUCUACUUUCUUUUUUCCCUAACUUCUUUGUGUUUCAGGAGCUCUACAGUGGAAAGGUGAAGAUGAUUUCUAGAAAAGAAGAUGGCCUUUACUUUCUAACAAACAACUCUGCUAUAGAUGACAAAGACUUACAUACUGUAUCUAAUUAGUUGCUAAGUUUUCUGGUUUUGUUACUACUGAUUUAGAUAUAGAUACUUGGCAUAAAAGGCUUGGCCAUGUCUCAUCUACUGUUUUGAAGAAAAUUCUAGUUGUAAAGACUAAUGAUGUUGCCAACAUACUGAAUAAAUGCCAAAUUUCUCCCUGUGCUAAACAAAUUAGACUCCCAUUUCCUACUAGUAUUAAGAGCAUGUCUGUAUUUGAUCCCAUCCACGUGGAUUUGUGGGGACCUUACAAAGAACCUACAUUUGAUGGAAAUGGAUUUUUCUUAACCAUUGUUGAUGAUUUUUCAAGAAUGACAUGGACUUCUCUGCUUAAAGUCAAAUCUGAUGUAUGUGAAAUCCUCAAACAAUUUCUUGUGUAUGUUCACACCCAGUUUAACAAAAUGGUGAAAGCAAUCAAGACUGAUAAAUGGGACUGAAUUUGUAAAUUCUAUUUGCACCAACUUAUUCUCUUCUUUGGGAAUCAUACACCAGAGAACAUGUGUUUACACCCCUCAGAAAAAUGGUGUUGCUGUUGCUGAGAGGAAACUGUAACACCCCGUAAAAGUCGUGCAUGGAUUAGCCUUUAAUAGAGUGCCCUUAGACUUAAAAACUUGAAAAUUUUUCUAAGUGUAAUGAGGACUUAGAGUCAUUUUAGCUGGCAAUCUUCGGGAUACAACUUUUCAACCUUCCCGACAUCCGUUUUUAGAUUUUCAAGUUGCGUUACGAUUGGGAAAGCUCAUAGUACAUCUCGGAUAAGUUUUGGAAUUUUUCGGAAUGCAUAAGGCUGCGUUUGGAUAUCAAAACAGUAGCAAAACGCAUAGCCUAUUGCCAGUUUUCAGCAUUUCAGGGUCAACUUCAAACGAUCAUAAAUCCCUGUAUAUAAUAAAAUGUGUGAGCUAUAAUAUAUCAAACAAAAGCUCUUUGAGUCCUAUUUCAAAUGCAGUUGGUUUCAUCCAAUUUAAGUAUAUGAGUAAAAUGUUAUAAUCGAUUUACUCCAGCCUAUCAAACUGUCAACUGAGGGACAGAUUUGACCUUAAUUGUUCCUUAGGGGUAUUUUGGUCAUCCUCCACCAUUAUAUAUACCACCAACACGGGAUUUAAUCCCUCAAACACCAAAAUANNNNNNNNNNNNNNNNNNNNNNNNNNNNNNNNNNNNNNNNNNNNNNNNNNNNNNNNNNNNNNNNNNNNNNNNNNNNNNNNNNNNNNNNNNNNNNNNNNNNNNNNNNNNNNNNNNNNNNNNNNNNNNNNNNNNNNNNNNNNNNNNNNNNNNNNNNNNNNNNNNNNNNNNNNNNNNNNNNNNNNNNNNNNNNNNNNNNNNNNNNNNNNNNNNNNNNNNNNNNNNNNNNNNNNNNNNNNNNNNNNNNNNNNNNNNNNNNNNNNNNNNNNNNNNNNNNNNNNNNNNNNNNNNNNNNNNNNNNNNNNNNNNNNNNNNNNNNNNNNNNAGAGCAUGAUUUACAUGGAACCCCUCUCUUGAUAUGAUUUUGUAUUAAAUCCUCAUAUGAUGUGAAAUGUUUGAAAUCAUUUUGAAAUGCAUGUCAUGAAAUGUCUUAAAAAAAGUCAUGAUUUGGAUAUGGUUUUUGACUUUCAAAGAGAGGUUUGUUUUGUUCAUGUUGAAAUAUGUUGGAUAUGAUGAUUGAAUAAAGAGAAUCAUAUGAUACUGAUGACUUGCAAGAUAACUUGCAAGUCGGGUAUGACAAUACCCUACAGAGUAUGACAUGUGAUUGAUUUGAACAAAGUUUGAAUGCAUUGAUUUUCAUGAGAAAGGUGGAUGACCGAAGAAAGCGUUUGAGUGAAGGGGCUUAUCGCUGGAAACCGUAGUUGCCGAUGCGGAUCAUAUGAUAUUGUAUCCUACAUGGGAGGAUAAUAAAAUAAUUGGGACAUCCCACAUGGGGGAAUUCCCUAUGGUGUACUCAUAUGAGGGGUAUACCGGCUCCAAAUAUUGGAAGCUACUUGGAUUGGAGGCUUGGCCGCCGAGCACCAGAGGCGGAUUCCACAUAGUCGUGGAAUUACAAUUGUAAGGUAUUCCACCUAGCUCAAUCUCAUUACAUUGGUAUUGAAAACUAUUACAUUAUGCCUAUGUGUUUUUUUCAAAUAAUUUGAUAUGAAACUGCUUUAUAAUGGGUCUCACCUAUAUUGUGUAAAAAUAUUAUAUUUCUGUUUUGAUUUCUCUGCGUACCAGCACUUUUGUAUUGACCCCCUUCCCUCCCAGGUUCGGAGGCACAGUCUAGGGGUCCAGAUAACCUGUAAAUUUCUUCCGACAUAUCACAGAAUUAAGUGGUGAGCCUUCUAUAUUUCGAAAGGACGGAUGUCUGCUAUUUCAUUUAUCAUUUAGUAGUUUUGGAUCUACUGGGGCCUUGUCCCAGUUUUCAGAUAGUUAUCAUUUCAUUCAUGUAGUAGAGAUUUCGCAGAUGGUUUUAGAAAUGUUAAUUUGAGAGUGUGGGACAUUAUUUCCCCAUUAUUGUACGCAUAUGAUUCUUGACCAUGUUUUCGUUAUAUUGUGUAUCUUUCGCAUUUCUUUUAUCAUAUGAAUUGUGUGCAUGAUUACCAGACAGAUAGGGGUGUUUUGGGCCUUAGGGUUCGGAAUACUCAUCACGGCCAGGGCCCCAAUUUGGGUCUUGACAAACUUGGUAUUAGAGCAUGGUUCAUGGUCCCAGGGUGUCUGCAAAAUUGCGUCGGGUAGAGUCUUGUUUAUGAGUGUUUAGCGCACCACACUUAUAAGCAGAAGGCUACAAGGCGUUUAGGAAUGUCUCUCUUUCUUCAUGUUCUAAUUCGUGCAACAGAGUCAGAAUGUUCCUCCUACAUACUCUAAUUCAUGCUAUGGUGACGUCUAUACAAAAGUAAAAUCAUCCCAAAUUCUUUCCUUACUCUGAUGUUCUCAGACCCAUCACAUUACUGGGGUGAUUCAAGUGCAGAAGUUUAGAGUCUAAAUGGUAUUGUCCCUUUGAAUCGCAUUAUAUAAGAUCUUAAAAUUGUGCAAGGACUUGAGAAGAGUCUAUUAUUGCUUCAGAGAGUGUAUUGGUUUUGGUGUGAACCUUGAUAUUGAUGAAAUCGUGCCUUACAACCUACGAUAUUAAUUGUAUUCAGUCCUUUUCAAAAAUUUAUGUAGUAGAUGUCAUGCUUAAGAGGGAGUGAUGUGUAGCAGAAUUGUUGGAACUGUAUUUCCACCUGAAUAAUAGUAUGAGUUAAAGUGUCAGGGUCAUGACCUAUUGGUAGGGAGAUUAGACUAAGAAGUUGGUGAUGUGAAGUCACAAAGUUAGAAGUCAGAGUGAGGAUGAUUUACCCCUUUAUAGUGAUGAACUAAUGUGGUAGCUAGCAGCAUGUGUGGAUGGUAUGGUAGUCCAUGGAGGAAGUGUUUGACUCCAAUUUUUUUUCUACAGAGUAAGAUGUGUAUUCUUAGUUCAUUGAAUAUUGCGUAUUAAAUCUCUAUCUCAUGAAAUCUUGUCAUCAAAGUGUUGUUGAAAAAUAAAGUCUAGUGAAGCCGUGUGGGGCUCUUUCGAUUCACUAGCAUAGUUGACUUGUCAUUCAUCUCAUUUUCUUGUUCAAAAUACAAAAAUCAAAGUCUAGUGAAGCCGUGUGAGGCCUAUUUCGAUUCACUAGCAACUUGUUGUCCAACUUGUUGUUCUUGUGUUGGUUUAGUAUAUGUAUAGCUGAAUCUAUUUUCAAGAGAUUGAGUUGGUAAAGAGGUGAUUCGUCCUUGUGUGUUAUUAGUAGAAGGUAGAGAAGGAGUUGAUAGUCAGGGUGAUUUGUCGGUGGCUUGAUAUGUGAAAAUGGUUGUAUUAGCCAUUAAGUCAUAAUUAUAGACUCACGGUUGUAGUGGAAAUUGAAGGUAGUCUAAAUGUAUGAUUGAGUGAGUUAGUAUGAGGUGAGAAAUCCGUAUAAGUAGAAAAAAUUGUAUGGGGUUAUAAUAUAAGAUUAAGGUUGAUCAUGUCUAUCAUGUAACUUUACCCCCUUGACCUUUUUUUCGUUGGUAGUUGUAAACUAGUACAACUUGUGAGAAGGUAUGUAGUGGGUUUUGAGGUGUUUAAAUAGAAUGUAUCAAUUUUCUGGACUAGCAUAUUAUUUUGCACUCGUCAUUGGUGGUAGAUGAUUGAUGCUAAACUAUAGGUUUGAAUUUAAGUGUAGAAUGUGGUGGUGAAAAUGUUGGCAUGAGAUUAAUGAUGUAUAUUUUGUGAGAUUAAAUUAGUAGGCUUGAUGUGUUGAAAUAGUACGUGCUAAUGAGUUAUGAUAAGGAAGACCGUAAGGUCAUGAUCGAUUGUUGUGGUUGUGAAGUUCUAGCAUACUAGUGUUUCUUGAUGUUUAUUUUGUAGUGUCCAAGUGAGAAUUAUGUGUAAGGUUAGAUUGUAAGUCAUGUUUAGAACUAGACAUUAAGUUUGCACAGUUGAUGGCUAUUAAGGUAGUUGUGAUGAUUGAUUGGGUAAUGAUACCGGUUUUAUGGAAGUGAUCUAAUAGGCUUGAAUGGUGUACGCAAGAGAUUAGGUUUAUUUAAUUCUUAGUGAUGUAUGAUAUUGUAUGUAUGAUGUAGAAGUAUGCCUAAGGUGACAUGAGGUUGCGGCAUUCUUUCUAAGGCUAUUACUUAUUGUGCGUGGCUAGUGGUACCAUUGAAUUGUUAAGUGGAUAAAUACUAGUUAGAUGGUAUAUGGUGAUCUAAAUAGCCAUGUUAAGGUGGUUUUAUGGAGAGUGUUGGGCCUUUUGCGAUGAUCUUGAUUCUCAUAGUAGAGGGAUAUAAAUUUGGAGUCGCAAUAGUGGUAGGCUCUGUCGAAAGAGAUAUGGUUCAUCAAAGGCUUGGUGAUAUCCAUAUUAAGUGUUAGCAUCUAAGCUUGACUUUUGAAGGUUGAACCGAUAGAAUAAGUGUGCAAGCAUUAUACUAUGACUAUUGGNNNNNNNNNNNNNNNNNNNNNNNNNNNNNNNNNNNNNNNNNNNNNNNNNNNNNNNNNNNNNNNNNNNNNNNNNNNNNNNNNNNNNNNNNNNNNNNNNNNNNNNNNNNNNNNNNNNNNNNNNNNNNNNNNNNNNNNNNNNNNNNNNNNNNNNNNNNNNNNNNNNNNNNNNNNNNNNNNNNNNNNNNNNNNNNNNNNNNNNNNNNNNNNNNNNNNNNNNNNNNNNNNNNNNNNNNNNNNNNNNNNNNNNNNNNNNNNNNNNNNNNNNNNNNNNNNNNNNNNNNNNNNNNNNNNNNNNNNNNNNNNNNNNNNNNNNNNNNNNNNNNNNNNNNNNNNNNNNNNNNNNNNNNNNNNNNNNNNNNNNNNNNNNNNNNNNNNNNNNNNNNNNNNNNNNNNNNNNNNNNNNNNNNNNNNNNNNNNNNNNNNNNNNNNNNNNNNNNNNNNNNNNNNNNNNNNNNNNNNNNNNNNNNNNNNNNNNNNNNNNNNNNNNNNNNNNNNNNNNNNNNNNNNNNNNNNNNNNNNNNNNNNNNNNNNNNNNNNNNNNNNNNNNNNNNNNNNNNNNNNNNNNNNNNNNNNNNNNNNNNNNNNNNNNNNNNNNNNNNNNNNNNNNNNNNNNNNNNNNNNNNNNNNNNNNNNNNNNNNNNNNNNNNNNNNNNNNNNNNNNNNNNNNNNNNNNNNNNNNNNNNNNNNNNNNNNNNNNNNNNNNNNNNNNNNNNNNNNNNNNNNNNNNNNNNNNNNNNNNNNNNNNNNNNNNNNNNNNNNNNNNNNNNNNNNNNNNNNNNNNNNNNNNNNNNNNNNNNNNNNNNNNNNNNNNNNNNNNNNNNNNNNNNNNNNNNNNNNNNNNNNNNNNNNNNNNNNNNNNNNNNNNNNNNNNNNNNNNNNNNNNNNNNNNNNNNNNNNNNNNNNNNNNNNNNNNNNNNNNNNNNNNNNNNNNNNNNNNNNNNNNNNNNNNNNNNNNNNNNNNNNNNNNNNNNNNNNNNNNNNNNNNNNNNNNNNNNNNNNNNNNNNNNNNNNNNNNNNNNNNNNNNNNNNNNNNNNNNNNNNNNNNNNNNNNNNNNNNNNNNNNNNNNNNNNNNNNNNNNNNNNNNNNNNNNNNNNNNNNNNNNNNNNNNNNNNNNNNNNNNNNNNNNNNNNNNNNNNNNNNNNNNNNNNNNNNNNNNNNNNNNNNNNNNNNNNNNNNNNNNNNNNNNNNNNNNNNNNNNNNNNNNNNNNNNNNNNNNNNNNNNNNNNNNNNNNNNNNNNNNNNNNNNNNNNNNNNNNNNNNNNNNNNNNNNNNNNNNNNNNNNNNNNNNNNNNNNNNNNNNNNNNNNNNNNNNNNNNNNNNNNNNNNNNNNNNNNNNNNNNNNNNNNNNNNNNNNNNNNNNNNNNNNNNNNNNNNNNNNNNNNNNNNNNNNNNNNNNNNNNNNNNNNNNNNNNNNNNNNNNNNNNNNNNNNNNNNNNNNNNNNNNNNNNNNNNNNNNNNNNNNNNNNNNNNNNNNNNNNNNNNNNNNNNNNNNNNNNNNNNNNNNNNNNNNNNNNNNNNNNNNNNNNNNNNNNNNNNNNNAGAAGUGUGCUAAGCUUGAAAGUAAGAAGUUGUAUUUCCAAAGGUCUGGUAAUUCUAUCCUAAUUUAGGAGUUAUAGGUCUAUAUUCCAGACUACAGAGUGGUGUCAUUGUGAUGAUUCCUUAGUGGGUGUCUUAUGUAAUCCAUACCCAAGAUUUUUGGCUCCCUAUUACUGCUAGAACUUCCUUAGAGAGAGUGUUGAAGAGAAUACUCCAGUUAAGUAUGAAGGUCCAGCAUAAUUCAGUCUGUAUAGUUAGUAAGUCAGUUUAACAAGCAGAUUCGCAUGGCUUGUUUUCUCGUCUUUUCAUUUAUUCAUGCUACCCGAAAUCUCAGACAUGCUACUAUUCCAAGAUAGAGUAUACUAGUAAUUGCAAGUAUAGAUCAGUUUAUGCGUCAUACAUUAGAUUCAGAUUCCAAAGGUUUAGUUAUGAUUCAAUUCGUAGGUGCCCUGUGCAUCGCCUCAGUUCCCCGAGUAUCUUAGUGAAUUGAGCAUUCAUAGAGGAACAUAAGAUCCCAAGGGAGAGAUACCUCAUUCAGUUGCAUGCAUAGAUUAGAUUCUUAUUACAAGCCUCGCACCAGCUAUCAUUGCGUAUUCAGUCAUACAUUCAUACGUCAGUUCAGUCAGAUAUGCAUGCAUUAGAAAUGCUUCUUCAAUAGAAAAAGUUCAACUUAUCAGUGUAUUUAGUCCUGUGUUCAUGAGAACAACUCAGUCACAGAUCCAUGCAUUAAAUAUGCAUGUUCAUUAUGAGAAUUCAGCUUAUGAAUAGGUUCAGUCAUGUAUUCCAUGCAUCAGAUAUGCAUGUCCGGUAUAAGAAUUUAGAACAUCAGUAGUUCCAGCCUUAUAGUCAUGUUUCAGAUCAGUGUAUUCUUUCUUAGAGAAACAUAUCAUGUCCGCAUUAUUCCAUAUCUUUAAGGCUUCAAAAGGUUCCUACCCAUCAUUCGGGGACGAAUGAUCCUAAGGGGGAGAUAAUGUAACACCCCGUAAAAGUCGUGCAUGGAUUAGCCUUUAAUAGAGUGCCCUUAGACUUAAAAACUUGAAAAUUUUUCUAAGUGUAAUGAGGACUUAGAGUCAUUUUAGCUGGCAAUCUUCGGGAUAUAAAUUUUCAACCUUCCCGACAUCCGUUUUUAGAUUUUCAAGUUGCGUUACGAUCGGGCAAGCUCAUUGUACAUCUCGGAUAAGUUUCGAAAUUUUUCGAAACACAUAAGGCUGCAUUUGGAUUUCAAAACAGUAGCAAAACGCAUAGCCUAUUGCCAGUUUUCAGCAUUUCAGGGUCAACUUCAAACGAUCAUAAAUCCCUGUAUAUAAUAAACUGUGUGAUGUAUAAUAUAUCAAACGAAAGAUCUUUGAGUCCUAUUUCAAAUGCAGUUGGUUUCAUCCAAUUUGAGUAUAUGAGUAAAAUGUUGUAAUCUAUUUACUCCAGCCUAUCAAACUGUCAACUGAGGGACAGAUUUGACCUUAAUUGUUCCUUAGGUGUAUUUUGGUCAUCCUCCACCCCUAUAUAUACCACCAACACGGGAUUUAAUCCCUCAAACACCAAAAUACACCUUCAUUCAUCAAAAUUGCUCAAGAACACUCCUUAGGAUUUCAAAAUAAAAAUCCAAAUAGUUCAAGAUUCGACCGUAGGUUUUCGAAGAUAAUUACAUAUUNNNNNNNNNNNNNNNNNNNNNNNNNNNNNNNNNNNNNNNNNNNNNNNNNNNNNNNNNNNNNNNNNNNNNNNNNNNNNNNNNNNNNNNNNNNNNNNNNNNNNNNNNNNNNNNNNNNNNNNNNNNNNUAUUGUUUUAAGUUUUCACAUGAUAUGAAAUGUUUGAAAUCAUCUUGAAAUGCAUGUCAUGAAAUGUCUUAAAAAAAGUCAUGAUUUGGAUAUGGUUUUUGACUUUCAAAGAGAGGGUUGUUUUGUUCAUGUUGAAAUAUGUUGCAUAUGAUGAUUGAAUGAAGAGAAUCAUAUGAUACUGAUGACUUGCAAGAUGACUUGCAAGUCGGGUAUGACUAUACCCUACAGAGUAUGACAUGUGAUUGAUUUGAACAAAGUUUGAAUGCAUUGAUUUUCAUGAGAAAGGUGGAUGCCCGAAGAAGGCGUUUGAGUGAAAGGGCUCAUCGCUGGAAACCGUAGUUGCCGAUGGGGAUCAUAUGAUAUUGUAUCCUACAUGGGAGGAUAAUAAAAUAAUUGGGACAUCUCACAUGGGGGGAUUCCCUGCGGUGUACUCACAUGGGGGGUAUACCGGCUCCAAAUCCUGGCGGCUACUUGGAUUGGAGGCUUGGCCGCCGAGCACCAGAGGCUGAUUCCACAUAGCCGUGGAAUUACAAUUUUAGGGUGUUCCACCUAGCUCAAUCGCAUUACAUUGGUAUUGAAAACUAUUACAUUAUGCCCAUGUGUUUUUUUUCAAAUGAUUUGAUAUGAAACUGCUUUAUAAUGGGUCUCACCUAUAUUGUGUAAAAAUAUUAUAUUUCUAUUUUCAUUUCUCUGCGUACCAGUACUUUUGUAUUGACCCCCUUCCCUCCCAGGUUCGGAGGCACAGUUUAGGAGUCCAGAUAACCAGUAGAUUUCUUUCGAUAGAUCACAGAAUUAAGUGGUGAGCCUUCUAUAUUUCGGAAGGUAACCAGUAGAUUUCUUUCGACAGAUCGCAGAAGUAAGUGGUGAGCCUUCUAUAUUUCGGAAGGGCUGAUGUCUGCUAUUUCAUUUAUCAUUUAGUAGUUUUGGGUCUAUUGGGGCCUUGUCCCAGUUUUCAGAUAGUUAUCAUUUUAGUCAUGUAGUAGAGAUUUUGCAGACGGUUUUAGAGAUGUUGAUUUGAGAGUGUGGGACAUUAUUUCCCCAUUAUUAUACGCAUAUGAUUAUUGACCAUGUUUACGUUAUAUUGUGUAUCUUUCGCAUUUCUUUUAUCAUAAGAAUUGUGUGCAUGAUUACCAGACAGAUAGGGGUGUUUUGGGCCUUAGGGUUCGGAAUACUCGUCACGUCCAGGGCCCCGGUUCGGGUCGUGAAAGAAAUACAAACACAUUCUUGAACUAACUAGAGCUAUAAGGUUUCAAGCAUAUAUUCCUAUACAGUUUUGGGGUUGUUGUGUACAAGCUGCAACCUAUAUUAUAAACAAGUUACCUAGUUCUGUUAUCAACAAUAAAACUCCUUUUGAAAGAUUAUAUGAUACAAAACCUUCUAUAAGUUAUCUCAGGGUUAUAGGAUGUAUUUGCUAUGCUAAAAUAGUUCAAGAACUAUAUAAGCUUAAGUUUAGAGCAAGGCCUGCUGUACUUAUGGGAUACUAAGAAGUACAAAAGGGCUACAUUCUUUAUGAUAUUAAAACUAACUCUUUCUUUAUCAACAGAGAUGUUAUUUUCAAGGAAGAUGUGUUUCCAUUCACACUAGUGAAACAAGAUGCUGAUCCAAGCAUAUUUCAACAAGUUGAAUUGAGCUAUUAGGAAUUGGAAGCCGGUGAAGGAUUAAAUCCACCUCUAUCAUCUACAAUUCCUCCACCACAUCCACCAGAAGUUGAUCAUCAAAGAAAUGGUCAUUCAAUACCUCACACUGACUAUAUGGAUAAUAUUCAGGAGUACAGAAGAUUAGAAAGGGAAAGGAGGCCACCCUUGUGGAUGAAAGAUUUUGUGUCACUAAGUGCUCAAGAUGGACCCUAUGCUAUGGCCAACUACAUAGCAUAUGAUCAGUUAUUUGCUUUCCAUGAGACAUAUUUAGCUAAUAUGUUCUGAAGCCAUGCAUUCAGAAAUCUCUGCACUUGAAGGAAAUCAGACCUAGGAAAUUGUUAAACUACCUGAAGGGAAAUAAAGCCUAUAGGAUGUAAGUGGAUUUAUAAGAUUAAAUAUAAGUCAACAGGUGAAAUUGAAAGACUAAAGGCUAUACUUGUAGCUAAGGGGUAUAGUCAAAAGGAAGGGAUUGACUAUCAAGAGACUUUUUCCCCAGUUGUUAAGAUGAAAACUAUUAGGACAAUCUUAACCAUUGCUGCUCAAAAUCAGUGGCAUAUACAUCAGAUGGAUGUAUUUAAUGCCUUCCUUCAGGGUGAUUUGUUUGAUGAGAUUUAUAUGGAAAUGCCUCAAGGAUUUCAAAGACAAGGGGAGAAGACAGUGUGUAGACUUAGAAAAUCCCUCUAUGGUCUCAAACAAGCUCCAAGACAAUAGAAUACUAAGUUGUCUGAAGCCUUGAUCAAUCUUCAGUUCAAACAAAGUGAGUUGGAUCACUCUUUAUUCAUCAAGAAAUAAAAAGUUGGGGUUGUGACAGUUCUUAUCUAUGUGGAUGAUAUGCUCAUAAUUUGAGACAGUAUCAAUGUCAUAGAAGAGAUUAAAGCAGAUUUAAAGAAGGUGUUCAGAUGAAGGAUCUAGGAGAUUUAAAAUACUUCCUAGGAAUUGAAUUUGCUAGAUCUAAACAUGGAAUCUUAAUGCACCAAAGGAAAUAUUCCUUGGAACUCAUUGCAGAAACAGGACUAAGUGGUGCAAAACCUUCAGCAACAUAUGUAGAUACAAACACAAAGCAGACAAUCAAAGAGUUUGGUGACUAUAUCAAAAGCACUGAAUCUUCUGUAGUAAAUGAUUCUUUAGCUGACCAAGGAAAGUAUCAAAGGUUAAUAGGUAAACUUCUAUAUUUUACCACGACAAGACCUGAUAUAUCUUUUGCAGUACAAACUCUAAGUCAGUACUUGCAACAGCCAAAACAUUAUCACAUGGAAGCUGCUAUGAGAGUUGUGAGGUACAUCAAGAAUAAUCCAGGUCAAGGUGUACUUUUAUCCGGUAAGAGCAACACUGAUAUCACAACAUACUAUGAUGCUGACUGGGCAGCAUGUCCUCACCCUAGAAAGUCAGUUUCAGGGUACUUUGUGAAACUAGGUGACUCACUGGUGUCAUGGAAAUCAAAGAAACAAAACACAGUGUCUAGAAGCUCUGCAGAAUCUGAAUACAGGAGCAUGGCUACAACAGUUACUGAAUUAGUUUGGAUCUUGGGAUAGAUGAAAGAGAUUGGUAUUGAGGUAAAGUAACCUGUUCAAAUAUUCACAGACAGUAAAGCAGUAAUGCAAAUAGUAGCCAAUCCAGUUUACCAUGAAUGAACCAAAUACAUUGAAGUAGAUUGCCAUUACAUUCGGGAGAAGAUCAAUCAAGGAAUGGUGACAACCAGAUAUGUUUCAACAAGGGAUAAUCCAGUUGACUUACUAACCAAAGGACUUACAAAAGUUCAACACCACUAUCUUAGCUCUAAGCUUGGACUGCAGGACAUCUUCACUACUCCUAGCUUGAGGGAGAGUGUUGAGAGUAAGCAACAAGCAAGGGUAGUUUAGUAAAUGUCUAAAUUAUUUAGUCACUGUAUUAGCAGUUAGUUAAGGGGUUGAUCAAGAUUAGUUAAGGUAGUUAGAAGUAGUUAAUCAUUGAACUAGUGUAUAAAUACCUACCAAGUGUACAGUUCAAUCAAGAUAAUCAAUACAAUCUACAUGCUUUCUCUUAAUUCUCUUCUUCACUAUUUCCUACUAUACUUUCUUCAUCAGUUAUCCCUAUAGGGAGUACAUAAUCUGCAGAUUACACAAAUUACAACAAUAUAUCUGCGCUACUCUAACCACUUGAAUAACUCCGAGCGAUAGAUUCUUCAUCUCUAUCCGAACCUUCCUGCAUUUUUGUGAUGCAAUCCCUCUAAGGUGAUAGUUUCCAUGAUGUGUAUCUGAGUAAAAGUUGCUUCAUUUCUAAUUGAGUAGCAUCUAGAUAAAGACUUCUCUUAGUUAAGCUCACAAAUCCGUUAUUUAAUGGACUUAAAGGUGCCACCUGCAGAAAAGAAGCCACGGUUAGAAGCUAAAAUUUGAAAAGAAUUAACUAGGAUGAUUUAACCUAGAACCUCCAUUACCCCAGACAGAUUCAAUACUUCUAAUUGUGAGAAUCAACAAUUGAUACCUUGAGGAUUCUUGAUAAAGGAACAGGAGAAGCGCGCUCAUCAGUUAAGGAGGCCGAUAGCCAUUUUGGGCCUCGAUAUUCAAAUUGCAAUGUAUCAAUGAAGGAGGUGAUAAACUUUUUCUUAGAAACAGGAGGAAAAUAGCCACCAAUUUGGCCUAAAAGUUUGAGAUGGCAUAUCCUUAAGAACAACAUUUACUGUUGCAAUGAGGUCAGCAGCACCUAUUUGAACAGCUCGUUCAUAAGAAACAGCAGCCCCUCAACUCCAAAUGCUUAUCGGUGCCUGAUUCUUGGUGACGUAAAUUCCACCACCCUGCAUCACAAUUCAAACUCUUUGCACUACGACUAUCCUACUUAUUAUUGCAUUGGACUUGUAACAGAGAAUCAGCAAUCCCAUGUGGAGCAACCAGUAAACUAAAACUGGUAUCGGAAAUCACUAUUGCUUGACGUAAAACAGAUAGUGGAUUCCUCUUGGAGGAUUUAGGAAGAUGGCAGACUGAUAUAUCCUCGCUGAUCUAGCCACACUUGUCCGAACCUUCCCGCAUUAGAUUUUUAAUUAUUUCCUCAUGUAGAGCUAACUGCAACAGCAACCAAAAUAGCUUUUUCCUUUGAUAAUUGCAAAGUAAAUGCACAUUGUCAAAUUUGUACUUCAGAAGCACUACGGAAUUGACCAUAUAUAACAUUUCUCUCACUAUCUAUAAAUUCAACAUCAAGACUCGUCCACAUUAUGAUACUGAAGAUAAAUUUAGCAAAGGAAAUAGGAGAUAGAAACAAAAGAUUAAGAAGAUGUUUUAUUGAUGAAAGUUACUAAGCAAGAGCAUAGUAUGUGAUACCUCCAUUUUUACUCAAUUCGUCGUACUUCCGUUUUCCUCUACUUGAUGGGUUCCGCUUCUGUUUUCAUGAUUACUACUGGAUUUUCUCUUGCUGUGUUGGCUGGCAUUUUCGAUUCAGUUAUCUGACAGAUUUGGAAAUGACCGAUGAGUUGUUUGUUUCCUUCUUCUCUUGGUCUCCUUCAUUCUCUUUUCGUCUUUCCAUGAUCGUUCCAAAGUAACUUAUCCUUCCCUUCCUUUCAAUGUUUGCAUAUAACUUUAUCAGGUGGAAGAAGUAAGAAUACAAGAAACUGAAGAAAGAACUAAUUACGUUUAGCGUUCAUCAAACACAGUGCAAAAGUAUAGAGAAGAACCUGUUCUGGUGGUGCUUAAAAGCUACUUGAAUAACGGGAUAGUAUUCUGGCCCAGGACCUGAAGCUCUUCCCCUCCCAUAUCUUCAACAUAAUGUUUAAUAUUCUUAGCAGAAUCUUCAAGUUGAGGGCUCUCUACAAGUUUGAUGAUUUUCAACGAACAAAUAUCCCCGAAACUAGGUGGAAUCUCCAUAAGCAUAAGACAUUUCCACAGUAUCGGAAAUCACUAUUGCUUGACGUAAAACAGAUAGUGGAUUCCUCUUGGAGGAUUUAGGAAGAUGGCAGACUGAUAUAUCCUCGCUGAUCUAGCCACACUUGUCCGAACCUUCCCGCAUUAGAUUUUUAAUUAUUUCCUCAUGUAGAGCUAACUGCAACAGCAACCAAAAUAGCUUUUUCCUUUGAUAAUUGCAAAGUAAAUGCACAUUGUCAAAUUUGUACUUCAGAAGCACUACGGAAUUGACCAUAUAUAACAUUUCUCUCACUAUCUAUAAAUUCAACAUCAAGACUCGUCCACAUUAUGAUACUGAAGAUAAAUUUAGCAAAGGAAAUAGGAGAUAGAAACAAAAGAUUAAGAAGAUGUUUUAUUGAUGAAAGUUACUAAGCAAGAGCAUAGUAUGUGAUACCUCCAUUUUUACUCAAUUCGUCGUACUUCCGUUUUCCUCUACUUGAUGGGUUCCGCUUCUGUUUUCAUGAUUACUACUGGAUUUUCUCUUGCUGUGUUGGCUGGCAUUUUCGAUUCAGUUAUCUGACAGAUUUGGAAAUGACCGAUGAGUUGUUUGUUUCCUUCUUCUCUUGGUCUCCUUCAUUCUCUUUUCGUCUUUCCAUGAUCGUUCCAAAGUAACUUAUCCUUCCCUUCCUUUCAAUGUUUGCAUAUAACUUUAUCAGGUGGAAGAAGUAAGAAUACAAGAAACUGAAGAAAGAACUAAUUACGUUUAGCGUUCAUCAAACACAGUGCAAAAGUAUAGAGAAGAACCUGUUCUGGUGGUGCUUAAAAGCUACUUGAAUAACGGGAUAGUAUUCUGGCCCAGGACCUGAAGCUCUUCCCCUCCCAUAUCUUCAACAUAAUGUUUAAUAUUCUUAGCAGAAUCUUCAAGUUGAGGGCUCUCUACAAGUUUGAUGAUUUUCAACGAACAAAUAUCCCCGAAACUAGGUGGAAUCUCCAUAAGCAUAAGACAUUUCCACAGUACUAAUUUCUCAAUCACAGGAAAGGAUACCUCUGCAACCUCCCACUUAGAAAAAGUCACUUCAUCCAAGUUCAAAUAUUUGAGAUUCACAAAGGUGUCUACCUCCCCCAUGUUCCAUUCUCCCCCCUCGAUGAUUGUUCUCGUAAGGAACAAUUCUUCAAGGUUGGGCAGUCUUGCUAUUGUUGAUAGUGAAUCGGAUGUCAGAGGAAAGUCAAACAACAUCAAUAUUUUCAAAUUGGAAGGAAAAUGAAAAUCCCACGACCAAUUUGUCGCUAAAGAGGGCCCACUGUCAUUUGUGUUUGAACUUUCAAAAUCUACUCUGUGCAAAUCUAGUUCAGUUAGGAAAUCCAAUUUCGGGAACCAAUAACGCUCUGUUGAGUAAUCCCAUGAUUCCUUGAGAACAAAUGAAAGACUUUGAAGAUUGGGAAACCUUAUGAAAAUAUCCUCAGUUUCUUUCGAAUAGGAAGGCACGAGUUUCUCUAAUUCUCUCAAGUUCUCUAACUUUGGGUCCUCCGCUAUUAGUAUUGAUUCAUUUGUAUCCAUAUCAAAGAAAGAACAAUCAUUAGUGUACAACACUCACAACUUUACAAGAUCCCAAAUACUCGGUAAUAGUACCAAGGUUGAUCCUUUGUUAUUCACAUGCAGGGUUUCAAGAUUCCAGAGGUUUGAGAAAGAUGAUGGCAGAGAUUUAACUUCUGUCCCAAUACUUAAGAACCUCAAGUGAUUCAACAUGCAUAUUUCAUUCAGCAAAGAAUCUUUCACCAUCAUAAAAGAGGGAUCCAGGG
rnacentral:lncRNA from 1 species